rnacentral:lncRNA from 1 species
UUUUUAAUAAGGUUGCGUAAUGAAAUAAUGUUUGAAGAAAUAUAUAGGGAUAACUUCAAAAACCCCCCUGUGGUUUCCAACUUUCUCACUUUAGUACCCUGUAGUUUAAAAUGUAUCAAUUUGCCUCCCUGUGGUUUCCCUUUUUUCUUUUUUUAUCAAUUUUAUUAUUAUUUUUUUCUCAAAUCAGUAACAAAAUUAAAAUUAAAGGGUACUAAAAUAAAUAUUCGGUAAAUCUAGAUGGAUAUCUGUUGUUUUUUUGCAUAUAAUUUAACGAAAUAUUAAGAAAAAAGCUAUAGAAAAAAUAAAAACAAAACCGCAGGGUGGCAAAUUGAUACACUUUAAACCACAGGGUACUAAAGUGAGAAAGUUGGAAACCACAGGGGGGGUUUUUGAAGUUUUCCCAAAUAUAUAAGUAGUAUUUUUGAGAUAAUUUACUAUUCUAGGAUGUAGGAAAAAAAGAAAAAUUUGUGUUCGAUUUGAUAUUUUUUGCAUAUAAAAAAUAAUAUAGCAUAAAAUAUAAAAUAAUUAAAAUAGUAUAUAUUAUACAAUUAUAGUCAAUUAUAUAAAAUACUUCGAUAUUAUUAUAUAAUAACAUACUUCAAUAAAAAUACAUGAAAAUAUAUACUUCAAAAAUAAUAUAUAUAAAUAAAAAUAAUAAAAGACAAAUAUUUUAGAACAUUAUAUAUUUAAUAUAUUUAUUAUCUUAUAUAAUAUUUUAUUUUAUAUUAUAUGGUAUAUUAUAGGAUAACGUAUAAUAUAAAUUUAUGAAAAUAAUAAAUAUAAUAUAAUAUAAUAUAAUAUAAUACAAUCAUUAAUAGUCGUUGUAGUACUAAUAAUAUUAACAAUAAUAAUAAUAAUUGUCCCUGGCGCAUGCAAGUGGCAAAUAUCCGAGGUUUCAAGUUUGAAGUCUAGCUUGUUGCUUCAUAUUUUCAACGAAAUUUAUUUUUAAAAGAAAUAAACGAAAUGAGUAGUAUGCUAUCUUUUUCUAAAAACAAAAAAAACAAAAAAAUCGUAUUCCUCUAAAAAAAAAAGUAGAAUAGUUGUUUUCGGAUUAUUCUAAAAUUACUUAAAAUAAUGCGGUUUGAUCAAAAUUGUCAUUCUUGUUUUUUUUACGGUGUUUAACGGAAUAGCAAUGAUAACUUUCGUUGUUCUUGAUUUAUACCAAACUGAGUCUAACAUUAUAGCGACGGGUUGGUUAAGUAUAUGUUCUAUGUGGAUCGAAUAUCUGUUGUUGAAAAAUCUUUUUUUGUGUCGUUAAUUUGGAUCAAUUUUUUAUGUCAUAUGGAUACAUUUUGGUUGAUCGAAGGCGCUCAUCGCUACUUAUUCAUUUGCUCAAUCUAUAACCAAAAAUCAACCUCCACUUAGGUAGAUCAUUAUUAUAUACUAGUUGAUUAGGUGAUUAGUACUAAUUAAUAGUUUUGAGUUCAUUACUUAUGUGAUGUUAAAAUUUAUGGUACUCCACUACUCCAGCAACAAAUUAUUUUUUUAUUAUAAAUCAUUAAAGUGAAAUAUUCUUUACUAACAAUUGGGUUAGAGGAUUAGGGAUUAAUAUUUUUUUUUUCUUGAGGGAAAUCGCGGAGAGCAAAAAUUUAUUUAAACAAAAUGAGGCAAUACAAAAUUAAAAAAGUCCUAAAAAGAGGACUACAUAGUAUAUUUUUUUAUUAGACAGACCCCAAUUAACUAAUCGAUCCAUUUGUAUAGCAUUUCUGGAGAAGCGAGAAUUCCAUCCAAAAAAGAAGGCGUGACAUUAAUAUGAAAAUCUGAAUUGUGUUUGGUAUCAUAUCUUAAAACCCAACUAAGAAUGCAAAAGGUAUGGAGACUCCAGAUUUUAUCCAAAUUCAAAUCCGAAUGUAACGGAUUUAGUUUUUAACUGACGCCAAAUAGCUAUGGUUUCAGUUGUGGGUAUAAAAAACUGAAAAUCCAAAAGAUUCACAUGCAUUUACUUAUGAUAUAUAUAUAUAUAUAUAUAUAUAUAUAUAUAGAGUGAGGCUACUAUGCUUCUGAAAGCACGAAGCCUUCCGUGCUUUCAGGUCGUUUUCGAUGUUGCGACUUUCGAGUCAUCGAUCGGCUCCGUUAAACUUGAUCUAGAGCAUUUGAAGUAUCUAGAAAAUAAAUUUUGUAAUUUUUCGAUAUCAUUUGCCUAAUGUACGAAGGGGCUCAAAAUCAACGGCUGAAAAUAAAAAUCUCACAAAACGUGAUAAUAUGACAUUAAAAUUUUAGAUCAAAGAUAUUGAUCUUAUUUUAUAUAGUAUAAAGAACUUUCUAUCAAAAUUUUUCGUGAUUUGGAUAUUUCUACACCGUUAAACUUGCAAACGGCUGACUACGGCCAUUAAAAUUAUUUGACUUUGAGCCCCUUCGAUCACUAGGCAAAUGAUAUUGAAAAAUUGCGAAAUUUAUUUUCUAGAUACUUCAAAUACUCUAGAUCAAGUCUAACGGAGCCGAUCGUCGAUUCGAAAGUCUCAACAUCGAAAACAACUUGGAAGCACGGAGUGCUCCGUGCUUCCAAAAGCACCCAGACGCACUCUAUAUAUAUAUAUAUAUAUAUAUAUCCAACCCGAACUUGUUUUAUAUUAUAUAAUAUAUAAAAAAUUAAAUUUGCAUUGAAUAUGACUAGGGGUGGAAACGAGCCGAGCUCGAGCGAGCUUAUGUAAGCUCAAAUUCGGCUUGAAAUUAAUUUCGAGCUUAAAUCUAGGCUCAAGCUCGGCUUGAAAUUAAUUCGAGCCGAGCUCGAGCGAGCCUAAUUUCGAGUCGAGCUCGAGCGAGCCGAAUAUCGAGCCGAACACGAGUCGAACGGGAGCCGGCUCGCUCGUUUGCCAGCCCUAAAUAUGACAUGUUAUAAAAUUUGAAAACGAGAAACAGUGCUUCCAAAUUUUUUAGCGGGUUCGAUUUUCAUUUUGAAUUUUCAAUCAGAUCCCAUCCCUUCAAUUAAUUGACAAGGAAAACUUCAAAUAUUUCUAUGUGGUUUCGCACUUUUUCACUUUAGUAUUUUAUGUUUAAAGUGUAUUAAAUUAGUAUCAUGUGAUUUCGCACUUUCUCACUUUAGUACCCUGUGGUUUAAAGUGUAUCAAGUUAAUAACUUGUGGUUUCACACUUUCUCAUUUUAGUACCAUGUGGUUUAAUAUUUCGUUAAAUUAUAUACAAAAAAACUUCAGAUACUCUACCUAGGUUUAUCGAAUAUAUAUUUUAGUACCUUUUAGUUUUAACUUUGUCACUGAUUUAAUGAAAAAAAUACUCCAAAAUCGAUAAUAAAAAGAGAAAAAUAAAACCACAAUGUACUAACUUCAUAUAAAAAUAAAACCACAGAGUAUUAACUUGAUACACUUUAAACCACAGGGUACUAAAGUGAGAAAGUGCGAAAUACAUGAUACUAACUUGAUACACUUUAAACCAUACUAAAGUGAGAAAGUGCGAAAUCACAGGGUGCUAACUUGAUACACUUUAAACCACAUAGUAUUAAAGUGAGAAACUACGAAACAACAAGGGAGGUAUUUGAAGUUUUCCCUGAUUGAUAAAGAAAUUAAUAAUCCAUACAAUAAUGCAUAAGAAAAUGUUCAUAAUAAUCUAGUAGGAAAUGAAUUAAAAUAAGGGAAAACUUCAAAAACCCCCUAUGUGGUUUCGUUGUUUCUCACUUUGCCCCCCUGUGAUUUAAAAUGUAUCAAUUUGCCCCCCUUUGGUUUCUUUUUUUUCUUUUUCAUAUCAAUUUCAUUAUUUUUUUUUCUUAAAUCAGUGAUAAAGUUAAAAUUAAAGGGUACUAAAGUGAAUAUUUGAUAAAUCUAGAUGGGUAUCUGAAGUUUUUUGAUAUAAUUUAAUAAAAUAUUAACGAAAAAGCUAUCGAAAAGAUAAAAACAAAACCACAUGGGGGCAAUUUGAUACAUUUUAAACCACAGGGGGCCAAAGUCAGAACUAUGAAACCAUAGGGCGGUUUUUGAAGUUUUCCCUUAAAAUAACUUUCUUUGUGUAAUAUCAACAAAUUUUGGUACAUGACAUAUUAAAAUUUAUCAUCACACUAAUUAACUAAUUAGUAAUUAAUAGUGUACGAAGAUACUUAUUUAUUCUGUGAGGACAAAGAUAUGUACAUCCAUUUUUAUGAUGUGCCGCGUUUAUGUCGGAUCGUAUCCGUGACCAAUCAGCAUAUGGUAUUUUAAUUUAUAUUUAUUAAAAUUUUAAAGGUAACUAAUAUAUUUUUGGUAGACCAAAAUAUUCUUAUUAAUUACAAAAAAAAUUCUUCAAAUUAAUAUACUCCUAUCCUUAGAAUUUACUUAUAAGAUUUGAAAUUUUGAAGGAUAUUUUGAAAAAUAAAUAGUAAAUUCAAAAUUUUUAAAUAGUAGUGAACGGUUUUUGAGUAAAAGCCUCCUAUUUAUAUAUAUUCUAUGACUUUAAAAAGAAUUCUGGAUGCUAAAAAUUUUAAAAUAAUAGUCUUUGGAUUGAGAGAAUGAAAUAGAGAAAAUGUUUUGUGUAAGAGUCACCCGACAUAAGCUAUAUUUAGCCAAUCAAAUACCUCAGUUUGAAACAAAAUUACAAAAUAAAGAACUAACUUUUUAUAAACUAUGAUGGGAUGCAAAAAUCUCAAAUUGUGAUGGGCUGCGCCAUGCCACGUAGGAAAUGUGACUUAUAUAUUCUAAACUCUUUUCCUUCUUCUUUGGAGUGUACUAAUAGUAUUGUUCAAUAUCACAAUAGGGUAAAUCUCACGUUUGAUCCUCAAACUAUGAGCAAGUGGUAUAUAAGUCCUCAAAUUUUAAUGUGCUGUAAUUUUUUGUUUGAAUUUUUUAGAAUUGUUGUAAUGAAGUCUCAUAAUCAUAUUUCGUUAAUUAAAUAUUAACGUAUCGCUGAUAUAAAAGUAAUGUGACAUCUUAAUUAUUGACAGUAUUAUCAAUCACAAUGUCACGUCCUGAAUUACCACGUUUCUUCGGGCAUGCCAAUAGACCGGCCGUAUACAAAAAAAUUUCCUCUGUAUACGAAGCGAUAGCUGUACCUGUAUCUGUAAUCAUAUAAAAGUACAACUAGUAGUAUAGAGCUACUAAACUGAACUGUAUAUAAAUAAACAUCAGGUUCACCAUACAUACAAAGUCUCCCUGAUACAACAUCUUUUAUUCCAGCGAGUAACAGCAUAAGUAUGUACAUGAACUAGAAACCAAAACUAUCUGCAGCUGGUACAACUCUAGUACUGCAACCAGGGAAGGGAUCUAGCUCACAACUCUCUUUCAACGAUCAGUAUCGGCAACAGUAGCAGCCGCAGAAGAAGGCUCCGCAACAAAGGGUCAACAACCGAAUGUGAGAACUACUGUAAGAAGAUGUAUUCCUCAGUGGGUACCGCUACCGACCUCAAUGGCUCACCCACUAAGUCUACAGAAAGUAUGCAGAAAGAUAGUAAAGGAAGUUGGUAAAACUCUACAGCUAUAUGCCACUAUACUAUCACUAACCAUGUAAUAGGCUGAAACUUGAUUAGAAGCUAAUUGUGAUCAAAGUGGUCACAAUAACGCUAAAAUGGAAAUUAAGUGUUUCCAAACUUAACUAGAGGCUUGAGAACACCAAGUGACAGGUUUUGGAAAUGUGGGAAUAGAUAAGAAUGGAAUUGGAGUGGCUAAAUACAUUCAAUNAUGAAUGUAAUAAAGUGCAUGUAAAUAAUUAAAUGUUUCAGUUAUGCAGGUUAGUUUAAAGUUUUAAAUUACAGUGAAAUAUUAUGUUUAGCUAGCUUUACUAUCACUUGUGUUUGUUGCUUGCUAUCGUGCAAGUCAUGUAUAUUGAAAUGUGAUUCUGGGAAUUGUUUAUUUCUUAAUACAUGUAUUCGUUGUUGUUGAGCCUUGGGCGAACAGAGGAGGUGCUGUUCAUUCGGCGUCUGUGUACGGGCCCGGAUCGACCAAAUUGGCGAUAGCGGGACGUGACAAACCAAGUCUAAUUAUCUGUAGAUAUGCAUCCCCUGCAACAACGACUAUACUGUCAAGGGACUGCCAACAGGCCCGUCCCGCCUGCGUCCGAGCUAUACCGUACACCGCCACUGAGGUGGCCGAUCCUAAAGCACCGAGCUAUACCGCGCACCACCAUUGAGGUGGCCGAUCCUAAAGCACCGUCCAAACAGGACUGCUGCGACAACAAAGCAAAAGUACAAAGCCUGACUCCGGAGUGGCACUCGUGGGCGCUACCGAACCGAGUAUCCAAGCGUGUCUCUACUGAGCUCAAUCAGGCUCUCACAGGCUAUAAUUAAAGCAAAUGAGUCUAACAAUCAAAGCUCACGUGCCCUUGACAUAAUCUGAUGCAAAUACAGAAAUCUGGGUCCACCGUCAACCGCGACGGUACCCGACAGUCCGAAACAGUCUAUACACUACUGUAAAAAUAAACUCGGCAUCCCAGCACGAGCGUAAACCCAUCCUACACUAAUCUGAAUAUCUACCGCAUACAAACUGCGGCAAUACAAUCAAACCACAGCUUCUAAAGCUAAAUCUGGUAGUUUUCAGAAAAUGACAUUGUAGGAUCUACAAUUUUCUCCUAAGUCAAUUUCAAAUCCAACAUAUAAAAUUAUACUACUACUACUUAACUCCAAAUUCAGAUUUUAAGCUUAAUCCAUGAAUUCGAGUACUAUAUAGCAAGAAAAUAAAUACAUUAUACAUGUUGACGAUAUAAAAACUUAGGAGGUAUUCCGGCGAUUUCGGUAAACUUCAACCCACCUCGAAAAGCUAGUCCAACAACGGCGAGAAGUCGAGAGAAGAAAAAACACGCGCUCGCCCGGCCUCCAACGGCGCAACUGCGAUGUCCACGCUCUCUAACGGCUUCCCGGCGCAACGUUGACGUUGAUCCGAGCUCAAGCCGUAGCCUCCACCAAGCACACAAUUAAAACUAGAGAGAUGAGCAUGAGAUAAUUAAUCUCUCUCAGGUGGAUAAAUAUAAGGGAGUAGGUAGCGUGGAUAACCACCACCACAAAUGACCACCAUACCCUUUUACCAACUCAAAAGACAGCUGGAGUAUCGGUACCCGAUUUGGUUACCGGUACUCGGCCUCUCAGCCCACAAGCUCACACACAGGGUAUCGGUACCAGCCCGAUACCGUACAGGUACUCAACACUGAAAUCCUGCACUUUACGGAUUUCAGCGUCAGAACUCUACUCUCGCCUCGCGUCGAGUCCUUUUUGCGUUCAUUUCGCGCCAAAACGACUCCGACUGGUCCCAAAACUUUCCAGAUGUGUCGACAAGCCUCAAAUGUUGAAAUCACACGAGCUGCAGAACACCAGGGAUACUACACAUAACACUGCUUUCCUUCUACAGUCACAUAUCAAUAAUAUUUAGUUAAUUAACUAUCUUUUGAGGAUUUUUUUUUAUUUCUGUAUCGUCUUAUUUUAUUUAAAUAAAUUUUCGCUCUCGAGCGAUUUCCCUCAAAAAAAAAUUUUUUUUAACUAAAUUUGGUUAUAGAAUUUGAUUGUAAUAAUUCUGGAAGUUCGAGCCAGAAAUUAUAAUAAAUUAAAGGACCAAAGUACCACCUAUCUCAUAGUUUUGAGGACCAAAUGUAUGUGACGUCUUCAUUAUUGGCAUAUCAUCAAUCACAACACUGCUAUAUUUUUAUAUUAGCGACAAUAUCAAUAUUUACUAAAUUAAAUUUAAUUAUAAGAUUUAUUUGUAAUAAUUCUGAAAGUUUGAGUUAGAAAUUAUAACAAUUAAAGUUUGAGGACUAAAAUGCCCCCCACCUCAUAGAUUGAGAACCACAGGAGCAAUUUACACUAUCAUAAAAUGAUAAAACUACAUACAAUGUUGUUGCAAGAAAUAUUUAUCAAAGAGCAAACUUAGCCAAUUAAUCUAUGAGCUACAACUGUUGGCUUAAAUGGGUCAGCAUCCUGCCCUGUGGCAGUAGGCCGGGUUGGGCCGAGUCACGUUCGAACUGGCGUGAGGCUAGGUGGGCCGAGUCAUGUUCGAAGUAGCAUGAGGCCGGGUAGGCCGAGUCACAAUCGAGACCCGUAGGCGCUGUAUUUGUACGCUUUAAGUGAAUUGAUUGCGUAUUUCUAACAGCUCAAGCUUUUGAGAUUAAUGGUUAGUGUCAACGAUCCGACAAGUGGUAUUAGAGCUAGUGGUCACAGAUUCGAUUCCCGCAUGCUGUAAAUGUGUGCAGGUGCUGGAAGGGGGAUUGUUGGCUUAAAUGGGCCAGCAUCCUGCCCUGUGGCGGUAGGCCGGGUGAAUUGUUGGCUUAAAUGGGCUAGCAUCCUGCCUUGUGGUGGUAGGCCGGUGUAGUAUCCUGAACUUUGCAAAAAUUGUGAAGUUGGGAAGUGGGGUUGAGAAGUGGCUUGUACCCACAGGUUUUAUUGUUUGUAAAGGUGUUUUGGGCCAAUUUUGAGAGCUAUUAGACUUUUGGAUACAAGAAAGUGCGUCGUCGAAGCGAUUUCUGAACUUAUUGCAUUAUAGUAUACUGAACCUCAGCAAAUUGCGAAGUUCGAGUGAGGAAUGAUAUUUGGAACCCUCCCACAUGUUCAAAAGGGUUUAAAGAUGUUUACACAUAAGUUUGAGAGUGAUCGGAAUGUCGGAAACAAGAAAGUGCAUUGCUCGGGCGAAACUCAGCAUUUUCUGCUUGGUGUACCGGUACAGCCAUUAUGGUGUACCGGUACACAAUGCAGAAUCGUGGCAGCUUGGGUAUUUUGGUAAUUUCACACUUGAUCCCUACCUAUUUGAUCCCAGCACGACUCUGGGACUUCAGUGGAGUAUGCAAGAGCUCUGAGAAAGCUUCUUUUCCCUUCUUCUCUCUCUCUCUCUAGGGUUUUUCUCUCUCUACAUCGAAUUCGCCGAUUUCGCUCGUUUUCGUCGCCGCGCGCGUUCUUCGCUGGUUGCGAGCGUCGCAGCACCUUUGUGCACGUGCAAGAGAGUGUUUUGGAGGGAUUUUUGCAGCCCUGGACCAGUAAGGAGCUCGCUGCAAGCUUGAGAAGGUAAUCGGCUCACGUUUUCCAUUUUUUCGGCAAUUAUUAGACGAGUUAUGUAUAGUUUUGGAGUUGUUGCUUCUAGUUGCUUUAAUCUGAGAUUUCAGCAAUUAAAGUUGGAUUAUUUANGCAUAUAGCCACGACAGGGACAGUGUUGCCAGAGAUGGUAGGAGUUGAGGAGCGAGAACGGAUGAUGGAACGGCUGAAUGAAUUCCGUCGCUGCAACCCUCGUAUCUUUGAUGGGGAGAAAGCCGAUCAUUGGGUGGUCGAGAAAUGGUUAAUGCAUAUGGAGAAGCUAUUCUAUGAUACCUUCGUCGAUGAGCGAUAUCGAGUUUGGUUUGCGACACACCACCUUGACGGCGAGGCUUACCGGUGGUGGGUGGACAUUCGUGAGGAUCCCCGUGCUGAUUUAUCUGCUAUCACGUGGAACAGGUUUAAGGAAUUGUUGUUGACUACCUAUUUUCCACAGAGUGUGAAGAGGCAGAUGGAAAGGGAUCUGAGGAACUUGAGACAGGGAGACAGGACAGUGGCUGAGUACGAGCGAGAGUUCUCACGAUUACUACACUGUGUUCCUUUUGUGGUUAGAGAUGAUGAGGACAAGGCUCGUAUUUUUGAGGUGGGUUUGCGACCUGCGAUUUUCAGAUUGGUCCAGGCGUCAAACCUCUCGACUUACAGGGAUGUCGUGAACCGGGCCUUGAUUGUGGAAAAGGGGGCAGAGAUAAUGAAGGAAAGAGACGUGGUGGAUCUGCUGCCAAUUUGGGCGUAGUUCGAACUGCUGGAGUUGGGCCUUCUUCAGCAGUUCCUACUGUAGCAAUUGGAGUUAAAUAACAUCAAACCAAAUACAGAAUUUGUGUUUACAUGCAGUUACAAUUAACUGCAAUGCAGUUGCAACUACAUGCAUCCAAACGGCCCCUAAGUGAAUUGGUUGCAUAUUUCUAACAGCUUGAAUUUUUGGGAUUAAUGGUUAGUGCCAACGAUCCGACAACAACAUCGAAGAAUCUGGUAAUAUAAGCUACUCAAAUUUAGGCUCCUUGGAUUACCCAAUUAUAACUAAACUACUGUUUCUUAAAAUUUGCACACAACUCCAACUACGGUAGUUGCACAGAGUUGCUUUAAAUAAAAAGUAAACUUAGCUACAUAAUUAUCUCAUAUAUAUAUAUAUAUAUAUAGAGUGAGGCUACUAUGCUAUUGGAAGCACGGAGCCCUCCGUGCUUCCAGCUCGUUUUCGAUGUUGCGACUUUCGAAUCGUCGAUCGGCUCCGUUAAACUUGAUCUAGAGUAUUUGAAGUACCUAGAAAAUAAAUUUUAUGAUUUUACGAUAUCAUUUGCCUAGUGAACGAAGGGGCUCAAAAUCAACGGCUGAAAAUGAAAAUCUUUAACAAAAGGAAUCAUAUGACAUUAAAAUUUAUAAAUCACAAUCAUAUGCUAUUGUUUUAUACAGUAUAAAAAAUUUUCGAAUCUCAAAUUUCUACUUGAUUUGGAUAUUCUAACCGUUAAACUUCAAACGCUCACACGACCAUGAAAUUGUGUCGAUUUGACCCAAUUUCGAUCACAAUUAGCCAAAUAAUCGAAAGAAUAAAUUAUUUCAGGUACUCUCAAAUACUCUAAGAUCAACGUUUAACGUAGCCGAAUCGACGACUUCAAAAGUUCGCAAACACGAAAACGAGCCGAAAUCCCAGCGAAGGCCGGCUCUCCGAUACACAGAUAAACUCACCUAUAUAUAUAUAUUAUAUAUAUAUAUAUACGAUACGGGCUAGAUAUACUUUACAAAGUAUCACCCAAUGAUACUUGUUUUUUUACCAUUGAUCUACUUUGAUUACUAAUAUUCCUUGGAUCCAACACUAUCAACCUACGAAACACACUACCACCACCUAACCACAUCAUCUCAACCUACAUCUCUCAUCCAACGGACUAAAAAUCAAAAAUCACACAAUAUCACUUGGGUGUAUACUUUACAAUAUUCCUAAGCCUAUCUCUAUAUAAUAUAUAGAAUUAGUAGAAUACCAUUAAUAUAAACACAUUUUUGCAUCAAGUUUUAACCAAUUGGAUGAAAAAAUAUAUAGUCAGAUGAAUUAGUCGUUAGAGUUAUGGUCCCCCAUAGGUCUGAGAUCCACCACGAGUUAUGAGUAUUUAAUCCCAAUGGUUAAAAAAUAAACAAUAGUUGACCAAAGCUAAAAAACUGGUAGCAAACAAUGAAAAGAUGCACUAAGGCUCCUUUGUUCGAGUAUAUGUAAUAGUAAAAUUAUCUCACCAUAUCCAUAUCUGAUUUCGGCGUGAAUACUAUUGACGCAUACGUGCGUUGUUUAAAUACAGUAAUUAAUACUAAUUACAGUUUAUAGCAAUAAAAUGACGUUUGUUACAUUAUAAAAUUAGUAAUGCCACAUACGAAAGUAGAGUAUUUUCUCUAAAUGCCCUGUGUGUCAUGAAUAUUAUUUGUUACGGAAAUCACAAUCGAGGAAGGAGAUCGUAGAUGAACUACUAUUGGGAGACCGACACAAUAUGAAUAUAUCAUAGUUCGCCGAGAGAGAGAGAGAGAGAAGACAAGAGAGAGAGAAGAGAGAGAUAAACGUCAGCAGAGAGGAGCGAGAGAAAGCGCAUGCGAAGAAGGGGUGAAGGCGAAGAGAAUUGAAAAACAUGUGUUCAAUAAUUUGGGUUGUGGAUGGUAAAAGUCAUUAGCAUAUACGUACUAAUUAACUGGGUUAUCAGAAAUGCAAAUACAAGAACCCCCUCCCGUUAAUAUUUCAAUUAAUCCUGCUCGACUUUGUAUCACAUUAACGACUAUAUUACAAUAGUGACUUAACCAACACAUAUACUGGCAAUGCCGUAAAUCCUGCCAAGGAUAACUCGAACCAACUCACCCUAAAUAGUAACCCAGUUCAAGCAUAUAUAAUAUAUAGAUAUAUAUAUAGUAAAAUAAUAUAAAUAAUAUAAUAAUAAUAUAUAAAUAAUAAUAUAUAAUAUAUAUCUUUCAAGAAUUAAUCUCAACUUUCUAUAUAUAAAGUUAUUGAAUUUAUAAAUAUAAUAACCAACUGCAUAUAACCAAAUAAAAUAUUUAUAGUUACAAACUUCCAACCAAAAAAGAUAUGUAUUUGUUUAUAAUUCUUUACAUUUUCACCUGCAUACAGUUUAUAAUUACUACCACACAAAUUAUAUCACAUUUAUAAUUAUAUCCAAUUGCAUUUACAAUUAUUUCCCACUUUCCUCAAUCCUAGUGGGAUCGAGGGAGAGUAGGGAUGCAAAUGGCUCCAUGUUGAUGGAGCUCCUGCCCCGAUUCUUCCCGAGUGAGGCGGUAAGUAGGAAUAAAAAAAUAUAAAAAUAUAUAAUCCACUUCAAAUCUAUCUCAAAAAAUGAGGCUUCGAUCCGUUAAAAAUGCGUUCCUGUCUCGCUAUGCCUACAAUGAGGCGUUAAGUGAAUAGUUCGUCCCGAAUCUGCUCCGAUUCGCCAAGAAAUUGGAUGAAAAAUGGGAGACCCGUCUCAGGAUCUGCGUUGGUUUUAUACCGAAGAGAGAGAGCUAGUUAGAUCGACCACUUAAUCGAAAGCGCCCAUCGACGCAGUUGGCUGUGAUUCGCGUGCGCUGACUCAGAUAUACGCGUGGGAUCUUCUUGUCAAAAUGGCUUAAAUCCAAAAUGCCUCCAAGAAUUAAACCAUUAAUAAUUGAUCUUCUUACCAUUAAUACUGUGACAUACAUAUCCCCUAAAAUUUUGGCAUAUCUGAGUGCACAAAAUGUAAAAUAUAUAUUUUGCUGUUUUUUUUGCCUAUAUAAGAUCCCUAUUUUCAAUCUAUUUUUCCCAUCUCUAUCUCAAAACAGAUAAUAAGCAGUGUUCAAGUUUCAAGAUAUAAAAUAAUAAUAAUAAUAAUAAUAAUAAUAAUAAUAAUAGAGACAGAUCAUGGCUUGUGUACAUGUCCUCUACGCUAAACUCCAUGUUAUCCGUUCGAAUAAUAACAUUUAAAAAAUGUAGCCGUUGCGAGUGGGGCCAAAUGUUUGUGGGGGCGUGGCCACUGUGAAUUUUGGACCGUUGCGUCCGUAGCCUCAUGUGAUCGGUGUACGUAUGUAAGCGUAGCUAGGCUCGCUUUGGCCCAAUCAAUACGUGAAACCCAUGCAUACAUACUUUUUUUUUUGGGUGGCUCUAGGUUGCGAUCAUAACCGUUCGUUUGAAGAUAUUGGGUAGCGCGCCUAUAGAUCAACGGCCAGGGUUAUCCCGUCCGAGCGUACGUGCAUGGUUUUCCAUAUUCUUACACGAUCCAUCAUGAUUAGCUUACGUCGAGGGAGGCGCAUGAAUACGGAUAUUCGAAAUUUUUAUGGAGAUUUCGAUGAUAAACAAAUAUGAUUUCGCAUAUUGGUAAAAGAAAUGAAAAAAAAAAUCUGAUGGAUAUAGAUUCGACUGUCUUUAUCCGAUACGAACCCAAACUGGAAAAUAUUUCACGUUGUUAUAUAUAUUGUAUAUGAAUGAUAAAUAUUAUAUUUAAGUUUAUAUUUUGAACCGACCGUUCCUAAAACAAGUGGCAAAGGGUUUGGUGGUUGGUACUCGAGACCCAAGUUCGAAUCAUAGUUGAUUCACAUUUCUUGCUAAGUUUAUUUCUAAAUUUCUAAAUGAAAUAAAUGAAGCAGGUAGCGUGCUAUCACAAAAAAAAAGUUUAUAUUUUGAUAUAAUAUAUUUUAAGAUAUGGUAUAGAAAAAUGAUUGUUUUGAAUUCGAAUUUUGAAUUUUUAAUCAUGUUCUGGUUUGAGUUUCGUACUCGGUUGUCACAUUUAUGCACAGAGUUUUUAAACAUCUAUUCGUUCAGAAUCCGUCUCGUUGAAAUUCCUACUUACGCCUCAUUUCAUAGUUAAUGUUCAAUAAUGUAAUCCAAAAUUCUGACAUUCGAUUCAGAUCGAUUAUUGGGCAUAAUCGGCUGCCGGCAAUGUUUCGUAUUCGGGACGCGGUUGUUGCCAGGGCAAAGGAUUGGAGUGUUUAAUGGUGUUGUUGACUUUUGCAACUUUACUUUCGAUUUUGGCCCAAUCCCUCAUUAAUGUCUCUUUCCUCCUUUUGACCAUACAAAUCAGGCCACGUGGGCUCCGGACGAGUGUUCAUUAGAGAUGGGCCCACCAACGGUUUCAUUCCCAAGUUUGGGCAUCCAAAAUUGGUGGGCCUAGGGGUGGAAACAAGCCUGGACAUAAGCGAGCCGGGGUUGGCCCGUUUAUAAACGAGCCAGACAAGAACUCUCGAGUUGAAAAAUUCAGCUCAUGUUUGACUCGUUUAUUAAUGAAUUGAACACAAAGCAGUAAGUUAAAAAGAUUAAAAAUAUAUAUAAUUAGUCAUCUAUAUAUAUAAAUAGAAAAAAUAUAAAUUAUAUAAAUAUAAAAUAUAUGUAUUCGAGCGGUUAUUGAGCCGAAUAUGAGCAGCUGAUCCCACCUCGUGUUCGGCUCAUUUACUAAACGAACUGAAAAAUUCAGUUCAGCUCGUGUUCGGCUCAUUUAUUAAAUAAACGAUUCGAUCUCAAGCUCAUUUGAGUCGAACAUGAGCUAACUCGCGAAAUGCGAGCUGAAUUACCACCCAUACGUGAGACUGAAAAAAAAGUCUAAAAUACAACGGUCAUACAGGAUGAUGUGGUGCAAUAUCUAGUGGAUUAAAAAUCAAUAGAUUUUUUAUGCAAAACGGCCUUCAUCUAUUUCAUCUUAAUUACCUUUAAAAAAAUACUUUUAUUAUUAUUUUCUCUAAUUAGUGCCUAUUUUGUUCGCAUAAUUUAAAGGGAAAACUUUAAAUACCACCCGUGUGUUUUGCACUUUUUUACUUUAGUACUUUGUUGUUUAAAGUGUAUCAAUUUAAUACCCUGUGAUUUCCCACUUUCUCACUUUAGUACCCUGUAAUUUAAAGUGUAUCAAUUUAAUACCCUGUGAUUUCCCACUUUCUCACUUUAGUACCAUGUGAUUUAAAGUGCAUCAAUUUAGUACUAUGUGGUUUCAUUUUUUUCUUUUCGUCGGCUCCUCUGUUUAUAUUUCAUUAAAUUAUAUACAAAAAACUUUAGAUACCCUAUCUAGCUUUAUCGAAUAUUUACUUUAGUACUAUUUAGUUUUAACUUUGUUACUAUUUUUUUUUUCUUCCGUUAAUAUUUCAUUAAAUUAUAUACAAAAAACUUCAGAUACUGUAGUAUCCCUGGUGUUCAGCUUUUCACGGCUUGUCGACACGCUGUGAGGGUGUCGGGACAAGUCCGAGUCUCGUUGGCGCGAAAUAGACGCAAAACGGACUCAGCGGAGACGCGAGAGCAAGUGUUAGCAUUGGAAUCUGCGAAUUGCAGAUUUUCUGCUUGUUGUACCGGUAUGACAUCAGGGUUGUACCGGUACACUUUCUGUAUCGGUACAGCAUCAGAGGUGUACUAGUACACUUCGCUUGAUUGGCGAACAGCUGCUCUCGGGUUGCCUUUUGUACCGGUACAGGUGCACGUGUACCGGUACACGGGGGUAGGUGAGGGACAGAAAUGACUUUUUAUGCGUCGUACGUAUUACCCACUCUUCCCCUUACUACAUAGCUUCGUAGAGAGAAGCUAAGGGGAGUUUUUUGGCUGGUUUCUUCUCCUCUUUCUCUCUAGACUUGAUCCGAGCAUGCGGAGGAGCUCAUGUGGAUUUGUUUCGUCGCCGACGUCGCGCCGCAGAGCUGUUUGAGCACACGAGCGUUGUGGUGGCUGCAUGGGGAGGCCGAGCGAGCAUGUGAUUUCGCCGUUUCGACGUCGCGCCGGUGUUGGUUUAGCUAUCGAGGUGGGUUAAUCGGCGGUUUGUCUUCUAAGUAUAUAGAGAUAGUCGGCAUGUGUCGUUAUAGUUGUUUUUGCAUAUUCUAAUUGCUCGAUUCAUAGAUUUUCGCAUGUUUAACUGUAGAAUCUGAAUUGGAGCCUAGAGUUACUAAAUCUACUUGCACAUGUUGUACUUGGAUAUGACUUAGGAGAAAACAUGCGAUUUGAACCUGUCACAUGUUUAAACUACCUGAUUUAUCUCUAGAAGCCGUUGUUAUUUUGUAUCGCCACAGUAUCAGCGUGGUGGAUACCCCAAGUAGUUUAGAUUUCAGUUACGCUCGUGCUGGGAUGCCGAGUGUAUUUUUACAGUAGCGUUCAGACUGUUCCGGAUUGUCGAAUGCCGUUGGGGUUGACGGUUGACCCAUAUCGCCGUUUCGGCGUUAGAUUGUGCCGAAGGCACGUGACCUAUUGGUGGUUGACCUGCCUUACUUGACAUUGGCUUAUGAGAGCCUGAUUGAGCUCGACAGAGAUACGCUGCAUACUCGGUUGGGUAGCUCCCACGAGUGCCACUCCGGAGAUGGGCGUUGUGCUUUCGCAUUAGUGUCGUUCGUGCAGGUUGGACUUGCUCUCCACGGACCGUUUGUGUGGAGGUAGCUGUAUAGUCUCAAUCGGGCGGGACGAAUGUGUUCACAGUUCCUGAGACGGGUAUGCUUACAGUCCCUAGUGAGAUUGGGUCAGGAUCUAUUUUUCUACAGAUGAUUAGUGGUAGAGCAUUAUAGUAUAAUGGCAUUUAGCUGUAGAUUUAUUCUAGUAUUUUUCUACUAUCCUUGCUCCCUUCUGUAGACUUAGUGGGUAGACCGAUGAUAUUUAGGGCGGUACCCACUGAGGACUACUUAUUUUUAUAGUAGUUCUCACGCCCAGUUGUUACCCUAUUUUUGCAGAGCUUGCUGUUCCGGCUGCUGCUUCUUCGGAGACUGACCGCGGCAAGGGCGUUGCUAGUUAGAGCUUUUCCUAGUUACUGCUGUUCGUGAGGUUACCAGCUGCAGGUAGUGCUAGUUUUUGGAGUUUCUUAUACAUACUGGUUGUAUCUCGCUAGGCGAACUUUUGUGUACCUGAACGUAUGUAUGUAUAUGGAACUUGUUCCUGUUUUUACCAGUUUUAUUCGAAUAGCUCUAUACUACUGUUUGUAGUAUUGUAUGUUUUACAAGUACAGCUAUCGCUUCGUAUAUAGGAAAAAAAUUUUUUUAUACGGCGGAUUUGUCGGUGUGCCCGGAGAACGUGCAAUCCGGGGCGUGACAGAUACUCUACUUAAGUUUAUCGAAUAUUUACUUUAGUACCCGUUAGUUUUAACUUUGUCACUGAUUUAAUGAAAAAAAUUGGUGAAAUGGAUAAUAAAAAGAGAAAAAUAAAAUCACAGGGUACUAACUUGAUACACUUUAAACAACAUAGCACUAAAGUAAGAAAGUGUGAAACCACAAGGGCUAACUUGAUACACUUUAAAUCAUAAGGUACUAAAAUGAGAAAAUGUGAAAUCACAGGGGAUAUUUGAAGUUUACCCCAAUUUAAAAUCCCUGCAAAGAAUUGACUUCAUAGAAUUGUUAUCCUACAGUUGAAUUACAACGUAAUUAAUUCGAAUAUUUUUGUUCGGUUUGUAUCUUAGAAUAUUUCAAAUUUUAUCAUUCACAAUUUUAGUUCACUAUUGGAAAAACUAAAUUAUGUGAAUAAACUUUACUUUUAUACUCUUGUUGAUAGAAAUUGACAUUAUAAACUACUUUACACUCAAUAAGAUAAAGAAUAUAAAGCAUCAUAGGAGUAUUUAGCCUAUUAAAAUCAAACUCCUAUGAGAGAUUUUUUUGGUAAAAAAAAAAAAAAAAGUGGAGGUGAUUUUGAAAUUUCAUUUUUCGUGAAAUUAGAAGAUAUCAGAAGAAGAAUUGUAAAAUUUUUGUCACGUCAGACUUCUGUGACUAAUCAAAGAUAAAAAUUCUCAAUUUCUAACUCGCAUCUCUGAAAAUUUAAGAACCGGUUAAUUGCAUAUGUAUAUCUAUAAAGUGAUAAAAUUAUAUACUUAUCCCUACAAAGUUUUGUUUAUCAUGUAUAACUCUCCAAAGUUAUAUAGUUUACAAAUAUAUCAUUUUUCGUUAUUGACCGGCUAAAGUUGACUUUUGUUUUUAAUGAAAUGACUCUUCCACUCUGAAUUAUAUUUAAAAUUCUUCAUCAAUUGUAAUAUUUAUUUUCAUUCUAAUUUUUCUUGCGUUCUACGUGAAUCAUAAAUUGUAGAUUUUUAUAAGAAUAUAACGGUCCAAAAUGUCAAAAUUUAAUGGUCAACUAACGAUAGUAAACUAAUAGGAAUAUAUGUGCAUAUUUUGAAACUGUAGAGAGAUAUAUUUAAUAAUUAAAAUUUUAUGGAGAUAAAUCCUGAAUUUUAAAAUCUUGUAAGAGUACACAUAAAAUUACCCUUUUUCAAAAAAAUUUAAAUAAAAUAAAACCACGACCGGAAAAGCCCAGGUACCCAGCCGGCCGGCAUUCCAGCCCAGAACGACCGGACCGACAUCCGAAUGUGGGUCGUGCCGGCCAUAGGGACAAGUGCUGUGCGGUCUAUUUGGGCCAAGUGUAAUCCGAUCCGAACAAUUUAUUUAAUUAUUUUUCUCUUUUAUACUAUAUUUUUUUAAAUUAUUUUUAUUUAUUCUUUCAAAUAAUUUAAACUAUUCAAAAUUUAAAUAAUAUUUUAAACUCAUCUAAAACCUAUUUAUUUAAUAAAAUUCUUAAUAAAAUUAUAUAUAUAUAUAUAUAUAUAUAUANCAUUACAGAAAUAAUAUAGACAGGGACACAGCUGACAAGUCAAAAGUCACUAUCACAAUAAGUGUUAGGAUAAUCACUUUUAUCUUCUAAGGUUGACUCUUAUUAUACUACCUUAAAAUUCUAAAAUGAUAAUGUUUUACUUAUUUUUCAAAAAUUCUAACGGAACUCUUCUAUUGUAGGAAUAUUCAAUGAGCCUCGCUCCAAUUCAACUAUCCCACCGGAGGUUUCAAUGAACUUCUCACUCAAGUAAUGCCGGAUAAUUUGUAGUAUGGCAUAUCUCAAAUACAAAGUGUCCCUCACAAUCGAUCUAUAUUUUCUCUAACUUCAAUUUCAAAUCAAGUUUGUAUUGACAUAUAUGUCUACAUUACAUAUAGUUGUUUAAGUGAUUUUGACUUGGUUUCAGUAGCCUACGUCUGAGUGACUGGAAAUUUAGAAUUUUAAUUAUUGGGGUAUGUAUUACAUUAACUUGUUAUUAGAGUACACAAUUAAUUACUGUGCAAUUACUACUUUUUUUUUCACUUUUAUCCAUUUAUAAAAAUUAUAUAUAUAUAUAUAUAUAUAUAUAUAUAUAUAUAUUUAUAUAUAUAUAUAUAUAGUAGGGCUAGAAUACUUGUAAAAGUAUUAUGGGGGUGAUACUUGUGUGUUUUUAGCCCUUGGAUGGAGAGAUGUGAGGUUGAGAUGAUGGUGGUAGGUGGUGGUAGGUGGUGGUAGGUGGAAUAGUAUUUAAUCCAAGGGCUAUUAAUAAUCAAAAAGUAGAUUCAAUGGCUUAAAACCUAAUAGCACAAUGAUGAUGAUACUUGUAAAAGUAUCAUAGCUCAACUCUCUAUAUAUAUAUUCCAUAUAAUCAAUAGUAAAAAUUUAAAAAUUAAAUUAUAAUGUAAAAAAAUGAGAAAACAAACUGGGCCCAGCAGGCCUUGUCAGGUUAGUAGCAUAGUUAGUUAAUUCGGAUUCGGCAAAAAUUCGGUUCGGGUAUAAUUCGGAUAACUUAAUAGCAUCAAGUCAUUAAAACACUAUGUUUGAAUUUAAACUUAAACAGUAAAAUGCUGAAGUUUCUUAGCAAAUCAAAAACUGGUUAGGUGAGUGUUAAUUGAGCUACAAUGUAUCCGAAAAAUAAUAGUCAGAGCAGCUUUAACUAACAACACCUUUUCCUCCUUAAUUACUAUUUUAUUGCAUAAGCCUACACAAAAAUUGAAAAAAAAAAAAAAGGAAAUUGGUUAGGUUUUUUAUUGCAUGAAAAAAUUUUCUUCGAGCGUUUGGUAAAAACAGUAUGUGUAGUUGAUUUAGUUGCAUGAAAUAAAAAAGAUUUAAAAUAAUGAGUCCGGCUACUAUAUACUCUUAUAACUACGAUCGCAUUCGUACUUAUAAACAGUAUGUUGUUUUCGAUGAUAGAGCUUCCGAAUCGACGAUCCAUACCGUUAUACGUUACCUACAAUAUUUAAAACUUAUAGAAAUCAAAUUUUACAAUUUUUUGACAUCGUUUACUUUACAAUCAAAAGAUCUCAUAAUUGACAAUUUAUUACGGCGGGUAUGAGAUACUUGCUAGUUUAACGGUGUAAAAAAAUCGGAAUUGAUUGAAUUUUUGAUAAAAAAAUUUAAUUUACUAUCUAGAUAAAGGUCAAUAAUUCCGAUCUUAAAUUAAAGGAUUCGAUCAUCCAUUUUAAGAACGUUGUUCGAUUUUCACCGUUCAUUUUAUACCCGCUUGAUGGAUUUUAUUAUAAUUUUAAAAAAUUACAAAUUUUAUUUUUUAGAAGUUUUAAAUACUUUAGAUCAUAUUUAGCGGAGUGGAUCGUCGAUUCAGAAACUCUAUUAUCCAAAACAACUUAUGAGUACGAAAUGCUCUACACUCAUAAAAGUAUAGUAGCCCUACUCCAAAAUAAUAUAUAAUUUAUUCUGUUGUAGAAAAUUAGAAAUUAUUUUAUAAAUUUUAUUACUUAUAUAUACAUGGGAGGAUGAAAAUACUCUCAAUGUAGAAAAAAGAAAUUCUUUAGAAGGUGAUUAGGUCGUUGCAACAGAAAUUACGAGCAACUUGGAUGUUAUUUUAUUCGUUGCAAUUGAGUUUUCUUGUGCAGUUUUAAUUACAGUAGUGAAUUCAUGUGCACUAAAUCAAAAACAAUAUUUAGGACUAAUAUAUUGUUAAAUUAUAGUAUAGCUGCAAACGCAUGCGACCAAACAGUCGCAGUAUUCAAAGUUUUCUACAACACGAAGCUUUGUUGCUUUGCAUUUUCAAUUAAGGGCCCGUUUGUUUUGGUGUAAGUGGGGUGAUGGAACUCAAGUUCCAUCACUUCCGUUAUUUGUUUUGAUGUAAGUGAAAAAUAUAAUGUAACUCAAGUUACAUUAGAGCUCCACUUCACCUACUCUCGACUUCCUCCUCUAAAGUGCCGAACUCGACUUUUACUACACUCAACCUCCUCUAAAAAAUUUAUUAAACAGUAAAAUCUAAACUCUACUUCCUUUAUAAUGGGUUAGAAUUACUUUAUUUAUGAUAAAUUAGGAUUAUCUUUAAAUAAUAAUAAAAAAAUUAAUUAUAUAAUAGAUUAAAUUUUAUAGUGGUAAAUUUACUACUAUAUUUAGGAGAUAAUAAGAUCCACUUACUUACAUCAAAACAAACAACAGAACUCAAAAAAUUAAUUUUACCAGCACCAAGUUACAUCAAAACAAACAACAGAAGUGAUUGAAUAUAACUUUCAGACGGUACAAGUUACGUCAAAACAAACAACAAAAAAAUAAUUACACUUCAGAAAAACUCAAAUACCACUACACUUGACUUACGUUGAAUCUACAAAUACGUCAAUCCAAACGCCCCCUAAGUUCAUUUCCAAAUAAAAGGAAAUGAAGCAAAUAGCAUGCCACAUUUCUCUUUGAAAGAAAUAAUAAAGACGUACAUGGCUUAGGCCCUGUUUAACCUAGCUUUUUGAAAGUGAUUUUAUUAUUUAGUAUUCAAAAUAUUCUUCUAAAAUUCAAUUUCAUUAGUAAACCCUAGAGAGAAAAAAAAAAAAUAUUUGAAGGGAUUUUUUUAAAAUCAAGGAGGGUAUUUUGGUCAAUCAAAAGUAAAUAAAAUAUUUUUAAAAUUUUGAAAAAAAUAUUAGAUACUAUUUCAUAAAAUAUAAAGUAAUUAAACAUGAUUGGGAUACUCACAAAAUUAUUUUUAUUUUUAUAGGGUAAGAUAGAUUAAAUCAUGACACGAUAUAUUAUGUUUGUCUCAUGAAUAAAACAUUAAACUUUAUUAAACACAUUUUCAUAUAAAGUAAAAUUUUUUUAAAAAAUGUAAGAGGAUCCUUAAAUUUUAGAUCUUUAACAAACAAACGAUCGACUAAACUUUAAAUUUUGACAAAUAGACCCUCUAAACUUCAUCAAAUGUGUUAAAGGGCCUCCCUCUCCCUCUUCAAUUUUAGUUACUAAUUACACUACCUUUUGAUUAUAUGUCUUUUAUAUAAUCGCAUAAAGCUUCAAAACAUAAAAUAUAUAUAUAUAGAGCAGGACUGCUGUGCUCUCAGGAGCACGGAGGCCUCCGUAUUCCUGAGCCGUUUUCGAUGAUGAAAUUUUCGAAUCGACGAUCGGCUCCGUUAGACUUAAUCUAUAUAUAUAUAUAUAUAUAUAUAUAUAUAUAUAUAUACUAUAUAUAUAUAUAUUAUAUAUAUAGUGAGGUCUCCCGUGCUUUCGAAAGUACGGAGGCUUCCGUACUUGUAAGUGUUUUUUCGAUGAUAGGACAUCCGAUUCGAACGAUCGGCUCGUUAGGCAUAAUCUAUACUAUUGGAAACUAUCUGGAAACCAAAUUUAUAAUUUUUUCGACUUCAUUUACCAAGCGAUCAAAGGUCUCAAAAAUGACUAUUUUAACGGCGAUUGUGGCACGUUUUUUAGUUCAACGGUGUGAGAAGUAUCCAAAUUACAUGAAACUUUAAUAAAAUUCUACUUAACAUCAGAGUAAAAGACAAUACUUUCAAUUGAAGUUUGAGUCCUUUAUCGCUGUUUUUUAUGAGAUUUUUAUUUUCAGCCGUUCAUGUGAGGCUACUCGUUCACUAGCGCAACGAAGUUAAAAAAUUAUGAAAUUUUGUUUCUCAAAUAGUUCAAUAGCAUAGAUCAUGCGUAACGAACGAUCGCCGAAUAUGGACGUCCAUCAUCGAAAACAACUUACAAGCACGGAGGCCUCCGUACUUUCGAAAAACAUAGGCUAGCUCUCUCCCUCUCUCUCUCUCUGUCUCUUCUCUCUCUCUCUCUCUCUCUUAUAUUAUAUAUAUAUAUAUAUAUAUAUAUAUAUAUAUAGUCCGCGCUAUGGUGCUUGGUAAAGCCACCAAGCAUCUAUCUUGUGUCUUGUAAAUUUUUUACUGUUAGGAUUUAUGCCUUUGAUGCCUUUCACUCGUUAGAUUAUUUAUUCCAACGAACCACUCCACUCAAACCUAGGAAGGCCACAUCGAUCCUGAACCGCACAUUUCUUUAAUCCAAGACGAAAAUUAUAAGCACAAUGACUUGAGUACUUUUAAAAGUAUAGUACGCCAUUAUAUUAUAGUAUAUAUAUAUAUAUAUAUAUAUAUAUAUAUAUAUAAUAUAUUCUAACAUAUAAGAAAAAUAAGAAAAAUGCUAAUUCAAUUUGGCCUCUUUUGCAUAAAAUCCACUUAUUUUGACUUUUGCAAAAACGCGAUCACCUUUUUCGUUUUCGCAGAUUCGGUCCACUUUAGUUCACCAAACUGGAACACAAAAUAUCCUUAUUACUUUUUCUCUUUCCUCUUUCUCUCUCCUCUCGUCUUUGUCGUUCUUUUUUUUUUUUUACUCCGACAAUAAGUGAAAGAUAGAAAAAAAAAAUUGGCGGACCGUCGCCUUUUCGUUACCGUCGCCUCCUUACACUCCACCAUCCUUCUUCACCGUGUUUCCUCCUCACCCUCCUGUUCCACCACCCGGACUCCCCUCCUCCUCUCCUCCCGCGCGGACCCCCAGCCCGGAUCCCGUCGCCGUUGGUCUCGGCAGCCUGGGCCGAACGGCGACUGGGGUCGGGCUGGAUGCGUGAGAAGAAUGUACAACGGCGAAGAAGAAGACAGGGGAGGCAAGCGACAGGGCGCAGGAGGGGGGAGGCGGAAGCGCACCGGCGCCGGCACCAGCGCCACGCGCGUGUUCUUCUCGUCCGGCGUUGCCUCCUCCGCGCCGCGCAGAAGCGCGCGACCAGGCCCUCUGCUUCUCCCCGACGACGUCGAGACGCGCGUACGCCCGGGUGACCCAGCCCGAUCCGUCGCCGCGGCUGGCAAGCCGCUUGCUGAACGAUUUGGUCGGACUGUUUUUUAUUUUAACUCACAUCUUUAAUAUGAGUAUUUAUACUGCCUUCUCCUUCUUGUUGCCACCGUUUCUCUCUUGUGCCACGAUUUAAAGAGCAGAAAACAGUGCAACAGAGGAGAAACAGUGCAACAAGAGGAGAAGCAGUAUAAAUAUCUCUUAAAGGGGUUCAGUUUAAGAUAAAUGGGUGCAGUUUUUUUUUCUUGUUGCACCAUUUUUUCUCCUCUUUUUGUAGUUAACGAUACAAUUUCAUCUUCAUCCUUUUUUUUUAUAUAAUUUUUUAUCUUUAUUUUUUUUCUGUUUUUUUUUUUUGUCACCCUCUCUGUCAAUAGCCACGGUGUCGGUGACGACGCCGCUAAAGACCCCCCACUCCGAGGCUGCAGUGCCGCAGUGAUCUCCACGGUGUCGGCGUCGAUGUCGGCGAAGAUGCAUCGUCGUCGGAGGCAGCAGAGAAGGAGGGAGAAGGAGAGACGGGAAGGGCAGGGAAGAGCGAGAGAGGCGCCGUCGUCGGAAACUGCAGAGGAGAGUCAGAGAAGAAAAGAAAAGAAAAAUGCAAAAAAAAAAAGUCACAGUCCGGCUUUAGUGGGAUCGGAGGCGAGGAAGGUGGGGGCGCCGGCGGUGACGCCGCUCUGUCUUCGCCGCUCUCUGGGAAGAGAAAGAAAAAAAAGAACGAGAGAAAAAGAGAAAAGAAAAAGGUAUAAGAGCACCUACGCUCCGUCUUCGCCGCUCUCUGGGAAGAAAAAGAAAAAAAAACGAGAGAAAAAAAGAGGAGAGAGAAAGAUAAAAGAGAAAAAGGUAUAAGGGUAUUUUGGUAAGUUUGCUGAAAAAGCGGACCGAAUCUGCAAAAGCCAAAAAGAUGACCCGAUUUUGCAAAAGCCCAAAAUAAGUGAAUUUUUUAUGCAAAUUGGCCAUCAUAUUUUUCAAUCCUCAGACUUAAUUAUCAACAUUGGAAGAAAAUAAAGUAUUAUAAGAUUACAUCCACAGCAUGCGAUCAAUAUAAUCUGUGUAGUGAGUAACUACAAUCGAGAAGAGAAAUCUAUUGAACUAUUUAAUAACGUUUAGGACAACAAAUUGUAAAAAUUAAAAAUAUCACACGCAUAUUUGUAAAACAGCGCAGCAAAAGAUAUGUUUGUUUUUCCUCAAAAAAAUAAAAAUUAAUUUUUGAAAUAAUUUUUUUUUAUGAAAAACUUAUUUUUCAAAUUUUUUGUCUAUUUGGUUUCUUAAAAAAGUCAGCUUUUUCGAUUUUUUUUUCAGAUUUUAUAAAAGGAUAAUAUUUUUAUUUUAUCAUAUAUUUAUUCGAAAUACGAGAUAUUUUAUCUUAUUAAAGUAAACAUACUAAUUUUUUAUAAAAAUCGAAAGAAAAGAAACUACCUUUUCUUACAAUCAAACGUACGAAAAAUUAUAAAAUAUAUGUUUUUUUUAAAAAAAAAUAAUUUUUUUUUUCCCUUGGAGAGAAACCAAACAAUCCCUACAUAUAUAGUUCUAGUGGGGUGUCCGUGCAUUUGUAUUUUCCUCCAAAAUAUACUGAAUUCAGUGGACGGAAGAGAGCGGUUGGAUCGGGAUCGGACGGUGGGGAUCGGGUUAUGUUGUGUCCGCAUGCACCACUGUCAUCGAAACUGAACUUUAGAUUGAAGUGGAUUUUAAAUUAAAGUUGAGUUCGAUGAAAAUUUUUUCUUUUUCGAUAUUUAUUUUAUAGUUAUGAAAAUAAAGUUCUAUUAAUUAUGCUAUUUACUUGGUAAGAAAUAUAUGAUAUAAAGCUAUAAUUUAUAUAUAAAUAAUAAAUAAUUUAAUAAAUAAAAAAUAAUAUAAUUAUAUUUUUAUAUAAUUAAAAUUUAAUUUAAAACAACUAAAUUAUUUUUUGAAUGGUGGACAAAAUACUUAGGCAUCUAUACAUUAGGUAUAUUUAUUAAUUGUGAUGAUAUUUGAUAAUUAAAAAAAUAUAUUGUAUUUUUUGUUUUAAGUAUAUUUGAGAAGUCAAUAUAUAUGAAUAUAAUUAAUUAGUAUUAAGCUUUUGAUACUUCUAAACAUAAAUAGUAAUUCUUCGUUCCCUUUGAUGAUCGGAUCAGAAUUAGAUAGUAAAUGUGUGAAUCAUAAUUUUGAUAAAUUUUUGACUCAUUAAUAUCCAAAUGAAUCUUUGCUGAUGAUAUUAUAUGUCAUAUUAGAAUUGUCGCAUUGCAUCAUAAUCGAUUGGUUGUCAAAACUUUUAAAAAAAUAACCACCUAAGAAUGAACUGAUCAACCCAGCCAUGAAUUUCACCAAAUAAAACAAAUAAAAAAAAAGAAAACAUUGAGCCGAAUUGAAUAAAUCGAUACUCGUAUUCGUCUGUAUUAUAAUUGAGUAAACUCCACACCAGAUAAUUUAGAUUAUUAUACAUUUAAUUUAAGUGUAUUAAUUAAGUAUUAAUUAGUCAUGAGAUUUGGUUUCGGCACAAAAAAACAAAUAAAUAAGUAAAUAAUCCAUAACUAAAUAACUCCACAAUCCUCUGAUUUUUGUGGGUUAAAAUUGAGAUGAAUUUCUCAAUUAUCAUCUAUUGUUUCUUUAUCUCUCUAGAUAUAAAAAUUAACCACGUUCAUUUUUAAAAAAAUAAUUAACAAUAUUUUAUUUAAAUUAUCAAUAUAGAAAUAGUGUAAUGAUCAAAAUUCGCAUUUUAAUUUCAUUUAUUUAUUUAUCCUCGCAGAGGAGUUAAGUUCGCUUUUUUAUUUUGGGGUCAAGGGACUAUAUUUUAGGAGGCUCAUUUAUCUAAAGAGAUUAACACAAUAAAUUGAUAAAAUAUUAAAGGUAAUUUCAUAACUCUAAGUAAAAUAGUGAAUGACAAUAUAACUUGUUAAACAAAGUUCAACUAUUUUAUAUUAUUUCAUAUAAAAAAGUCAUAAUAGUUUGUCAAAUAUAUUUUAUCCCUGUCGAUAAUAUAUGUGUUAGAAUNNNNNNNNNNNNNNNNNNNNNNNNNGUGGUUAAUGUUACAAAUAUAUUUUUUACACAGAAAAGUUAGCAAUAUUUUUUUUAUAAUUGUUAUCCUCUCAUAAUAAAAAGAUUAAAUUCAUAAUUAAUUUUAUAAUAUAUUUAAUUCUUCUGUCGUCAGUAUUAAUAUUGGUUAUGAAAAUUUUUACUUAACCUAAGUGGUUCGGUAUUUCUUAUUUUUAUCACAUGCCUCCUACAUAUAUAAAUUGUACACUCUUUUUGUUAUGGCUUUUUUGGAUAGGAUGUUAUUUUGUCUAUACGGCCGCACUGGCAAAAUUAAAUUAUAAAUAGCUCUCUAACGGGUUAUCUUGUAAACUUGAGUCAAUUAAACUUAGAGACUAAAUAUUUUAUAAAAUAUAUAAAAAUUUUUACCAGGAAUUAUGACAUAUAAAAAAUAUAAAAGCAAUUUGUAGUUAGAUUUUGUAGUGUUAUGUUCGAUCAUUUCACGAAUUUAUAUUUUUUGUUUUGACUAGGAAAAAUUGCAUUGUGAUAUAUGAACACUUACAUACCAUUCAUAAUGAGAGAGUGAGUGAAUUUUAGACUAUGUACUCACUUUCUCUAGUUGAUGGGAGAACUUUUUUUUGCUGGUUACCGUGCAUAGCAUUUUGGCAUAAUCGGUCUUUUGGACUAUGUGGCAUUUCGUCCCGCAUCAUUAAACUCCCUAUAAUUUGUUUGUCUAAGAUGGCGGUGUCGGUGGUGUCGGUCCGGUUGUUGGACGUUCGAGUGUUGUGCGGAUGGACGGUACUCUCAGACAGGACUCCGCCUGUGCAGUUUUUGGCCCACGAUCGUCCCAAUUCAUUAAGGGUCCCGCAAGUCUAUAAGGUGGGUCUUUCUUUAUUAAAUCAUUUAAAAUAUAAACAAAAAUAAGUAAUGAAAAGAAAGUGCGAACCUUUUUUGCCUAAUGUUUCCUUUUGUUUGGAAGUUGGAUGGUAGGUUGAAAGGUGGACGACCUGAAAUAAAUUUUUCGUUAUAAGGAUUAAUUUGAUUUUUGUUGUUUAUGUCUCGGUACCGUAAGCAAAAGUAUUGUUUUUGAAUUUAAUUUGAGUUGAAACCGAAUACGCUUUCGUAAUUAUUAAAUUUUAUCGCUCGUAGUGUAGUAGGAAUAUUAAAAUAUUUAUUUAUAUAGUAUAUAUAUAUUUAUUAGGUAAAAGAGUUAUAUAUUUAAAAUAUAUUUAUUUAAAAUUAUUAUUAUUUUUAUUCAGUUUGCAUGAUUUAAAUAUAAUAAAAAUUUAUUAGUGUUAAGUUUUAAUACUUUCUUUAUUCAUUUUUGGAUACAAUUAAAUAUGAUAAAAAUUAAUUAAUUAGUAUUAAUAUUUUUUAUUUUAUAUUUUAUUGUUGCUAUACUAUGUAUUUAUCGUAUAAUUAUAUAUAUAUAUAUAUAUAUAUAUAUAUAUAUAUAUAUAUAUAUAUAUAUAUAUAUAUAUAUAUAUAUAUAUAUAUGAGUAUAGUAGCAUAGGAGAUCACUAUCAUCCUAACUGCACAUCCUUUAAUUAUAAGCAAAUUUUCUGAUAAAAUAAAUUAAUUUGAAAUUUUCGGUCAUUCAAUUCUCAUGGAAUAAGAAAAACUACCUCUCCCAGGUUGCUUUCAUAACUUGUUACAACAUUCGAACAAAAUUAAAUUGUUGAGCUUUAUUAUUUUAAUGUGUAAAGAUCAUAGUUUAAAAAAAUUGCUGAUGUAUUAGAAAAUCUAAAAGAAAAUUACAAUGGUAUAUUAUCAUUUGCUCAAUAUUUCAAAUUUUGUAUGCGCCUCUAAUGUCACACUUUAGGGGCUCAACUGCAGUAGUUGAACUUAUAUCUAAGUUAGCCGCAUAGUUAAUUACAACAAUUGACAGUAAUUUUGAACAAAAAAUAAGCGAAUGUAUUUUUUUUUUUCGACAAUAGAUUAAUCUCAGGUCUCGUAUAUAAAAUAUGAAAAUUUAUAAACACAGUCCUUAAUUACACGUAACUAAAUAUACUGUUUAUAGUUGUGGCAUUAUGUGCAACAUCUAAUCACGUAAAAUAUACAGUGCUGUAAUUAUUAUAUUUUUCAUAUUUUUGAGUGAAUAAAUUGCUAACUACACUAAAUUUACAAUUACAUCAAAUCCAGUAAAUCGCUAACCACACUAAAUUUUAGAUUUUUAAAUUUAGAUUUAAUCUUAGAUAUAAAAUUUAAAAUUUAGAAUUUUAAAUUUUCAAAUUUGAGAUUUAAAAACUUAGAUUUAAAUUUUAAAAUUUUGAAUUUAAAAGUUAUAUAUUUGAAUUUAAAAAAUUAUAUAUUUAAAUUUAAAAUUUAAAAUUAAAUUAAAAUAGAAGGGACCGCCCCAGCCCCCGCAUAUCAUUAUCUUUUCUCUUUAUAAUAUCCAACUAAUUCCCCCCCCUCUUUCCAUCUUUAUCUACUAAAUAAUAUUUUUUUAUUUUUAAAAAUAAUUUAAUUUUUAUAUAAAUAUAAAAUUAUAUCUACCAUUAAAAUAAAGAGUUUUUGGUUUAUAUUCGAUCCAAAGGACAACCUAAGAAUCUCGAUCAGGGGCAAUGAACAUACUUUAGCUGGAUUUGUAGGGGUGAUGUAGCAUAUUAUUCUCAACCGCUUACAAAAACAUCAUCAAGUAAUAAUAUUUGAUUUGAUAUGUGGUUUUUUCUCUCCUGCUUCUAUCAUCUCCUCCUAUAUAAACGAACCAAGCGAGUAAAACAUGAUAUAAAUGCGAAGAAAAGGACCAAAAAAAAAAAAAAAAAAAAAAAAAAAAAAAAAAAGCCAGCGCGAACGACGAUCACGCCUCGCCGUUGGAAGCGCCGUUAGAUGGAGUCCGGCGAAGGGCGGAAGAGGGAGGACGGCGCCGUCAGGCCGGUCGCACGUGAAGUACGACGCGGAGGUCGAAGAGUUCUGCGCUCCUCGCCGCAUCGCGACGCUUCGAGGGCGUCUCUCGACGCGCGUCGACUGACGCGAAACCGUCAGCGUGGGCGCCGUCGGGCGGGGCGCGGUGGGAGCCCGGCUUCGAGUGGGAGCUGUCGCGCGUUAGGCGAGGACGGAGCGACGAUCGCAGCUAAAGAUAAAAACGGGCGGCGGCGGCGGCGGCGGCGGACGGCUUCGGCGGCCGGGGAGAGCGCGGAGCGCGAGAAUCGACUCAACGCACGGAAUCCGGAAGGACAAUACGAGGUAGGGGACCCCGGUCCGUGAGGAUUACCGCUCGGAUGAGGUUAACCGCAUGAUGAGCGUAAUACAAUGCCGCGCAGUAGGGACGGAUGAGAUUAAGCGACUGACGAGAGAGGCGAUAGCUCGUGACUGCGGGUAGAUUAUUAGUUAUUUUUUCCCUUUUAAAGGACAGGAAAAACAAUGCCGGAUUGAUAAUGUGAAUAUAAUGUUUAUGAAAGGAAUUUCUAUUUUUAAUAUUAAUAUUAUUUAUUGAGACCUCUUUAAUUUUUAUCUUUUUUAUAUUUUGUAUGGUUCAUGAUGAGUCUUUUAGUAGUUAAUAAUUUUUAUCUUAUAAAUAAAAUAAUUAAAAUAAUCUAAAUAUUAAUAAAAUAGGUUUAUGAAAAUUACAAAAGAGCCUGAUCUAGGUAGUCAUUUCCUUCCAAAUAGUCUACAGUUAGGCGUCUUGCAUAUAGUGUAUGUAUGUAAAAAUUAAUUUUGAUAUUUCGUGGUAAAUGUUAAUUUCGGCUAAAUUACUUGCAUACUACAGUACACCAAAAUUGAAUCAGUCGGUAGCAUUAAGGAGGACGAAUUGAUAUAUUACAGAAAGAAGAAUAAAUAAUAAAUACUUUAGGCUGUAUAUGUAUGGACUAUUCAAACAUUUUCGCGCCCCGCAUGUUUCAACGCAAUUGUACGUAUUUUAAGUUAUACUGGCGUUGCGUGAUAGUGAUUUAUGUACAUAGUAAGUACAUCAUUAUUCCGCCUAUUGUUUCAUAGAUCUAUGAUAAUACUCAAGUUAUUUUUUUUUUCUUUUUUUCUUUGAAUGUGUUCCAAUAAACUUUUGCUUCUUUUACUAAUAUUUCAUAUUUAUGUAACUCUUAAAAAUUACUUUCUGGAUUUUGUACUUUCUCACAUUUAGCACCUAUAGUUUUAAAGUGUAUCACAGUUAUUUCUAUGCUUUUAUUUUUAUCUUUGUCAGCUUCUCCUGUUACAUAUUUUGUAAUUAUGACACAAAAAAUUUCAGGUACUGCAUUUAGGAUUAUCAAUAUUCACUUUUAACCUUUAGUUUUAGCGGUUUAUCACGAUUUAACAAAAAAAUAGGUAGAAUCGAUAUAAAAUAAAAUAAAAUACAUGACACUAAAUUGAUUACUUUAAAUUAUAAGGUGUACUAAAGUAAAAAAUAUGAAAUCAUAGGGUGGAAUUUAAAUUCCUGUUAGAUUUUUGCGGUACUUGCAGUUCUGUACGGCAGUUUUCAUCUAAAAAUCUAUAUUUUUUUGAAAGUCCAAAGUCUAGCAAACUGAGAUAGCAUUGACAAGCUUACCAAUGCUUUUAAAAGUUACAGCACGAAUAUACUUUUUACUUAAAAAAAAAAAAAGCUAAAUAUAUAUAUAUAUAUAUAAUAUAUAUAUAUAUUAUAUAAGAAAGAGAGGGAGAGAGAGAGAGAGAGAGAGAGGAGGAGAGUAGGUCUUGUGUGCUAUUAGGAGCACGGAGGCCUCCGUGCUCCUAAGCUGUUUUCGAUGAUGGAGCUUCUGAAUCGACGAUCAGCUUCAUUAGAUUUGAUCUAGCAUAUUUGAAGUACCUAGAAAAUAAAUUUUGUGACUUUUCAGUAUCAUUUUCCUAGCAACCGAAAGGGUUCAAAAUCAACAAUUUUUAAUAGUUGAUGUAUAUCGUUUGCAAGUUUAAUAAUGUAGAAGUAUUCAAAUCAGAUGAAAUUUUGAUUGAAAAUUCUUUAUACUAUUUACAGCAAGAUCAAUAUCUUUGAUCGAAAAUUUUAAUACUAUAUCACAAUUUUUUGUGAGAUUUUCAUUUUCAGCCGUUGAUUUUGAACCCUUUUGAUCGUUAGGUAAAUGAUAUCGAAAAGUCACAAAAUUUAUUUUCUAGAUACUUCAAAUAUGUUAGAUCAAGCCUAACGGAGCCGAUCGUCGAUUUGGAAAGCUCCAUCACCGAAAACGGCUUAGGAGCACGGAGGGCUCCCUGCUCCUAAUAGCACACAAGACCUACUAACUAACUAACUAACUAACUAUAUAUAUAUAUGUAUAUACAUAUAUAUGUAUAUACAUAUAUAUAUAUAUAUACACACAGCUCUUAGGAGCACGGAGGCCUCCGUGCUCCUGAGCCGUUUUCGAUAAUGAAAAUUUUGAAUCGACGAUCGGCUCCGUUAGACUUGAUCUAGCGUAUUUGAAAUUUCUAGAAAAUAAUUUUUGCGAGUUUUUUGAUUCAUUUACUAGUGAUCGGAAGCAUUCAAAAUCAAUAAUGUUAAUGGUUGAUAUCUACGUUUCUCAGUUAACGGUGUAGAAAUAUUUAAAUCAGAUGAAAUUUUGAUUACAAAUUCUUUAUACUAUCUGCAACAGAAUCAAUAUUUAAUAAACGAAAUUUUAUAGUACUAUAUCACCACUUUUUAUAGAAUUUUUAUUUUCAGUCGUUAAAAAUUAUUUGAUUUGAUCCUUUCGAUUGCUGGUAAAUGAUACUGAAAAAUCGCAAAAAUUAUUUUCUUAGAAACGUUAAAUACGCUAGAUCAAGUCUAGCGGAGACGAUCGUCGAUUCGAAGCUCCAUCAUCGAAACAGCUCAGGAGCACGGAGGCCUCGUGCUCUUGAGAGCACAACAGUCCUGCUCUCUCUCUCUCUCUCUAUAUAUAUAUAUAGAGUUGAGCUAGAAUACUCUCAGAAGCACAGGAGGUGGUGCUUUGAGUUUUUAACCAUUGGAUGGAGAUUUGUAGGGUUGAGAUGAUGGGCGGUGGUGGUGGUAGGUGAAAUAGUAUUUGAACCAAGGGUGGGGUAUUAGUAAUUAAGGAGUAGAUUCAAGUCUAAAAACUUAGAAGCACCAAGGAUUGGUGCUUCUAAAGUAUUCUACGUCAAUUUUAUAUAUAUAGAAUUGAGCUGAAAUAUGAUCUAUACACUUGAAGUUUAGAAAUCAAUUUCAUAUAUUUUCGAUAUUAUUCUCUAUCCAUCGAAUGGACACAAAAAUGAAUAGCUGAAAAUGAAUAUUCUUUAAAAAUUGAUGAUAGGAGUCUUGUAGUCAAGAUCAAGAGUAUAGAUCUUGUUUUAAAUAGUUUAAAAAAUUUUCUAAUAAAAAUUCAAUUGAUUUGGAUAUCUUUCACCGUUAAACGAGAAAACGCUCAUAUCGACCAUUAAAAUUACAAAAUUUGAAACCUUUGAUCAUAAGGCAAAUGAUGUCGAAAAGAUUUGAAAUUUGAUUCCUAGUAUUUCAAAUGGUAUAGAUCAUGUUCAACGGUGCCGAUGUCAAUUUGAAGCUCAUCAUCGAACAAAUGGAUAUAUAUAUUAUAUAUAUAUAUAUAUAUAUAUUAUAUAAUAUAUAUGCUGAUACUAUCAGUAAAUUGGAGGCCUCCGUGUUACCAAGUUGGUUUUAAUAAUGCGCUUCUAAACCGACGAUCGGCUCCGUUAGAUUUGAUCUACACUAUUGAAAGUAUUUGGAAACUAAAUGUCAUAAUUUUCGGUAUAAUUGAAACAAAUUUGAUAGCACAGAGCCGUCCGUGCUACCGAUAGUAUACCAGUCUAGCUGUAUUAUAUUCUAUCGAUAGCAUGAACGCUUGUUGUUGUCGAGUUUUCCGCCGUUAGAUUUAACCCUUUGGCUAUUUUCACACGUUAGGUUAUAGUAUUCAACCAUUAACUCACUUAACCCUAGAGAUCCAUAUCAUCCUAACAUACAUUUUAUAUCUAAGGGCCAAACCUAAUGGCACAAAUACCUUGGUGUUAUUGAUAAUACUCCAACCUAGUUAUAUAUAUUAUAUAUAAUAUAUAUAUAUAUAUAUAUUAUAUAAUAUAUAUAUAUAUAUAUAUAUAUAUAGUUAGGCUGCUCUAUCUAUCGGUAGCACGGGACUCCGUGCUACUAAGUUGUUUUGAUGAUACGCUUCUGAAUCGAUGAUCGGCUCGUUAGACUUGAUAUACACUAUUAAAAGUAUUUGAAAAUUAAAUUUCAUAAUUUUCGACAUCAUUUGUUGCUAUGAUCAAAAGGUCUCAAAAUUAACAAUUUUAAUGGCCGAUGUGAUACGUUUGUGAAUUUAACGGUGUAAAAUAAUCCAAAUCAGAUGAAAUUUUUAUAGAAAAUUCUUUUUACUAUUUAGAGUAAGAUCAGUACUCUGAUCUUAAAUUCAAGUCUUCUAUCAUCAUUUUUUAUGAGAUUUUUAUUUUCAGCGUUCAUUUUAGACUAUUUGUUUGAUAUGUAAAUGAUAUGAAAAUUAUGAAAUUUACUUUCCAAAUGCUUGUAGAUAUAGUGAGAUCAAGUCUAACGGCAGCGAUCGUCGAUUUGAAACCGCAUCAUUGAAAACACUUGGUAGCACGGAGGCCUCCGUGCUACCGAUAGUAUACCAGCUAUAUUAAUAUAUAUAUAUAAUAUAUAUAAUAUAUUAGUCUGGCUACUAUACUAUCAUGAGUACGAUCACUCUCGUACUCAUAAGUUUGUUUCAAUGAUAGAGUUCCCGAAUCAUAUAAUCCACACCGUUAAGCGUUAUCUAAGCAUUUAAACGUUUAGAAAUCAAAUUUAUAAUUUUUCGACCAUUUACCUUACGAUCAAAAAGCUCACAAAAUUGACAAUUUUUAACGGCUGGUAUGGAAUACUUGCUAGUUUAACGGUGCAAAAGUAUCCGAAUAUAUUGAAUCUUUGCUAGAAAAUUUUAUUCACUAUCUAGAUAAAGAUCAAUAACUCCGAUCUUAAAUUGAAGGAUCCAAUCAUCCAUUUUUAAGACAUCGUUCGAUUUUGACCGUUCAUUUUAUACCCGCUUGAUGGGCUUUAUUAUGAUUUCAAAAAAUUACGAAAUUAAUUUUCUAGCAGUUUCAAAUACUCAUAAUAGUAUAGUAGCCCUACUCUCUCUCUCUCUCUCUCUCUCUCUAUAUAUAUAUAUAUAUAUAUUAUUGAGCUAGAAUAUUUUUAGAAGCACCAAAGGGGUGCUUCUAAGUUUCUAGCCAUUGGAUCUACUCCUUGAAUACUAGCUAAUACCCCAUGGAUCAAAUACUAUUCCACCUACCACCAUCUACCACCAUCGUCUCAACCCUAUAUCUCUCCAUCCAAUGGUUAAAAACUCAAAAGCACCACCCCUUAGUGCUUUUGAAAGUAUUCUAGCUCAACUAUAUAUAUAUAUAUAUAUAUGACAUUCCUUAGAUUUUGAAAUUAUUUUAUAUAUAAGAUAUAAUAAGGUUAAACAUCUUAAUCCGAUUAUAGAAUUUUAGGCGAUAACUAGGUCCAAAAGACUAAUAGAGGUAAGCGUGUUACGACUAAUAGUUAGGUCCAAAAGACUAAUAGAGUUAAGCGUGUUACGACUAAACUAGCUCUAGAACAGAUGACAUUUCAGAAAAGCGAGGCGCCACUGUUGGUAUUAGAGUCAAUCAUUAAUCGAAAGUAUGAGAUGAGUUUCGAUUGAGUUAGAAUCAUACGGCAGGCAAAACGCAAUUCCCUGAGUGACAAUCGUGGGUGGAGGGCAAUUCUCUGACUAGCGAGACGAGUCCCACACCGUCUAAUACUUAUGAGUAUGCUUGAAUGUGACGAGGACAUCAGAACUUAAUGAAGAACAAAAUAUGACAUUCCUAAGAUUUGUAAUCGUCUUAUACACAACUUAUAAUAUGGUAAAACCUCUUAACCCAAUUAUAGCAGAAGCAUUUUGAGCAGUAAAUAGGCCGAAAGAUUAAGAGGAUUAAGCUUCUCAGAAUCAGAAUAAAUUUUUAUUGGAUGACCUCCUGAAUUAUGGGUCGUCACCGUACACAUAUCUAACAUUGCGUGCUGUAUACGAAAAGCACGCUGAGUUUGACAUAUGAGGUAUGAGAUACGCAAGAAUUUAAUUCAUUAGACCUACAACAUCAAUUAACGGCGAGAGAUUAGGAUUGGCUGUGACACGUGCUUUUCAUUUCCUCGCAAUGAGAUCAAAUGCCUCAACUAUGGUCCUAAUCUUUGCAUUUCAUCGUUAAUUACGCACUUGCCAUUAAAUCAUGCUGUUAAAUUGAAUGGAAAUGUCUACAUAUAUAAAGCAUCACAAUAGUUGUCUUGUAAUUGCAUUUGCACUUCUCAUUAGUGUAAAAACACAUUACUUUUUUUUAAAUUUUUUUUAUUACAUGUGCUUGGAAGUUACAUUGUGCUUACGUUGACAUUCAGAUUUUGUAAAUUAAGAACCUUUUUUUUUUUUCAAAACUUGAUUUUAGAAAAAUUUUAAUAUAAGAUAUCAAGUAUGAUGAGAGUGAAAGAAAAAUAAUAAAUGUAACGGAAAUGAAGUGCUAGAUUGGGAUGCUAUUAAUAACACUGAAUUUUUGUGCUUCGAAGUUAUUUUCGAUGAUGGAGCAUUCAAUUUGACGACUGGCACCACUGAAAGUGAUUUACGCAUAUAAAAUUUUUAGAUACCAAAUUUUAUAGAUUUUUUUACUUCAUUUAUCUAGUGAUCAAACUAUAUCAAAAGUGACAAUUUUAAGGGCUUUUUUUGCAAAUAGCCCCCAAAUAAAAUUCUUUUUUAAAAUUGGCCCUGUCAAAAAUUUAUUUGCAAAAAUGGCCCUGCCCCUGCCACGCAAGCGCCACGUCAGCGCCACGCGGGCGGGGCAAGAGUUUAAGUUGAACACGGUGAACCAUUCACCGUGUUCAAACACGGUGGCUGAAUCACCGUGUUCAACUUAAACACCUGGCCCCAGCCCCGCCCGCGUGGCGCUAACGUGGCGCUUGCGUGGCAGGGGCAGGGUCAUUUUUGCAAAUAAAUUUUUAACAGGACCAAUUUUAAAAUAAAAUUUUGUCAGGGGGCUAUUUGCAAAAAAAGCCCCAAUUUUAAUGAUAUGUAAAACAUAAUUCCUCAGACUAUGGAGAACUUGCAAUUUGGUACUCACAUUUUAAUUUUAGUAACUUCUUACUAUAAUCUAAAUUAGUGGACUAUAUGUUGAUAUGUUUGUAAUAUGGAAGUGGGGUGAGGUGACUAUACAUGUCAUAAGUGAUGAUGCAUUAAUAAUUAAAAUAUCAUAUCACUUUUUUAUUUUAGUUAUUCAUCGAUAAUUAAUGAAUUAAAGUAGGAGGUAAAACUUGACUGCAACAAUUUUAAAACUUCGUAGGAGGUAAAACUUGACUGCAACAAUUUUAAAAGUUCGAAUAAGAAGUUGCUAUAAAUUAAAGUUCAAGAAAUAAAGCGUCACAUGUACCAUAGUUUUACGACCAAAAUUGUGAUUUAGCCUUUUUUUUUUUAGUUAAUUUCAUACAGGUUCUUACAAAUAUAAUGAAUUACAAAUAUAUUCCUAUAAAGUUCAACUUUCAUAUGUUGUCCCUAUUAAAAUCUUGAUGUUUUCUAAUAUGUCCUUGCCGUUACGAUCCAUUAGAAAAAAUUAGCUAAUUAUAGGUAAAAUAUUUAAUUCUAGUUAGUUAAUGAGGUGAAUUGACCUUUUUAACCCUUUUUAAUUAAUAGUUGGGAUUUUUGGAGGGACAUAUUUGUAAUGAUAAAAAGGUCAUUUCACUUAUAUAAUAAACAGUGUUUUAACGGUAACAAAAUAGAGAGACAUAUUUAAAAAUAUUAGGACUUUUAUAAGGACAACAUAUGAAAGCUGAACUUUGCAUGAAUAUAUUUAUAAUUUAUUAUAUUUGUAGGGACAUGUAUGAAAUUAACCUUUUUUUUUUUAAGUCAAUGACUUUUCUACGGCACUUUGCUUUUAUUUGUAUGACUUGCUCAUAUGAAAGCUGCACUUUUUAGAAAUAUAUUUGUAAUUCACUAUAUUUAUAGGCUGCGUUUGGUUGGAGGGAUAUCCCAGAACAAGACGGCAUAUCCCUCUUUAUCCCCCCAAACACAAUGAAAAAUAAAACUUCGUAGUUGUUCCGGGCUUAACGGGUUGUUCCGGGAACAACCCGUUAAGCUUGUUCUCCCUUCCAUGGAGAACAAGGUGGAACUUCUCUUUUUUGUCUCUUUUUCUUUUUAUUAUGCCAUUUUAUUUAUUUUAUACUUUAUUUUAAUUAAUUUCAAAUAAAUUAAAUGAAUGCUCACAUUUAAUAAUAAAUAUAUUAAUAUAAAUAUUAUUUUUAUGAUAAUAUAUUUAUAUUUAAAUUUUAUUAUAUAAUAUAAAUUAAUGAAAUUUGAUAUAUUUUUUAUCUUAUUGAGUUUUAUCAUUUAUAUAUUAAUAUUUAAUUAUUUUAUUUUAUAUUAAGUAUUAUAUACAUAAAGUNACGGUAACAAAACAGAGAAAAAUAUUUAAAAAUAUUAGAACUUUUGUAAGAACAAUAUAUGAAAGCUGAACUUUGUAUGAAUAUAUUUAUAAUUUUUUAUAUUUGCAGGGACAUGUAUGAAAUUAACCUUUUUUUUAAUGACUUUUCUACGGCACUUUGCUUUUAUUUGUAUGACUUGCUUUGGCCUUUUGGUCAAUGUUUAAUUAAUUAACUUUAAAAUAAAAGGAGCAACAUAUGAAAGCUGCACUUUUUAGGAAUAUAUUUGUAAUUCACUAUAUUUACAGAAAUUUUUAUGGAAUUAAUAUUUUUUUUUAAUGACUUUUCUGCGGCACUUUGCUUUUAUUUUUAUGACUUGCUUUGGCCUUUGGUCAAUGUUUAAUUAAUUAACUUUAAAAUAAAAGAAGCAACUUCUUUUCAAUUAGAUAUGUUAUAAUAUCAUUGGCACGUUCUCCAUGGGAUUAAAUGCUAAUUAAUUAAAGUCUCCUUUAAGGAAGCAAUCCUAGGGUUGCAUAGAAUUGAUUUUUUUAUUUAAUUUUUUACUUUUUUUUAUUUAUUAUAUUUUACCUUAAAGAGCCUAGGUUGAUUGCGUUGGUCUUUAUAUUUAAUUUGUGGAAAAAUAAAGCAAGUCAUAAGUCCAAAAUAUGUCGUAUACAAUAGAACUGAUUCGACCGAAAAGUUUAAACAGUUUAAUAUAGAUUCGAUUACGCAAAGGCCCAGUCAAAAUAAUUACAAUAAGAAUAUGAUUCCUAGUGUUUAAUCUAUAAAAAUCGUAUUCCAAGAUGAAUAUAAUAGACAAAUAAAAAUAUGAAUAAUAUAUAAAAAUUUAAUUUGUUAAAUAUUGAAGGUCAGAACUAAACUCGCCCUCUCACAAAAUAGCCGACUAUAUUACCAAAACAUUAAGUCAAGGGUCUGCAUAGUUCAAUACUCUAUAUUUUCCACUAAAAAUAUUUUAAAUAUUUUUAAUUUGUUUCCUAUGUGUCUAAUUAAUUAAUAAACUUAAAAGAAAGAAAGGCAACUUUGUCACAAUUAGACAUGUUAUUAUAAUUGGGCUAAUUUUUUGGUAAAAAUGUAAAGAACUUAUCUGAAUUAUAAAUCAUUUUGAGUUAGCUAUCCAACUUUUUAAAAUUUCAGAUUUACUAUCCAGCCUUUCAAUUUACUUGAUUUAAAUCAGUCAACAGUGCUUGAACUUUAAAAUUUAAGCUAAUUACUUACUCUAAUAAAUUAUAUGUAGUUGUGAGAAUUGUAUUCACUAGACUAACUAAAUCUGUGAAGAUAGACGAUGCAUUCAAAUUUAGAAGUAAAAGUAUCGCCGGCUGACUUAAAUCAAAUAAAUUAAAAAAUUAGAUAGCUAAUUUAAAAUGGUCCAUAGCUCCAAUAUGUUUUAUAAGUUUUUAUCUAAUUUUUAAGAUUGGAUCGCUAACUCAAAAUGGUUGAGGGAUAAAGUAUGACAACGGUUCAAUUACUUAAGAUAUGACACAUAAAUUGGAACUUAUUGAACCGAACAGCUAAACAGCUAUAUAUAAAUGUGAUUACACAAUUAUAAAUAGCUAAACAGUGAAAUUCACCAACAAAGGAACAGCACAAAUAAUUCUGAGUUUAAGAAAAAAACAUUGUUUAUUUACAUUUCCAAACUCUGAGCUCGUAAAAUUUUGUCAAAUUUAAUCCGAAUGUUGAACUUGUGCUGUCUCACUGUAACGCCCCAAUAAUUCCACAUCGGAUGAAAAAAUAAUUCUGAUUAGAAUAUAUGAGGCCUAAUAAUAACUGGUCUUAAAUAUUUUAAGCCGAUGGUUUGGACCUAACGAGUUAUUAUUAUUAGCGGGUCGACUCGUUACAAUAGAUAUCAGAGUCGAAUACCACUGGAAAGUGUGAGAGCUAAGUGUUAUGCGGGACAAAUUGCUAUACUAACGAGUUUGGUAGGAGCUCUAACAUCGCUUGAUAAUUCUGACAUAUAUGUCUGUGGUCUGGAUUUGAACAGUCUAUGUAAUAACUAGAUUUAAAUAUUUUGGACCCAAAAUUGCCUGAUAAUUCUGACAUAUAUGUCUGUGGUCUGGAUUUGGACAGUCUAUAUAAUAACUGAAUUUAAGCAUUUUCGGCCCAAAUCACCUGAUAAUUCUGACAUAUAUGUCUGUGGACUGGAUUUGAACACUUCAUAUAAUAACUAGAUUUAAGUAUUUUGGCCCGGUGUUUUGGAUUCAACGAGUUAUUGCUGCUAACGGGUCGGAUCGUUACACUCACAAAAUGUCACGCCCCGAAUUACCACAUUUUUUCGGGUAUGCCAACAGACCCACUGUAUACAUAGGAAUUUUCCGUGUAUACGAAGCGAUAGCGGUACCUGUAAUCACAACAUAACUACAACCAGUAGUGUAGAGCUGCUAAACUGAAACCUGUAUAAAUAAAACAUAAAGGAGUUCUGGUACAUACAAAAGUCCACGACCCAACUCGCUCCAGCAAGUACAAUGACAACAUAACAGUAUGUACAAAGAAAGCCCCAAAACUAUCUCUGUAUGGUACUUCUCUAGCACUGCGACAAGACUGGUAGAGAUCUAGCUCGCGACGCCCUUCCCACGGUCCAAGUCAGCAACAACAGCAGCCGCAGACGAAGGCUCUGUUAAAAGGUGUUAACAACUGGGUGUGAGAACUACUAUAAAACAAAUAGUUCUCAGUAGGUACUGCCACCGACCUCAACGGCUCACCCACUAGGUCUACAGAAAAAUAUGCACAAGGAUAGUAAAGGAAGCUGGAAAAACUCUACAGCUACAUGCCACUAUACUAUCGCUAAAUACUACGAGUUAUCUGUAGAUAUAACAACAACAAUCUCUGACCCAAUCUUACUAGGGAUUGUGAUAUACCCAUUCCGCCUGUCGAAGCUACACCGUACACCACCCCGAGGGCUGCCGGUGGAGAGUAGAGUCCAAGAAGACAACUACAACAUCAACGCAAAGCAAAGUAGCCAGACUCUGGAGCGGCACUCUGUCGGAUCGUUGGCGCUAACCAUUAAUCCCAAAAGCUCAAGCUGUUAGAAAUACGCAACCAAUUCACUUAAAGCGUACAGAAACAUCGUCCACGGGUCUCGAUUGUGACUCGGCCCACCUGGCCUCACGCCACUUCGUAUAUGGCUCAGCCUAACCCAGCCUCACGCCAUUUCGAACAUGACUCAGCCUACAUGGCCUCCCGUCACAGGGCAGGAUGCUGGCCCAUUUAAGCGAACAAUCCCCCCUCCAACACCUGCACACAUUUGGAGCAUGCAGGAAUCGAACCCGUGACCUCUGGCUCUGAUACCACUUGUCGAAUCGUUGGUGCUAACCAUUAAUCCUAAAAUCUCGAGCUGUUAGAAAUACGCAACCAAUUCACUUAAAGCGUACAGAAACAGCGUCCACGGGUCUCGAUUGUGACUCGGCCCAUCUGGCCUCACGCCACUUCGAAUAUGCCUCGGCCCAACCCAGCCUCACACCAUUUCGAACAUGACUCGGCCCACAUGGCCUCUCGCCACAGGGCAGGAUACUGGCCCAUUUAAGCCAACACACUCGUGGGCGCGGCCCAACCAAGUAUACAAGCGUAUCUCUGCCGAGCUCAAUCAGGCUCUCACAGGCUGUAGUCAAUGCAAAUGGGUCUAACUGGUUUAACAACCAAAACUCACGUGCCCUUGGCACAAUCUGAUGCAAAUCUGGGUCUACUGUCAACCUCGACGCCACCCGACAGUACAAAAUAGUCUACACACUACUGUCAAACGACCUCGGCAUCUCAGCAUGAGUGUAAACUCAUUCUACACUAAUUUGGAUAUCCACCGCAUACUAAUAGUGGCAAUACAAAAGAACCACAGCUCCUAAAGCUAAAACUGGUAAUUUUUCAGAAAUGACAGUGUAGGGUUCAAUAUUUUUCUGCUAAGUCAAUUCCAAGUCAAACAUAUAAAACGAAACAAGAAUUUAAAGCUCCAACUCAGAUUUCAUAACAAACUAUGUAAAUCGGUGAAUUGAGCUACUAACAUGAUAUUACACAUGAAAUACACAUGCUGACAAAAUCUCGGCUUAGGAGUAAAUCCGACAAUUUCGGUAAAUUUCAACCCACCUCGAAAAGCUUGUCUAACCACGGCGAGAAGUCGAAAGGAGGGGAUCCACGCGCUCGCCCGGCCUCCAACGGCGCAACCGCUAUGCACACACGCUCGAACGACCCUCCGGAUCAAUAUCAAAAUCCACCCGAGCUCGAGCCGUGACCUCCACCACGAGCGAUGUCCAAAACUAGAGAAAGAGAGGGAGUAGCAACAAAACCUCCCCUCAGAGCUCUCUACAAGUAUAAAAGGGCUGAGGAUAAACAUUGGGGUGAACGUCGCUUCAAAAGACCAAACUACCCUUACCUACUCAAAAAUCCAGCUGGAGUACCAGUACUCCACUUGAAUACCGGUAGUCGGGCCUUAAGCCCGCAGCCUCGCACAGUGGGUACCGGUACCAGCCCGAUGCAGUACCGGUCCCCGGGCUCGAUACCGGUACUCGACAGGUCAGUACCGGUACUCAGCAUCAUCUCACGCAAACCCGAGAGCAUCCUAUUUUGUAAUCCCACUGGAGUACCGGUACCCUUCUCUGGUACCGGUACUCAAUACUGAAAUCCUGCACUUUGCGGAUUUCAGUGUCAGAACUCCACUCUCGCCUCGCGUUGAGUCCGUUUUGCGUUCAUUUCGCGCCAAAACGACUCCAACUUGUUCCUAUACUCUCACGACGUGUCGACAAGUCUCAGAUGCUGAAAUCUUAUACUAUAACAAAAACGGUCUAUAGCGACACUUUUAAAUGUCGGUACAGGUUAAAAAAAGUGCUGCUGGCUAAAUUACCGACACUUUUAAAAAAUGUUGCUAUAUGUGGAGUCGCUAGGUAUAUAGUGACAAUUAAAGAGUGUCGCUAUAACCUAAAAAGAGUGCUGCUAAUUUAGCAAUACUUAUUUAAGCAUCUAGCAACCGCCGGAACUUUACCUCGUUAGUUGCGGUGGCGGAGGAGGACGAAAGGGAAGGGGCCUUUCGUCUAGCAUUUCAGUGGAAUGAGUGAGAGGAGAAGGGGAGAUGAUUUUUUUUUAUUUUUUCUUUUCUAUUUGUAAUCGGGUCAAAUGGGCUGGGUUGGGUGGGUUGAGUAGAGUAACUUUUUAUUUUUUCUUGGAUUCGGCUUUAUAUUUAGACAUUAGUAGAUUUUUUUUUUUAAUUUUGGCAUAAAUAGGAUACUUAGACAAAAAUGUCCCAAACAUGUAUCGUUAUAACUUAAUUUUGUUGUAGUGUAAUUACGGGCAACCAAACACCAAGGACACAACACAAAAUUUGACUCCGUCAUCUUAUUACAACCAAUAAUUAGUUAAUUAAUAUGAGGAGAUUGUUGCCAAUUUGAAUUGACUCAUAGCCUUCUAUGUUAUUAAGUUCUAAUUUUUUAAGUUUUCUUCAUUUAUCACGGCAAUUCUUAGUGUAUAAAUAAGUCAAAUAUUCCCCUUCACAUGUCAAAUAUGAAUUUUAAGAAGACUCAUAACAACAACAACUAGUAUUAUUAUCAUUAAGCUCAAACCUUUAGCUCAAAAUAUUUAAUUGUCUUUUUUGUAUUGGCGUGCGGCCAUCUAAACUCAUUAGAUAAAGUGUACGUAGUUAGAGUAAAAAUACAUAUAGAUACGCUUCUCCAUUUUCAAAUAGCACUAUAAAAAAUAUAUUGUAACUGACUCACUGUGAUAUCGCAAUGUGAUAUUUCGUAAAAAACUAAAAAUGAGUAUUGUGUUUUGUUUUUGAGAGAGAAAAAUGACGUGUUAUCUACUUUAUUUAUUAUUUUUUUAAUAAAUAAACUUAGCUAGAAAUGUGAAGUUAUUUUACUUUGAAUUUAAAAUCUCGAAUAUUAAUCACAGUGUAAUACUUUAUUCGUUGUCCUUCUCCUCGUAACAGGAUAUUUUUUUAAUUGUACUUUCUCAUUAUAUAUAAUGUGUUGGAAAUAAUAGGGCAGCGGAAACUUACAAACUGGAUAGCCAACGUAUCCGGGAACCCGAAUCGAAUUGGAUUGCUUGUUUUACAAGCUUUUUUGGAUCGUCCUUGUCUCGAUGCUUCUGGAUCUCCCACGUUUCUCGCCUUCUCCCACGCCUACGCCUUACGUCACGGAUCGGGUGCGUCGAAUGCGGAUGGGAUGCAACGGAUGUCAAUCGAAGAGGUCUACCAGAGUCCUCUUCUAUGUCCACGCUCCAAAACCCCGAGAACGUACAUGGAAAUCACAGAGAGGAAGAAAGGAAAAAAUGAGGAAGAUAUUUUGUGGAUUAUCGAAUUAGAUCGUAUUCGAUCGUCUCUCUUUCGGGAGAGAAAAGGGGGCGUAUAUAUAGAAUAACGGAACCUCUAAAUAUCAUGAAUCUCAUAUAAAUUAGGAUGAGGAUUAGGAUAUCUAUUAACAUAUAAUAGAUAUCCACUAGUAGAUGCGUUUCUUAACUGAUAAGAAACAUAUGAUUCAUUCUUAUCCUAAACUUAUUAGGAUAAAUCAUGAUCCACGUCUUAUGUGGAUUGGGUUAUAUCAUAACCCGCCAAUGUGGACACACCAUAUGGCAACAAUCUCCCACUUAGCCACAUUGGCCAAUUUUCUCUGACUUAUUCAUCUCUUCAUACGGGUAAUGGGGCGUGCGACCUGGCGAAAGAAACACAUGCAGGAGUGCUAUAUUAAGUCACCACCCAACUAACAUAGCACAUCACUAACUUAAUUCGUCUAUGCCCUAGACGUUUCAACACACACCGGAUCAAGCAUCACAAAGUCCCUCUCCUGUAAUGACGGGGCUCGACCCCACCGUUAUUUCUCGUACUCAUGAUUAUCUCAAGUAACAUAACCAAGAUAACCGCUCGGGUAAUGAGUCACAAGACUUACGUGGUGUGUUAUCGAAAUAUCUUCCUCAGCCCCUCACGUUAAUCCAUAUUGGCCCAAGCACUUUACUAGACAUGCUCCGCAAGAUCGUAUUUUCUCAUGACCCUGAGAUACACGCUAAGUUAGUUACUUUGGACGUCCACUUCAUAUCGUAGUUCUAAGUCGAGGGCACAAAAGGGUUAGUGCUCACACAGUGACAUAGAGGGAAGAACUUAUGUCACUCUACUAACUGGUCGACAAGCACAUAUAGUAUGAUAUGUAUGCUAUGGCGGAGCUCCCACUCAAUGGCUCAUGUCACGCUCUAAAGAAAACGCCAUACGAACCUUGGUCUAGGUACCACUAAGGUAUCUAACCACCACAACUCAAGUCAUCUCUCUAACCUGAGUACUUAGGUUCGGCUACUAUACAGGCUCGAUAUAAAAUUUCACAAAAACUUUCAUAUCCAACACUUUAGAAUCUCAUCUUAAACUAAUUAAGGCGACUUUAAAUUAUAUCAAUACUUCAUUCAUAACAUAUAUGAACAAAGUAAUCAUAUUACAACUACUCAAGUUUAAUAUGAUUAUCUAGUCUCAUCCUGCUCACCACUUAGGUGCCAGGGCGAUCACCCGUGUGAGUGGGCUGAUCUGAGCCUGGUGACUUAUCGAAUAUGUGCCUACUAGUAUUAAUUACGCAAUCACAUUAAAAGAAGAAAAACAUAUUUUUAUUAAUAAAGCGUAAGAUACAAAAUAAUGUCCAUAUCAAAACCUACGAAGACCCAAACUCCUAACGUGGGUCUGAAACAUAUCCCUAGCUAUCGGCUUCGGCAACGGAUCAGGCACCAUUCUAGUGGUGGAGAUAUGCCUAAGAAUGACCUCGCUUAGCCUGAUCAUGUCUCAAAUGUAGUGAAAACGGAUAUCUAUAUGCUUUGUCCUGCCGUGAUACUUGGGAUCUUUCACAUACUCUAGGGCAGCCAUGCUGUUAGAGAACAUCUCAACAGGUUCAUUUGCUCGAGUCACGAUGUCGAGAUGCUGGAGAAAUCUCCUCAGCCAAACAGCCUCUUGAACGGCCACUGAACAAGCAACGUACUCCGCUUCCAUGGUUGACAAGGCAAUAUGGCUCGCUUCUUACUGCACCAAGAAAUUGCCCCACCUCCAAGCAUAAACAUAUAGCCUGAAGUGGACAUGCGUUCAUCUCUAUCACCGCCCCAAUCAGCAUCACUAUAUCCUUUCAAUCUCAAGUCCCCAGCUUGGAAGCAGAGAACGAGAUCACUGGUUCCUCUUAAAUAUCGAAGGAUUCUCUUGACCGCUUGCAAAUGAAUGGGUCCCAGGUUGCUCUAGUUAAACCAACAGCGAAACAAAUGUCAGGUCGAGUACACAUCAUAGCGUACAUCAAGCUGCCAACAGCACUCGCAUAAGGAACUUUACUCAUUUGCUCCUUUUCUUUAUCCGUUUUAGGACACUUAUCAAGAGUUAGAGUGUGAUUCUUCUCCACUGGAGUGUCAACGGAUUUACAAUGAUGCAUCCUAAAACACUCUAGAAUCUUUUUAAUAUAAGUUUCUUGAGACAAACCAAGAAGCUUCCUAAAGCGAUCACGGAUGACCUUCACUCCGAGCACAUAGCUCGCCUCACCUAUGUCUUUCAUUUCAAAAUUGAAAGACAACCACUCCUUAGUGGUAUUGAUUAACUCCAUGUCAUUUCCAGCCAAUAGUAUAUCGUCGACGUAUAGAGAGAGAAACAAAAUUCCAUUCUCUGUCUUCUUGACAUAUACACAGUGGUCCUCCUCUAUCAUGGACAUACCGAUAGAGGUGAUGGCUUCAUGAAACCUGAAAUACCACUGUCUCGACGACUGCUUGAGACCAUAAAUGGAUCUUUUAAGACGACAAACUUUGUCUUCUUGACUUUUGAGUAUAAAACCCUCAGGUUGAUCCAUAUAGAUCUCCUCCAUCAAUUCUCCAUUGAGAAAAGCUAUCUUGACAUCUAUUUGGAACAAUUCUAAAUCUAGGUGUGCCACUAAGGUUAGAAUCAAACAAACAGAGGCAAAUCGCACAACGGGAGCAAACGUCUCGUUGUAAUCUACCCCUUGCCUCCGAGUGUAGCCCUUGGCCACGAGCCGAGCCUUAUAUUUAUGUAGUGUUCUUGACCUUUGGAUAGGAUUGGCUUAGUAUUAGUGACUGGUCGACAUCUGGAGAGUGUCGGACUGAGUUGGAGUCAAUUCUGCACGAAUUGGAUGUAGAAUUGGACUCAGCGCACUCAAAUAGGCAAAACUGGAGUUUUGCCAGAUUCGGGCGCCCAGAACAUUUUAGGGUCGCCCAGAACUGAGUGUUGAAUUUAACUGAAACUGGAAGCCAAUUCGGAUCCCAUGUUCCGGGCGCCUUGAUGUGGGUCCGGAAAUUCGACAUCGUGAAUAUCGCUUGCUUCGACGCGUGGCAGGGCGGUAGGUGAGUUCCACUGGAGCCAUUUACGGGCGCAGCACACCGCGAGCGGAGAGUCCGAGGAGCCCGGUUUGUGCAGUCGGGAUGUUCUAGUCGCCCAGAACAUGGUUCCGGGCGCCCAGAAAUGCCCGUUUCUGCAGGGACACUGGAUAGCAGCUUGAGUUCCUGAGGCUUUUUGGAUCACUCUAACUCACUAUAAAUAGAUGGAAUGCGCCCCUUUGCUGUUCUUUUCCUCCCUUCUUCACAGAGAAGUCCCUUUUAGAAUCUCUACCCUCGGAUUUGCCUCAAUUUGCAUCAAACUUCCAUUGAUCCAGCUUGAUGGAGUGCUGAUUCUGCAGUUCUUCAGCAACGACCUCCAGUGUUUUGGCUCGUGCGCGACGUAGGAAGGUCGGAUUUUGACGAAACUUGGUUUGCUGGAUUUUAGACUUCUAGAGGAAUCUACGAAGCCCUGAAUUGCAGAUUUUGGUUGAGGUUAACUUGGUCAAACUGAGGCUUUUCUAGACUGCUGUUGACCUUGAGCUGAAAAUGGGAUUUUUGAGCUUUUCUUGAUGCUAUCUUUGUUGGCAGUGGGAUUUUGGACCUGAGAUUGAUCACCCAUCAGUAGUGGCUGGAUUUGGAUCUGUCCUCACCAGAUUUAGAGAUCAUUAGGUGAGUUUUGACAUUGGAAUUGAGAUAAUUAAGCUUAAGUGCUGAAAUUUUUGGUAAAUUGAUGGUUUUUAUUGAAUUUUUGGGUGAAUUGUAAAUCCAGAUCUUGAGGGGCUUUGUUGCUGGUUUGGAGGUGUUUCCAGCAGUGUUGCUUGUGAUCCGAGACCAUCUUGCUGCCAGGAGUUGCACUAGAGGUGGGUGUAUCAUCGGUUUCGCUCCUAAGUGCAUGUUUAGUCGACGUGUAUAGUUCGAUUUUUGUAUAUCAUGCUUUAAUUCAUCGAUUAGCAUCUUGAAUGUAAUAUGAAUGUAGAAGCAUGCUGAAAUGAAUAUUUAUAUUAUACAUGUUGGACUUGAAAUUUGACUUAGGAGAAAACCUGCGUUUUGACCCGUCAUAUGCUUAAACUACCAGAUUUAGCUCUAGGAGCCGUGAUUCGAUUGUAUCGUUGCAGUAUCAGUGCGAUGGAUACCUGGGGUAGUUUAGAAGGCAUUUACGCUCGUGCUGGGGUGCCGAGCUUAUUUUUCAGCAGAGUUUAGGCUGUUUCGGGUCGUUGGGUGCCGUUCGGGUUAGCGGUGGACCCAGAUUCUUGUUUUGGUCACAGAUUGUGCCGAGGGCACGUGGGUUUGGUUUGUAGACCUGUUUUGACCCUGUUUACUUGACUUUGGCUAGUUGGAGCCUGAUUGAGCUCGACAGAGAUACGCUGCAUACUCGGUUGGGUAGCGCCUACGAGUGCCACUUCGGAGUCAGGCUUUGUGCUUUCGCAUUGGUGUCGCUUAUGCCAGUUGGACUUGCUCUCCACGGACUAGUUAGUGUGGAUAGAGCCCGAUAGUCGCAACGGGGCAGGGACGGAUGUAUUCACAGUCCCGAGGACGGGUAUGCUUACAGUCCCGAUUUGAUUGGGUCAGAUUGGACAUUUUCUACAGUUGGUUAGUGUAGAGCAUGAUAGAGUAGUGUUUGAUAGCGGUAGACUUUAUUCCUGCAUUUACUACUAUUUUUGCUCCCUUCUAUAGACUUAGUGGGUGGACCGAUGUUGUUUUGGGCGGUACCCACUAAGGACUACUUGUUUUUACAGUAGUUCUCACGCCCAGUUGUUACCUAUGUUUUUGCAGAGCCACAGGUUCCGGCUGCUGCACCGUCUGCGGACCAGGAUCGAGGCAAGGGCGUCGCGAGUUAGAGCCCUACCCGACGUGCUGAGCUAGAGGUGCCCUACUGCAGGUAGAUGUUUUGUUUCGAGUUUAUGUACAUAGUUGACUUAACUCGCCAGUGCGAGUAGCUCUGUAUUUUGGAUCUGAACUAUGUAUAUGAAACUCUGUUUUAUUUAGCUUCUGUUUUCUCUAGCAGCUCUCUACUACUGUUCGUAGUAGUGUUUGAUUUACAGGUACAGCUAUCGCUUCGUAUACAGGGAAAAUUUCUUUGUAUACGGCGGAUUUGUCGGCGUGCCCGGGGAACGUGUAAUCCGGGGCGUGACAGAUUAAGUUGGUAUCAGAGCUUUGCUGUAGGUCGUGGGGACCUAGGAAACCUAAGUUUGGCAAACCUUAGGGAAGCAAGACGUGAGAGGCGUAAUUUUAUUGCGAAAGUCAAUGAUUAUUUGUUUUAACUCCUCUUAGAGUAGAGUGAGUGACUGAAGGAGUUUCUGUUUUGGCCUGAGAAAUUAUGUUGGCUGCAGACGACAUAAUUUUGGAGGAAAACAGGGACCGCCUUCUAGACUUUCGUUGAUUGGGUCGAGAGUGUUGCGUUGUAUCUGACCCCGAUUUGUUCCUUUCAGCUAUGUAUCGUCGCCGAGGUCGACCGUCGUUGCGGGAGCGCGCCCAGUUGGCGCGGGAUCAUGCUGGACCUUCUGAGAGAUCUGAGCAGAUGGAGCAGAGUACUCGGCAGGAGCAGGGUGACAGACUGGGGGCGAGUGUACCCCCUGUUGUGGAGCCGAGUGCGCGACCAGAGACUAGCGCACCCCCUGAUUUGAGUGCACAGUUAGCUGCCCUGACCGAGGUGACGAGACAGCAGGGGGAGUUAUUGCAGAGGUUGUGUGAGAGGAUAGCUCAGCCACCGAGUUCAGCACCGAGAGUACCAGAGUCGCCAGUGCCACCCCCGACUACUCCAGUGACCGCACCAGCUGCAGCAGUUCCUCCGUCGGCAGCAGUUCCAGUAGCGCCAGUUGCGCCUGCUAGGGGGCCAGUACCGUUGACUGAGGCCGAGCAGGAGCGGUGGACGGAGAGAUUAGCUCGUUUUCGCCGAUUUGAUCCACCGAUCUUCGAUGGCAGAGGCACUGAGGCCUGGAUUGUUGAAGGAUGGGUCAGUGCGAUGGAGAAGUUAUUCGAGGAUCUGUUUGUUCCAGAGUGGGAGCAGAUACCUCUGGGAGUACACUAUCUAUCAGGUGAUACACAUGAUUUGUGGCAGAAAGCGAGGCGAGACCGGGGACUGGUGGCGACGCAGCUGAGGUGGGAUGAGUUCUGUGGAAUGCUGUAUGGGAUGUAUUUUCCCAACAGCAUGAAACAGAAGAUCGAGGAGGAUUUGAAGAGGAUCCAGCAGGGUGAGCGGACAGUUCAGGAGUACGUUCGGGAGUUUACUAGGUUUCUGAAUUGUGUUCUGUUCGUGGCCAGAGACGAGACACAUAGGGUUUACUUGUUUGAGCAGGGUUUGAGACCUAACCUUUUCAGGUUUGUUAGGGCGCAGAGGUCGAGGACUCUGGAUGCGUCCAUUGAGCAGGCAUUAUGGGAGGAGAGAGGAGAGGUGUCGCUCAGAGAGAGGGCUCAGGGGCCGGGACUGAGCCAGGAUAGGAAGCGCCCAGCUCUAGACGACGGAGGCCAGUCGAGUAGCAGACGUCCGCCGAGGCCUCCACGAUCUCGUUCUCAGGGUCGUGGGUUCUCGGGACGCCAGCGAUCCAGGGACUCUCGUCAGAGGGGACAGCCAGAGAGGACGCCGCAGUGUGUGAUAUGCGGAGGACCACACUGGCCCAGACAGUAUGAGCAGAGGGAGAGCCGGUGCUACGGGUGUGGUCAGCCGGGACACAUGAGGACAGCUUGUCCUCGAGCAGCAUCUCCAGCACCAUCAUCAGCUUCAGCUCCACCAGCACCUCAGCAGUCAUUCAGAGCAGCACCACCGAGUUACCACCAGGAGGAUAGGUCGUCCGAGCCGCGACAGGGUGAGUGGCGACAGUAGGCUCAGAGUGGCAGAGUUUAUGCAACUCAGGUGGAGGACUCUUCAGCAGCCGACCGAGUGGUGGCAGGUAUCACUUUGAUUUUCGGCAUUUGUACUCGUACUCUUUUUGAUACUGGAGCUUCGCAUUCCUUUGUUUGCCGAGCAUUUGCAUUGUUGCAUGGUCUAGAGUUAGGAUCCUUGUCACAGGCACGAGAGGUGCAGAUCCUCGACCAUGUCUUGCAGGUUACAAAGUGUUGUUGGUCCUGUCCGGUGCAGUUAGACUCUUGGAUCAUGCCCGCAGACCUGUUGGUGUUAGGGUAGCUGCAGGACUUCGACGUAGUGCUCGGUAUGGAUUGGCUGGCGCGGUACUAUGCUACUAUCGACUGUGGAGCGAGGAUUGUGACGUUCCGCGAGCCAGGCCAGGAGGAGUUCACCUUCAGAGGCUGUAGGAGCACGUUGUUUGCCACUUGGAUAUCUUCGGCGAGGGCUCGACAGCUGAUGAGUAGAGGAUGUGUUGCUUUUCUAGCGAUUGUAACAGAGGUGCCUACGGCGGCGCUGGGACUCGAGGAUAUCCCUAUAGUCCGCGAGUUUCCGGAUAUGUUUCCCCCGGAGUUGAUGACGAUGCCGCCGGAGAGGGAGAUUGAGUUUGUGAUUGAUGUAGUUCCUGGAACUGCACCAAUCUCAAAGGCACCUUAUAGGAUGGCACCGGCAGAGCUGAGAGAGCUAAAGGCGCAGCUUCAGGAUCUGAUGGAUAGAGGGUUUGUGAGACCCAGUGUGUCGCCUUGGGGAGCGCCGGUGUUAUUUGUAAAGAAGAAGGAUGGUUCGCUCAGGUUAUGUGUUGAUUACCGGGAGCUGAAUAAAGUGACCAUCAAGAACAAGUAUCCUCUGCCGCGCAUUGAUGAUCUAUUCGAUCAGCUGCAAGGAUCUUGUGUCUUUUCGAAGAUUGAUCUCCAGUCAGGUUACCACCAGCUGAGGGUGAGGGCCGAGGAUGUUCCCAAGACGGCUUUUCGGACUCGGUACGGGCAUUAUGAGUUCACGGUGAUGCCUUUUGGAUUGACGAAUGCCCCUGCCGCAUUCAUGGAUUUGAUGAACAGAGUGUUCAAGCCGUUCUUGGAUAGGUUUGUGGUAGUCUUCAUCGACGAUAUCCUGAUUUACUCCCGGAGUGAUGCUGAGCAUGAGGAGCACUUGAGGAUUGUGCUACAGCUUCUGCGCGAGAAGAAGUUGUAUGCCAAGUUAAAGAAGUGCGAGUUCUGGCUACGGGAGGUUGCUUUCUUGGGCCACGUGAUUUCAGCUGAGGGCGUAGCAGUGGACCCGAAGAAGAUUGAGGCGAUUCGAGAUUGGCCUAGACCGACGACGGUUACUGAGGUACGGAGCUUCCUGGGACUGGCAGGAUAUUACCGUCGGUUUGUGGAAGGCUUUGCGAAGCUUUCCACACCCCUCACACGCUUGACGCGGAAGGGGAUUCGUUUUGUCUGGAGCGACGACUGUCAGAGGAGCUUUGACGAGUUGAGAUUGAGGUUGAUGUCGGCUCCUAUCCUUGCCCUUCCUGUUAUGGGCGAAGGAUUUGUGAUCUACAGUGAUGCAUCGCACAGUGGACUUGGUUGCGUGCUGAUGCAGCAUGGUAGGGUGAUUGCUUAUGCUUCACGGCAGUUAAAGGAUUAUGAGAAGAAUUACCCUACGCAUGACUUGGAGCUUGCCGCGGUGGUUUUUGCUUUGAAGCUCUGGCGGCAUUACUUGUACGGCGAGCACUGCGAGAUUUUUACUGAUCAUAAAAGUCUCAAGUAUCUGUUCACCCAAAAGGAGUUGAAUUUGAGACAGCGCCGGUGGUUGGAGUUGCUGAAGGAUUAUGACAUCAGUAUCCAGUAUCAUCCCGGCAAGGCGAAUGUGGUGGCAGAUGCGUUGAGCAGGAAGGCAGUGCAGAGCUUGAGUAUGUUGAUCACUCGGCAGAGACCGUUACUCGAGGAGCUGAGACGGCUGGGACUCGAGGUAGUGUCUCCUGGGUUUACUGCGAGAUUGACGUCUAUGAUCUUACAGCCCACUCUGUUGGACAGGAUUCGAGAGAAACAGAGUGGGGAUCCACACUUGUCGAGGAUUCGAGAGCAGCUUGAGAGGGGACAGGCCGAGGGCUUUGUUGUGGACAGUUCGGGAGUACUGCGGUACAGGGACCGACUGUGUGUACCUAUGGAUUCAGAGAUCCGAGAGGACAUCUUGAGAGAGGCUCACUGUUCACCUUAUACGGUUCACCCCGGUGGAACCAAAAUGUAUAAGGAUUUAAAGGCUCAGUUUUGGUGGAAUGGAAUGAAGAGGGACAUUGGUAGAUUUGUGGCUCAGUGUCUGACUUGUCAACAGGUAAAGGCCGAGCAUCAGGUACCUGCUGGCAAGCUUCAGAGUCUACCAGUGCCCGAGUGGAAAUGGGAGCAGAUCACGAUGGACUUUGUCGUCGGAUUGCCUAGAGCACAGGGUGGUUUUGAUGCGAUUUGGGUGAUAGUGGACAGACUGACCAAGUCUGCUCACUUCUUACCAGUGCAGACCACUUGGUCCAGAGAGAGACUCGCUCAGUUGUAUUUGGAUGAGAUAGUGAGGUUGCAUGGCGUGCCCACUUCGAUAGUAUCCGACCGAGACCCGAGGUUCGUCUUGUACUUUUGGAGGAGUCUUCAGACGGCCUUGGGCACUGUCUGCCACCACGAAUGACGUACCUCGCACGGUCGAUGAAUUUUCGGUGCGUGGGGUAGUAUUCAUGAUUCAGAUGAGUAUUUAUAUGUAUGUGGGUAUCAGGUUUUGCGGGUCCAUGGCUUCCAAUAGAUGCAAGCAUCUAUUGUUAAUUACCCCCUGUAGAUUGGGGUACCUUCGAUUAGGAGACCUUUAUAGAUGGGAUGAGAUGAAUCGCGUCUCGGUUUAUUGAAUCCUAAGUAUAUGUAUUAGGAUUCAGUUAGAUUUGAGGUUGAUUAGGCCCUAAGUAUAUGUGUUAAGACCUGAUCGAUAUUAAACUCUAUGUAUUAGAGUCUAAUUGGUUCAUGAGAUAUGGGUGUGAGAUCUGGGCAUUGGUUCAUAAGAUUUGGGUAUUGGUUUAUGAGAUUUGGGUAUUGGUUCAUGGGAUAUGGGCAUUGGUUUAUGAGAUUUGGGUAUUGGUUCAUGGGAUAUGAGUAUUAGGUUGGAUGUAUGGUUCAUGGGAUUUGGUCCAUGAGGUUUGGUGUAUGGUUUAUGGGAUUUGGUCCAUGAACUUGUUUUUGGCUCAUGGGAUUUGGUCCAUAAGGUUUGGUUUUGGUUCAUUUGGGUUCAAGUUUGGGUUUAUUUGUGGGUUUAUUUGUGAACUAGGUUUGGUUUGGAUUUGUGGUCCGUACGUGAACUUGAUUUGCAAUUUGGGUUCGCACAUGAACUUAAUUUGCAGUUUGAGUUCGUGUAUAAACUUGAUUUGCAAUUUGAUUUGGGGUCCAAAGAAAUCCCCUUUUGGUUUUGCAAUUAGAUUUGGGGUCCGAAGAAAUCACCUAUUGAUUUUGCAAUUGAAUUUGGGGUCCAAAGAAAUCCCCUUUUGAUUUUGCAAUUGAAUUUGGGGUCCGAAGAAAUCCCCGUUUGAUUUGAAUUUGAAUUUGAUCUUCAAAUUUGAUUUGGUUUGGGGUCCGAAGAAAUCCUCGUUUGGUUCUGAUUUGGGGUCCGAAGAAAUCCCCGUUUUGAUUCCAAUUCGGGGUCCGAAGAAAUCCCCGUUUUAAUUUUGAUUUGGGGUCCGAAGAAACGAGGAAUCAAAGAUUCCCCUCCCCUCUUCUUGCGAUGCUGCGGAUGACGUCGACGAAGUUGAUGACGGUGGCGUGGAUCUGUUCGGCCAUCGGAUUUGAUUUGACAUUUUCGAAUAAGUAUUGAAGGGUCCGAAGAAACGGGGAAUCAAAGAUUCCCCUCCCCUCUUCUUUCGAAAAUAUCAAACCGGCGAUGCUGUAGAUGUCGUUGGGGAUGGUGGCGUGGAUCUGUUCGGUCGGCAAAUUUGAUUCAAUAUUUUCAAAAUGUUUUGAAGGGUCCGAAGAAACGGGGAAUCAAAGAUUCCCCUCCCCUCUUCUUUUCGAAAAGAUCAAAACGGCGAUUGUAGAUGUCGUCGACGGAGUUGUUAACAGUGGCAUGGAUCUGUUCGGCCAGCAAAUUUGAUUCGAUAUUUAUCGAAGAAAUGUUGAAGGGUCCGAAGAAACAGGGAAUCAAAGAUUCCCCUCCCCUCUUCUUUCGAAAGUAUCAAACCAAACAUGCUGGAGAUGGUCGCGGCAAUGUAGAUCAUCCAUUCCAUCAUCAACGACUUCGAAUGGGGUAUUGAGAGGUCCGAAGAAACGGGGAAUCAAAGAUUCCCCUCCACUCUCCCACCGAAGCCAUCUAGAUGAUAUGGAUGGCUACGAUCGUCGGACAAAAGAAAAAAAAAAAAGAGGGGGAAGAAAAGAGAUCUUUUUUUUGUUUUAUUAUUAUUUUUACUUUCUUUCUUUUUUCUUUCUUUUUUACUACCUGCUGAUGGAUUCGAUGAAGCGGCUCAACGAUCUCUCUCUCUUUCUGCGGCUCGGCGAUUUCUCCUUCUUUCCGCGGCUUGAGUGAUAUCUCCUCCUUUCCUCGGCUCGGCAAUGUAUCCUCCUUUCAGCAGCUCGGCAAUAUCUCCUCCUUUGAAUAUUUUGAACUUGGAAGUGUGUAGCAAUCUAUCUAUCGUGUCGUCUCUCUCCAAAAAAAAAUUCCCUGAAUUUGAUUUCGGUUCCCGUAUUUAUAAUGGGAGGGGAGGAGUUAGUUAAGAAUUCAAAAUUCGAAAUUCGAAUUUUGAAUUAUUUGUUGGAUGGUUGGAGGAUAUUUGGGGAGUGGUUGGGAGUUCAAAAUUCGAAUUCGAAAUCGAAUGAGUUGUUGGAUAGUUGGAAGAUAUUUUGGGAGUUGGUUAGGGAAUUCAAAAUUCGAAAUCGAAUUUUGAAUGGGUUGUUGGAUGAUAUUUUGGGAAUUCAAAAUUCGAAAUUCGAAUUUUGAAUGGAUUAUUGGAGGAUACUUUGGUAAUUUGUUGGGGGUUCAAAAUUCAAAAUUCGAAUUUUGAAUAGAUUAUUAGAUGGUAUUUUGGGAAUUCAAAAUUCGAAAUUCGAAUUUUGAAUGGAUUAUAAUUUGAAAUCGGAUUUCGACUAGAUACUUUAUAAGGUGUGGGUGUGGGCCGUCGUUGAUCAGACCCACCUUAAUUUAUUGGGCUCAAAUUAUAACGGGCUGAAAUAAAGGCCCCCCCUCACCAUUUUUUUAUUUUUUAUUUAUUUGUUUGGGCUUUCGUAAGGGCCCGCCCACUUAUAUAUAUUUUUUUAUUUAUUUGUUUGGGCUUUCGUAAGGGCCCACCAAAUCACAUUUUUAAAUGUGCUUAUUGUAUAUUAUAAUUAUUGGCCCCAAAUUUUCUGGUUAACAUGAGACCUAUCAAAAUUGUUUCAGUCUGAAUCUAAUCAGUUUCGAUUAUGAUUAGAAUUUUUUUUUUUUGUCACUUCAAACAAAUUGCCCCCCACCUUUUCGACGUAAGUGUUUCGCGCGCGACGAAAAGGUGCCUAUCUUUUCUUUUUUUUUUCGUUCGGACACCUUUGAUCAUCCUUUUUUUUUCUUUUUUUUUUCUCGGUCCCCCACAUAGACCGUACCGCUUUUUUUUUUUUUUGAAUAUCAUCUCCGCGCCAUAUGCAUUUAAUUUGAUUGUUCGAUUGCUCAGUUUAAUAACAUAACGGUUAAUAUAAAAAUGCUUAGUUUAAUGACAUGGCGGUCGAUUGGAUGGCGGUCUAUAUAAGAGUGCUCAGUUUAGUGAGAUGGCGGUCUAUUGGAUAUGGAUUGCUCAAUUUAACGACGUGGCAGUCAAUUGGAUAUUUGUUGCUCAGUUUAAAGACAUGGCCGUCUAUAUAAAAGUGCUCAGUUUAGUGACAUGGCGGUCUAUUAGAUAUGGAUUGCUCAGUUUAACGACGUGGCGGUCAAUUGAAUAUUUGUUGCUCAGUUUAAAGACAUGGCGGUCUAUAUAAGAGUGCUCAGUUUAGUGACAUGGCGGUCUAUUUGAGGUUUGGUGCUCAGUUUAAUGACAUGGCGGUCGGUUUGANNNNNNNNNNNNNNNNNNNNNNNNNNNNNNNNNNNNNNNNNNNNNNNNNNNNNNNNNNNNNNNNNNNNNNNNNNNNNNNNNNNNNNNNNNNNNNNNNNNNNNNNNNNNNNNNNNNNNNNNNNNNNNNNNNNNNNNNNNNNNNNNNNNNNNNNNNNNNNNNNNNNNNNNNNNNNNNNNNNNNNNNNNNNNNNNNNNNNNNNNNNNNNNNNNNNNNNNNNNNNNNNNNNNNNNNNNNNNNNNNNNNNNNNNNNNNNNNNNNNNNNNNNNNNNNNNNNNNNNNNNNNNNNNNNNNNNNNNNNNNNNNNNNNNNNNNNNNNNNNNNNNNNNNNNNNNNNNNNNNNNNNNNNNNNNNNNNNNNNNNNNNNNNNNNNNNNNNNNNNNNNNNNNNNNNNNNNNNNNNNNNNNNNNNNNNNNNNNNNNNNNNNNNNNNNNNNNNNNNNNNNNNNNNNNNNNNNNNNNNNNNNNNNNNNNNNNNNNNNNNNNNNNNNNNNNNNNNNNNNNNNNNNNNNNNNNNNNNNNNNNNNNNNNNNNNNNNNNNNNNNNNNNNNNNNNNNNNNNNNNNNNNNNNNNNNNNNNNNNNNNNNNNNNNNNNNNNNNNNNNNNNNNNNNNNNNNNNNNNNNNNNNNNNNNNNNNNNNNNNNNNNNNNNNNNNNNNNNNNNNNNNNNNNNNNNNNNNNNNNNNNNNNNNNNNNNNNNNNNNNNNNNNNNNNNNNNNNNNNNNNNNNNNNNNNNNNNNNNNNNNNNNNNNNNNNNNNNNNNNNNNNNNNNNNNNNNNNNNNNNNNNNNNNNNNNNNNNNNNNNNNNNNNNNNNNNNNNNNNNNNNNNNNNNNNNNNNNNNNNNNNNNNNNNNNNNNNNNNNNNNNNNNNNNNNNNNNNNNNNNNNNNNNNNNNNNNNNNNNNNNNNNNNNNNNNNNNNNNNNNNNNNNNNNNNNNNNNNNNNNNNNNNNNNNNNNNNNNNNNNNNNNNNNNNNNNNNNNNNNNNNNNNNNNNNNNNNNNNNNNNNNNNNNNNNNNNNNNNNNNNNNNNNNNNNNNNNNNNNNNNNNNNNNNNNNNNNNNNNNNNNNNNNNNNNNNNNNNNNNNNNNNNNNNNNNNNNNNNNNNNNNNNNNNNNNNNNNNNNNNNNNNNNNNNNNNNNNNNNNNNNNNNNNNNNNNNNNNNNNNNNNNNNNNNNNNNNNNNNNNNNNNNNNNNNNNNNNNNNNNNNNNNNNNNNNNNNNNNNNNNNNNNNNNNNNNNNNNNNNNNNNNNNNNNNNNNNNNNNNNNNNNNNNNNNNNNNNNNNNNNNNNNNNNNNGUACGUGGAAAGCUCAGUCCACGUUUUGUAGGCCCUUUCGAGGUAUUGGAGUAGUCGGGCCAGUUGCUUACAGGAUUGCUCUACCACCACGGCUUGCCGGCAUUCAUGAUGUUUUUCACGUCUCGGCUUUGAGGAAAUAUGUGUUCGACCCCUCCCACGUGAUUGACUUCACUCCGCUUGAGAUUGGCGAGGACCUGAGUUACGAGGAGCGACCGGUGCGGAUUCUGGCUCGUGAGUCGAGGGAAUUGCGCAACCGGGUCAUACCCUUUGUAAAGGUGCAGUGGAGUAAUCAUGAGGAGCGGGAGGCGACUUGGGAGCCGGAGACGGUGAUGAGGGAGUCCUACCCCUACUUAUUUGAGGCUCUGGAUUGAGGUAUGUGUUCAGUUUCGCGGACGAAACUUUUUGUAGUGGGGGAGGAUGUAGUGUUCUUGACCUUUGGAUAGGAUUGGCUUCAGUAUUAGUGACUGGUCGACAUCUCUGGAGAGUGUCAGACUGAGUCGGAGUCAAUUCUGCACGAAUUGGAUGCAGAAUUGGGCUCGGCGCACUCAAAUAGGCAAAACUGGAGUUUUGCCAGAUUCGGGCGCCCAGAACAUUUUAGGGUUGCCCAGAACUGAGUGUUGAAUUUAACUGAAAUUGGAAGCCAAUUCGGAUCCCAUGUUCCGGGCGCCCAGAUGUGGGUCCGGAAAUUCGACAUCGUGAAUAUCGCUUGCUUCGACGCGUGGCAGGGCGGUAGGCGAGUUCCGUCGGAGCCAUUUACGGGCGCAGCACACCGCAAGCGGAGAGUCCGAGGAGCUCGGUUUGUGCAGUCGGGAUGUUCUGGUCGCCCAGAACAUGGUUCCGGGCGCCCAGAAACGCCCGUUUCUGCAGGGACACUGGAUAGCAGAUUGAGUUCCUGAGGCUUUUUGGAUCACUCUAACUCACUAUAAAUAGAUGGAAUGCGCUCCUUUGCUGUUCUUUUCCUCCCUUCUUCACAGAGAAGUCCCUUUUAGCAUCUCUACCCUCGGAUUUGCCUUAAUUUGCAUCAAACUUCCAUUGAUCCAGCUUGAUGGAGUGCUGAUUCUGCAGUUCUUCAGCGACGACCUCCAGUGUUUUGGCUCGUGCACGACGUAGGAAGGUCGGAUUUUGACGAAACUUAAUUUGCUGGAUUCUACACUUCUAGAGGAAUCUACGAAGCCCUGAAUUGUAGAUUUUGGUUGAGGUUAGCUUGGUCGAACUGAGACUUUUCUAGACUGCUGUUGACUUUGAGCUGAAAAUGGGAUUUUUGAGCUUUUCUUGAUGCUAUCUUUGUUGGCAGUGGGAUUUUGGACCUGAGAUUGAUCACCCAUCAGUAGUUGCUAGAUUUGGAUCUGUCCUCACCCGAUUUGGAGAUCAUUAGGUGAGUUUUGACAUUGGAAUUGAGAUAAUUAAGCUUAAGUGCUGAAAUUUUUGGUAAAUUGAUGGUUUUUAUUGAAUUUUUGGGUGAAUUGUAAAUCCAGAUCUUGAGGGCCUUUGUUGCUGGUUUGGAGGUGUUUCCUGCAGUGUUGCUUGUGAUCCGAGACCAUCUUGCUGCUAGGAAUUGCACUAGAGAUGGGUGUAUCAUCGGUUUCGCUCCUAAGUGCAUGUUUAGUCGACGUGUAUAGUUCGAUUUUUAUAUAUCAUGCUCUAAUUCAUCGUUUAGCAUCUUGAAUGUAAUAUGAAUAUAGAAGCAUGCUGAAAUGAAUAUUUAUAUUAUACAUGUUGGACUUGAAAUUCGACUUAGGAGAAAACCUGCGUUUUGACCCGUCAUAUGCUUAAACUACCAGAUUUAGCUCUAGGAGCCGAGAUUCGAUUGUAUCGUUGCAGUAUCAGUGCGAUGGAUACCUGGGGUAGUUUAGAAGGCAUUUACGCUCGUGCUGGGAUGCCGAGCUUAUUUUUUAGCAGAGUUUAGACUGUUUCGGGUCGUUGGGUGCCGUUCGGGUUAGCGGUGGACCCAGAUUCUUGUUUUGGUCACAGAUUGUGCCGAGAGCACGUAGGUUUGGUUUGUAGAUCUGUUUUGAUCCUGUUCACUUGACUUUGGCUAGUUGGAGCCUGAUUGAGCUCGACAGAGAUACGCUGCAUACUCGGUUGGGUAGCGCCCACGAGUGCCAAUCCGGAGUCAGGCUUUGUGCUUUCGCGUUGGUGUCGCUCAUGCCAGUUGGACUUACUCUCCACGGACCAGUUAGUGUGGAUAGAGCCCGAUAGUCGCAACGGGGCAGGGACAGGUGUAUUCACAGUCCCGGGGACGGGUAUGCUUACAGUCCCAAUUUGAUUCGGUCAGAUUGGACAUUUUCUACAGUUGGUUAGUGUAGAGCAUGAUAGAGUAGUGUUUGAUAGCGGUAGACUUUAUUUCUGCAUUUACUACUAUUUUUGCUCCCUUCUAUAGAUUUAGUGGGUGGACCGAUGUUGUUUUGGGCGGUACCUACUGAGGACUACUUAUUUUUACAGUAGUUCUCACGCCCUGUUGUUACAUCAUCUUUUUGCAGAGCCAUCGUCUUCGGCUGCUGCUAUUGCUGAUCAGGAUCGAGGCAAGGGCGUCGCGAGUUAGAGCCCUACCCGACGAGCCGAGCUAGAGGUGCCCUUCUGCAGGUAGUUGUUUUGUUGGAGUUCAUGUACUUACCUAUCUUUAACUCGCCAGUGCGGGUAGUUUGUAUUUUGGAUUCUGGUAUAUGUAUAUGGAACUCGGUUUGGUUUUCUUCUGUUUCUCCUAACAGCUUUAUACUACUGUUUGUAGUAUUGUAUGAUUUACAGGUACAGUUAUCGCUUUGUAUACAGGAAAAAUUUCUUUGUAUACGGCGGAUCUGUCGGCGCGCCCGGGGAACGAGGAAUCCUGGGCGUGACAAUUUAUUGAUUGAUCCAUCCGUCUUGCGCUUAAUUUUUAAAACCCAUUUAUUUCCAAUAGACUUGCGCCCAGGCGGAAGAUCAACCAAUUCCCAUAUUUGGUUCUUGCUCAUGGAGUCCAUCUCAUCUUUCACAGCAGCCAUCCACGCACUGCAAGCUGACGUCUGUAAUGCUUCUUUAUAAGAAGCAGGUUCAUCAUCAUCGAGCGGAGUGCACAUUAAAAUAUCCUCUUCGAUCUCAAAAUGUCGACGGAGAAUAUGUCCACGUUCACUUCUACGUAAUGGAGGGUCUGAACUGUCGACUUCUAAGGGUAUGCUCUCAUUCAAGGAAGCACUCCCACUAGCCGAAGGAUUGCUACCACUUCCUUCAGCGACUUCGGAAGUAAUCGAUCACCCUCAAUAUCAGAUGGGGUAGCGUCGUCGUGUAACUAAUACAAUCCAACGUCUCUUCGCAUUUCACAAAUGCUUGAAAAAUUUCCUUCUAGGAAUUCCACAUCAAGAGAUUCAAUCUCGGUCAUACUACCAUCUGGGUGUUUACGAUACAUCACAUAGCCCUUCGAAUUUUCAGGGUAUCUGAUGAACACAUGCUUGCUCACUCUAGGGCCGAGUUUUUCGAAUCUAUGUGUGAGACUGUGAACAUAUCUAUCCGAACCCCAGGGGCGUAAGUAGUGUAAACUAGGCUUUCUACUGCUCCACAACUCAUAUGGGAUAGUAGGCACUGAUUUGCUAGGGACUCGAUUAAGGAUGUAGGCUGCAGUCAAAAGAGCAUCUCCCAAAAAAUUUAUGGAAAGUUGCACUUGCGCCAUCAUUGCGGUUCCUUCGCUCUGCAACACCUUUUUGUUGAGGAGUACCAGGAAUAGUGAGCUGUCUACUAAUGCCCUUUUGCUCACAAUAAGUCUUGAACUGAUCAGACAAGUACUCACGACCUUGGUCAGUGCGAAGCACCUUUACACUUCUUUCUAUUUGAUUCUCAACCUCUGCAACGAAGCGCUUGAAGCAAUCUAAAGCUUCAGAUCGGCGAGAAAGCAAAUACACAUAUCCAUAACGAGAAUAAUCAUCAAUGAAUGUGAGAAAAUAGCAAUCACCAUGCCGGGCCCUCACAUUCAUUGGUCCACAAAUGUCUGAGUGGAUUAGCUCUAAAGGAUGAGAGGCACGAGUAGCCUUACAGCCAGACAAGGCCCACACAUAGAUAGGUCAACUUUGGCGAGAGACCCUAAAAGGCCUUCUCGAGCCAGUCUAUUCAUUCUUUCUUGACCUAUAUGGCCUAAUCUGGCAUGCCAUUUAACGGAUUCAUUACAGAGAAUAGAUAAAGAAAAAGAAGAAGCAAAUGCAAACGAAUCAUCCUCCAAAUAUAAUUUAAAGAAACCAUCAAUUAAUGUACCAUAUCCAAAUAAAGUACCAUGAAAGAAAAUAUCAAGGCGGUCACUGUCAAAAUGAAAUGAAUAUCCUAGAUGCAACAAAGCUAAAAUUGAACAUAGAUUACAACGAAUUUCGGGUGCAUAUAGCACGUCCUGAAGAAGUAAAGUGCGGCCACCACGAAACUUGAGUUGGUACGAACCGACUCCAAGGACUUUUUCCUUCGUGCCGUUCCCAAGGGUGACAAACUGUGUUCGAGACGGUACUCGAUGGUAAUCUACGAACCCGACUCGGUCACAAACUACGUGUUUGUUUGCUCCUGUAUCCACAAUCCAAUCAGGAAGAGAAUGAGCUACUAAAGCAUGAAAGCAAACAAAACAGUGUGAGUUGAGUGGUAGGGUUACCAUUUUCAGCUCAGGAUAAUUUCGAGCGAAAUGACUCUUCUGCUUGCAAUUGUAACAUUUUAGCUUUGUAGCAUCCUUACUACCAGCGCGUUUGCCUCUUCGGCGCUUUCCAACUCCACCCUAAGGAGCUUGAUUCCAUUUCUUCUGCGCUCCAUUGUUGUGAUGCUUUUUGUGCUUGGGUGUAAUCCCAUUGCGCUUCUCGGAGCAUGCAACAAAAGCAACAGAACGGUUUACUUCCAAGCGCUCUGCUUGAGAUGAUGCGAGAUAUCAUUAAACAUUUUAAUGUUCUCGUUGUGCGUCAUCAGGAGCUUCAUCUGGGACCAUUCAGUAUCAGGCAGUGAACGAAUCACUGCUAGAACUUGUUGCUCAUCAGUGAGCUCAUUUCCAGCAGUCUUAAGGUUCCGAAUCAUGGCACUGAUCACACGAAGGUGCUCAGCCAUUGAAUGCUUCGGGUCUUUAAUGUACUGUAGAAACUUGAGAUUUAAAGCACGUAGCCUUGUGGAUGAAGUUUGGCCAAAAGUGAUUUCAAAUUGUCCCACAUGUCCUUGGCAGUUUCAAAGAUCUCAAACUGUCCAAUGAGGUCGUCUUGCAUGGCACACAACAUAGUGUACCGAGCAGUUCGAUCCUCCUUGAUCCAUUUGUUAUAGAUCUCUUUUUUAUGCUCAGAAGCUGUGCCUUCGGCAGGCAUGACUCUUUCGACAGAAAGAGUUUCAAGAACCCCUUGUUCAUUAAGCAGAUAUUGCAUUUUCCUAUGCCAGAUAUCAUAAUUCUUUCCAUCUAGCUUAUCAUCUCUAGUGAAAUCAGCUAUGAUGUUUUUGAAAGUCAUUUCACUACAUUCAAAAAAUAGGUUUAGACAUUAGGCACAUAUUUCCAAAAAAAAAUUAACAAGAUUGGAACAUUAUCCUCGACACAACGGGAUCGAAAACUUCGCUAUACUCGUAAUCAUCACCCAGUGUCGGUUCAAAUACUACAAUCUUAUUAAUUUUCUAUUAAUUUUGAAACUUAUCCAAAAGUCAGAACUCAUCCAUUUUGAAGAACACAUCAUUUUCUUGAAAAAUAUUUAUAUAAGGAGAACUUAUCUCAUAAUAUCAUCACAUAAAUAAAAAAUAAGUACUUAUGCCAAAAUUAAUUUGAAAACGUCGACGCUGUGUAAAACACAUUCCUUUACAUGGCCUUAAUUAUUACAUCACAUUUUACAUAAUUAAAACCUACUACAUCACUAUAAGAUGUUCAUCAGAAAAAAAAAAAAAAAAAAGAAAAAAAAAAAGAGAAAGUUCUACAGGAAUACUGCACAUGUCGAACCCAUUUUUUCAAAAUUAAAUUUUGUUGAAAGAACACCGAAAUAACAUAAGUACUUAUAUGCCAAAAAAAAUUAUACAAUCACAUACUACAUAAGCAUUUAAAAAACACCAACAUAGGAUAAACAACACAUGCAGGUUCUAAAAUUGGCAUAAAAAAUUAUAUAUGUAUCCAAAAAAAAAUUUACUACGCAGGAAACAAAAAUAACCACAGAGUAAUAUGUACAUAUAUAUCAUUAACAAUCCUAAACUGCACGGGUGGCCGGGCCGAGCUUGCUAGCCCACCAGCGCGCUGCAGGGUCGUGCCCGCGCGGGUGUACGCCCGCGCCCGCGCGGUGCGCGCGGGUGCGCCCCACUCCCGCAGCAGGCCGGGCCCGCGCGGUUCACACGGGUGCGCACCCGCGCCCACAGCGGGCCGGGCCCUAGCGGUGCGCGAGGGUGCUCGCCCAUGCCCGCAGCGGGCCGGGCCCGAGCGGUGCACGCGGGUGCCUGCCCGCGCCCACAGCGGGCCGGGCCCGCGCGAGUUUGCCCCGCUCCCGCAGCAGGUUGCGCUAGUGUGGUGCGUGCGGGUGCGCGCCCGCGCCAACAGCAGGCCGGGCCAGCGAGGUGCGCGCGGGUGCGCGCCCAUGCCCACAGUAGGCCGAGCCUGCGCGGUUCGCUCGGGUGCGUGCUGGCACUCGCCCGCAGCAGGUCGCGUCGUGCUCGCCGCUCGAGCAAUUUUAUUUUAUUUUUAUUCCAAUGCACGAAGCAGAGAAUAAAGAAAAAAAAAAUACUAACUUAUGUAAAAAAAUUCGCAUAUUUUAUGAUCAAUUUGAGAGAAAACUAAAACUAAUUUAGUUUUUCUCUUCCUUCUUUUUAAUCGAUUUUACAUAGAAGACGAAAAAAUUGUAGAACUAAUCUACUUAAAAAAAAUUGAUCAACAAAUGCGAUCUAAGAAACAUCACAGGCAUGAUCACAAGGCGAAAACAAACACACAAGCUCUGAUACCAAUUGUUGGAAUUAAUAGGGGAGCGAAAACUUACAAACUGGAUAGCCAUCGUAUCUGGGAACCCGAAUCGAAUCGGAUUGUUUGUUUUACAAGCCUUCCGUCCUUAUCUCGAUGCUUCUGGAUCUCCCACGUUUCUCGCCUUCUCCCACGCCUACGCCUCACGUCACGGAUCGAGUGCGUCGUAUGCAGAUAGGAUGCAACGGAUGUCAAUCGAAGAGGGCUACCAGAGUCCUCUUCUAUGUCCAUACUCCAAAACCCCGGGAACGUAGUUGGAAAUUCCAGAGAGGAAGAAAGGAGAAAAUAAGGAAGAUAUUUCGUGGAUUAUUGAAUUAGAUCGUAUUCGAUCGUCUCUCUUUCAGGAGAGAAAAGGGGGCGUAUAUAUAGAAUAACGGAACCCCUAAAUAUCCUGAAUCUCAUAUAGAUUAGGAUAAGGAUCAGGAUAUCUAUUAAUACACAAUAAAUAUUCACUAGUAAAUACAUUUCUUAACUUAUAAAAAAUAUAUGAUUCAUUUUUAUCCUAAACUUAUUAGGAUAAAUCAUGAUCCACGUCUUAUGUGGAUCGGGUUAAAUCAUAACCCGCUAAUGUGGAUACACCAUAUGGCAACAUAAUGCAAUCUCUCUACAAUCCGGAAUAACAAUUAACUUCACGUUGUUAACAUCGAUAUACUUGUUGCAUACAUGCAUGACUUUUAAACCUCUUCCGCAUAAUACAAUGAAAGACUAUUAGAGUGUCAUACAAUAAACUCUUUUGUGUUUUGAUUCAGGUGCUUUCAUGAGGUUCAGUUACACACAUGAUUUGAGAUUAUCAGAUGAUGUGAGAGAUUUUAGAAUUAUCUUCCGUAAUUCAGGAAAUGGCUUUACCAUAGAUGAAAUGAACUUUUUGAUCUCUUAAAUCUGUUGUUUUACUUGUGAUUUCUUCUUGUUUAGUGAUCUCAAUAGAAUCCAAUCUAUGAGUUUUGUAUGGUAUUGUGUUCUAAAUACUGUUAAGAAGUUCUUAUUAUUUAUUUAUAUAUUUUGAACAAAUCCGUAGGUCCAUCCAAAAAUCUCAUUCAGAAACCUCCAAUCACUAGUGAUAAAUUUUAUAUUUAUUUUUUCUCUUCAAAAAUAUUUGGUUAAAUUCGCCCCGGUAAUAACCCACAUGUGAGAGAUUAAAUGUGAUGCCCCUACUUCUCAUAGGAACACCCAUCCUACCACUCAAAAUACUUAAAACGGGUUAAGAGUUCAGCCCUAUUAUAUUUUAUAUAUAGGACUAGACUCGUCUCGCUAGUUUUAUCAUUCCGAUUUUGGCUCAGCCGAGACUCAUCUUACACUUUCGACUGGUAAUUGGCUCUGAUACCAACUGUGACGUCUUAACUUUCCAGAGGGUCACCCAUCUUAGAACUACCGUCCUAACACGCUUAGCUCUCUUAAUUUUUUAAACCUAGCCACCAUCCAAAAUAUUUAAACCGGAUUAACAGUUUAGUCCUAUUACAUCUCAUAUAUAAAACUAUUCCGAAUCUCACAUUAAACCCUCAACUUUUUGAUCCACGACCGAAAUAUCAACUAGCUAAUCUAGACAGCGGUGAUAUUUUAUUUUUCUAAUCAAAUUCUAUUGGCCAGAAUUAAUAGAUUAAAUUUGCCUCGUUGAGAGCCCGUCCUCUUACUUAAUAAUGACUCUUAUAAAGAGUAGCUUAUUUAGGGCACUUACUAUAAUAGCUCAUUUCAGGUGAAAAGUACUUGGUAGGGACGCAAAUUGAUUUGGGAAGUUGGAGCUUCCGUCUUGAUUCAUCUUGCAUGCGACGGUAAGUGGGAAUUGAAAAUAUAAAAACACAUACCUACUUCAAAUCCGUUCUGAUCCGUUAAGUAAAUACAGUAGGAGGCGAAAAACCGCUUUCUUUUUUGAAUCUGUUUCGAUCCACCAAAACUUCGCCAACAAUUUACUCCCGUCCCGAUUGACCCCAAUUGGAGCCGUAAGUGAGAGCCAAAAAUAAAAUUAAAAUUAAUUCGUCCCGAAUCCACCCCGAUCGGACAAAAAGUGGAGCGGGAAAAGAAAGAUCGCUAAUGCUUGGGUUUCAUAAUCCGUCACCAAUCUUCUAAAUCUUGCUCGAGAGUCUAUUUGGCAAUGAAUUUGCUUCUUACAAGAUUCAUUUUGAAGAAAACUUUGUGAUUCUACUUCGUACAAUAUUUUUUUCACUUCUUUCAUAUAUAGUGAGAACCAAAUUGUGCGUCACUUGAUGUUUGAACAUAAUAUAUUAAAAUAUUAUUCUCUACUAAUUUAUACUUUUUGAGACAAAUAAUUAUUUUACAUAUUACCAAAGCAAACUUUCUAAUUUUCUUUCAUUUAAAAUAAGUUCACAAAAUGUUUCUCGCCUAGGUUUGAGGAAUGUUAAAUCACAGCACUCCACUAGUUUAAAAUUAGGAAAAAUUUACUAUAUGCCCUUCCAAAAGCAUAUAAUUGCAUAUAUUCCCCUUUAAAAUUUGAAAUAUCAUAAAUGAUCCUCUAUGUGUAUGAAACCUUCAAAAAUCCAGCUAUUUUAUUAAUUAAAAUUUAUGUAAAUAUCAAUCGAAUUCCUAUUUUGCCCUCUUUGAAAACAAUUCAGUACUCACAUAUCAAAUAUAGUUUCGAAAAUACCCUUUAAAUUCAAGAAAACUUUAUAAAUUUUAAAAAAAAAUGUUUUUGUAAACCGAGCUAAAACAAACUUUCAAAUCUAAACUAAUUGUAAAAAAAUUAAACUCAAAAUUUUAAAAAUAUGAGAAAAGUAAAAAAAAAAUGGUUAACCAGCUUACAACUUUGAAACUAAUCCAAAUAAAUUAUUAUGUUACGGAGUGAACUAUCUAAACUAAUAUAAUGUGUGAACUAACUCAUUUAGCACAUAUUACGAAAGAAGUUAUUGGUUAAAAAUUUUAAAAUAAAAUAUCCAUAUAAUAUAUAAAGUAAUUUUUAAUAUCUUUAUUUAAUGUAGUAAGUAAAUAAUAAAAGUUAUGGGGAUUAAAUUACAAGAACAAGAAUUAACAGCUGAAGGGGUCUUCAUAUAUUUUUAGUGGCAAUAUGUUUGUAAGAAAUUAUAUAUUUCAAAGACUAAUCUGGAAGUAGUCUUAUUUGUAAAGAUGUUUAUAGUAUUUUUUAAUUUUAGAAGGUUAUAAGUGAAAUUGAUUCUUAUAUCUUUACCUACUUUAUUCUAAUAAAGAAUACUCAAAAGUAGGGAUAAAAUGGCAACAUUAUAUUUUAAAAUGUAUAGAAAUUGAUAUUAAAUAGAGAAGGACCUAUUUAUGAACCGUAUUUGACAUUUGGGUUAUUCAUGAAAUUUCAAAAAUUAAAAGGGCAUCUAUGAAAUUUCAGAAUUUUAGGAGGGCAUCAGUGAAAUUGUGUUAAAAUGUUGUGGACAAAUAAUUGCUUUUUCCUUGGCAUUAAUUCUAACAUUAGUAUUUCCUAACUAGGGAUGGAACUGGCCCUGGGCCUAAAGAAGGCCGGUCCCGAUGGGUCAUAUAUGGGCCGGGGUUUGGAUAUCAAAUUUAUAUAUGAGAAUAUAUUAUAAAUAGUAUUAUUAUAUACAAGCAAGUAAAUAUAUAUAAGUACGUAUUAUUAUAUAUAAUUAUAUAUUUAAUAUCUCCACUCACAGACAUGAUGAAUUUGAAGGGCAUUUAUGUGACCAAAAAAACUAUAUGAUAGAAAAUAGAUUUAGAAAUACAUUUUAACAAUAAGUAGAAAUAUCGAACAUGCAAAAUUAUAAUAUGGUUUGGUUUCCAACGAGAUAAUAAUAAUAAUAAUAAUAAUAAUAAUAACUUCAUUAGAUAUGCAGAUGGUGUGGUCUCAACUGAGUGCAUCUAAUUGAGGCUCGUAUUUAGGCCUUGUACAUUAUGGUUUAAUUUUUGUGAGCCCCAAAUUGGCCUAAUUAGGGUUUCCUUGAGUUGAGAACUUAUUGUUUACUUGCUCAUUGCAUCACUCUAGAUUAUUUUUACAAUUCCGUGCAUAAGAAAAUUUUUCUCUAUAUUUAGAUGUACAUAAAAAAUCUAGGAUUAAUUUCAUUCAGCUCCCCCGUAAACAUAUCAAUAUAUCGCAGAUAUAUAUCUGAAAAGUUUAACUUUUCAUAUUUAUCCUUGCAAAAAUCCGGUGAUAUUCUUAUUUGCUUAUCUGAUUUAUUACCGUUAGUGUACUGUUUAUUUUUUAAUAAAAAAUAAGUAAAAUGAUAUUUUUGUCAUCACAAAUACAUCCCUUCAAAUGUUUUAACUGUUAGAAUUAUGCAAAAAUAUUUUUUCAAAAAUUGUCAAAUGACAUCUUCUUCCCUUUUACCAUCACAAAUAAUAUAAGAGGGUAAAAAGAUCAAUUUACUUCAUUCACUAGUUAAGGUUAAGCAUUUUAUCUAUGGUUAACUAUAUUUUUCUAGCAGAUCCUAACAGCGCGGGUAUAUUUAAAAAUAUUAGAACUUUUAUAAGAAUAAAUAGAAAAAGUUAUACUUUAUAGAGAUAUAUUUACUAUCCGAUAUAUUUACAGGGAACUGUAUGCAAAUUUGGGAGACAAUCAAGCUGGGCCUCCUAAUUUGGACGGUCCAAAUUGAUCCAACCGCACGAUGCGGAGCGGAUUUGUCCAUCCGUUUCUGGGAUGCCUGACCCGGCCCGUAAAAAUUCGGUCCUAGUUCUAAAGAUUUGCUUAGACCUAACCUCUCAAUUUGUGUGGAAUAAAAAAUUUUCUUUUCAUCAUAAAAAGUGAUUAUUUUUUUUGUAUAUUUUGCUCUCUAAGAGAGAUGUUAUUUUUAAUUUUUUUUUAAAUUUUUAGAACUUUAGUUCUUUAUAACUAUAGGUAUUGAGGCAACAUAAAAGCGCGUAAAAUGCACACGACCAAUCAAAUUUUUAGAUAAUUUUCUUCGUACUAGAAUAAAAUUGAAAAAAAAAAAGUAUUACCACAUUUCUUUUCCACCCAGAAUUAUGCAUAAUUUAUUUCUGUGAAAGCACCGUAUAAUAUAAAAGAUGCACUAUUAUGUCUGAAAAUGAGACGUCGAAAUUAUAAAAUUUUAUAUUUAUUUUACUAAAAAAAUCAGGCGUGGUAGAAAUUAAAAAUUUUUGUGAAAUUUUAUGGUCCCUUAAAACACGCGAAUUCAAAUUCUACCUCUCUGGUUGGUAAUUUUUUUUUCCCAAAAAAGUUUGAUUCAAAAAGUCUAAAAUAUUCUUCUGCGAAUUUUGAAUUUAUCCCAAAAUUUUAAAUUGAGUACAAGAGACAAGUAAAGUUAUGAAUCUCUUAAAUAUAAAACUUUUAAAAAGAUUUUAUAUACUCAAAUUAUAGUAUCCCUAGUGUUUUGUAGCCCGUGUGAUUUCAGCAUCUGAGGCUUGUGACACGUCUAGAGAGUGUCGGAACAAGUCGGAGUUGUUUUGGCAUGAAAUAGACGCAAAACGGACUCAACACGACACGAGAGUGGAAUUCUGACACUGAAAUCUGCAAAUUGCAUGAUUUCAGUGUUGAGUAUCGGUACUUAAGAGGAGUACCGGUACCCUAGUAGAUUUCAGAAUUGAGUGCUCUCGGGUUUGAGCGUAUUCGAUGCUGAGUAUCGGUACCGACUUGUCGAGUACCGGUACCGAGCCCAAGUACCGGUACUGCAUCGGGCGAGUAUCAGUACCCAGUGCGCGAGACUACGGGCUGAGGGGCCGGGUACCAGUAUUGGAGUUGGAUACCGGUACCCCAGCUAAAUUUUUGAGUUGGUAAAGGAUAUUUUGGUCUUUCGAAGUGACGAUCAACCCAAUGUUUAUCCUCAGCCUUAUAUACAUAUAGAGAGCUCAGAGAGGAAGGUUUGUUUGCUGCUCUGUCUCUCGCUCUAGUUUUGGACGUGCUCAUGGUGGAGGUCGCGACUCGAGCCCGGGAGGUUGUCGACGUUGAUCUGGAGGACCGUUUGAGCACGUGGUCGUCGCGGUUGCGCCGUUGGAGGCUGUGCGAGCACGUGGAUUCCCUUCUUUCAACUUCUCGCCGUGGUUGGACGAGCUUUGCAAGGUGGGUUGAUGUUUACCGAAAUAGUCGGAUACUCGGAUUUCCUCCUACGUCGAGAUAUUGUCAGCAUGUAUGUUUUAUGUGUAAUAUCAUGUUAGCAGCUCAAUUCAUCGAUUUGCAUAGUUUUUGUGAAAUUUGAGUUGGAGCCUUAAAUUCUAGAAUUGUUUUACAUGUUGGACUUGAAAUUGACUUAAAAGAAAAUCAUUAAACCCUACACUAUCAUUUUCUUAAAAGUUACUAAAUUUAACUUUAUGAGUUGUGGUUCUUUUGUAUCACUGCUGUUAGUAUGCGGUGGAUACCCAGAUUAGAGUAGGUUGAGAUUACACUCGUGCUGGGAUGCCUAGUUAGUCUUACAGUAGUGUGUAGACUAUUUCGGGUUAUCGGGUGCCGUCGCGGUUGACGGUGAACCCAUAUUUAUGUAUUUUGCAUCAGAUUGUGCCAAGGGCAUGUGAGUUUGAUUGUUAGACCGUUGCAUUGACUACAGUCGUCAGAGCCUGGUUGAGCUCAGUAGAGACACGCUUACAUACUCGAUUGGGUAGCACCUACGAGUGUCGCUCCGGAGUGAGCCUUUACAUGCGUUGUCAUCAUCGUAGUCCUGUUUGGACAGUGUUCUUGGGCCGGCCACCUCUGUGGUGGUGUGCGGUAUAGCUUGGACAUAGGCUGGACAGGCUAGUUGGCAGUCCCUUGACCUUGGGUUAGUGUAGUCGUUGUUGCAGAGGGUGUAUUUUUUAUAUCUAUAGAUAGCUCAUUGUGAGUAGCGAUAGUAUAGUAGCAUUUAGCUGUAGAGUUCAUUCCAGCUUUUCUUACUAUCUCUUGCACGCAUUUCUGUAGACUUAUUGGGUGAGCUGUUGAGGUCGGUGACGGUGCCCACUGAGGACUAUUCUAUUUUGCAGUAGUUCUCACACCCUUUUGUUGACCCCUUUUUGCAAAACCUUCGUCCGCGGCUGCUGCUGUUGUGGAUUUAGACCGAGGCAAGAGAGUCGCAAGUUAGAACCAUCCCUUCUUUGGUUGCCAGCUAGAGGAGCACCUAUCCAGAGGUAGUUUUGUAUUUUGUUUGUACAUAUUGUGAUGUUGUCAUGGUACUCGCUAAAGCGAGUUGGGUUGUAGACAUUUUGUAUGUACAGGAACCCUUCGAGGUUUAUAUAUAUGUUUAUUUUUCAGUUUAGCAGCUUUUUACCUUUUAGUUGUAGCUUGGUUUUGUUUACAGGUACAACUAUCGCUUCGUAUAUAGAAGAAAUUUCUAUAUAUACGACGGGUCUGUUGGCGUGCCCGGAGAUCUGUGGUAACUCGGGACGUGACACAAAUAAUUAAGAAUUUUUAUAAGAUUAAUUUAGUGUAAAAUGACAUAUAAUAUUAGUUCUAAAAAAAGAGAAAAUAUUUUUAUGUGUUGAAUAAUUUAUGUGUUGAAUUUUUUAUAAGAUUAAUUUCGUGUAAAAUGACAUAUAAUAUUAAUUCUAAAAAAGAGUAAAAAUAUUUUUAUGUGAUAAUUUUAUUGAUAUAGUUGGAUAAUUUAUGUGUUGAAUUAAACGCAAAAAUAAUUUAUUUUCAUAAAUUCUAAGAUAAAAUACGAAAUAAAAUAUUUCUACAAGUCAGAAAUUCUAUUAUGAGAAUAGAUUUUUCAAAAACAUAUAUUUUAAGUAAAAUAUUUAAAUUUUGUGAAGAUUCUUACAUGUAAAAUUAUAAAAAACAACUGUUAUUAUCUAAAAACUAAAACUAUAAAAUAAAACAUUAUUUUUCAAAAGCAUAAGCUAUCCGUGAACAGUUAUAUUUUUAUAUUUCACAAUUUUUUGCAUGUCUAGAAUUGAGACAUUUCGAUGGGCUCAUGGCUUAAGCAAUCGGAGAACCCGUUAUUCUUCAAGGCUGUGGUUGGUUCGGGUAUAAGUAAGAACUGCUAGUUCCAGGGAUAGGUACAAGUUCAGGUAUAAGCAGGAACUAGACCAAUUUUGCGUUUGGAUGAAAAUGGGCUUGUUUCUAGGAAUAAGGUAAUAGUGUUUGGAUGGUUAGAUUGGAACAAGAGGAAUAAGAGUUAUAAUUUGAAAUUAAAAUUAUAUUAUGUAAUUAAUUAACAUCAAAAUAUUAUUUAAAAAUAAAUAAUAAAUUAAUUAUUAAUAAUUAAUUAUAAAUAAUAAUUAUUAUUAGUAAUUAAUUAUAAAUAAUAAUGUCACGCCCCGGAUUACACGUUCCACGGACACACCGACAAAUCCGCCGUAUACAAAGGAAUUUCCCCUGUAUACGAAGCGACAGCUGUACCUGUAAAACAUACAAUACUACAAACAGUAGUAUAGAGCUGCUAGAAGAACUAGUAAAGUAAAAGAAACCGAGUUCCAUAUACAUACACUGAAUCCCAGAGUACAAAGCUACUCGCGCUGGCGAGUUAAAAGUCUGUAUGUACAUGAACCCAAACCAAAACAUCUACCUGCAGUAGGGGUGCAUCUAGCUCUGCUCCUCGGGUAGGGCUCUAACUCGUGACGCCCUUGCCUAGCUCCUGACCAGCAACAGCAGCAGCCAAAGACGAAGGCUCUGCAAAAACGGGAUAACAACUGGACGUGAGAACUACUGUAGAAAUAAGUAGUCCUCAGUAGGUGCCGCCCUCAACAAUCAUCGGUCCACCCAUUAAGUCUACAGAAGGUAACAAGGCUAGCAGGAAAAGCUGGAAAGAAAUCUACAGCUACAUAUCGCUACACUAGCAUGAUCUACACUAACCAACUGUAGUAAAAGUCACAACUGACUCAAUCUCACUAGGGACUGUGAACACACCCGUCCCGCCUGUCGGAUCGAACCCGUAUCCUACUCCAGGAAUAGCUGGUGGAGAAAACUCUCUAGGGACUGUGAAUACACCCGUCCCGCCUAAUUAGGUGACACCGUAGCUCAAGAGUAACUGGCGGAGAAAACUCUCUGGAGACUGUGAAUACACCCGUCCCGUCUACUAGAAUACGUCGUAUUUCAAGAGUAAUCGGCGGAGAAAACUCUCUAAAGACUGUGAAUACACCUGUCUCACCUAAUUAGACUACACCAUACCUCGAGAGUAGUCGGUCCCAGAAAAAGGUCCAACAGGAUGGUUAAGACUCCACUCACGUCACAACCUCACUAAAGGUAGGGAAAAACGUCACUCACUAUCUCACCCGGGCUGCCCAAAACGGACCCACCCUACCUGUAUCUAGCUGCGCCGUACACCACCCCGAGGGUAGCCGGCUCAAGAACUGUCCAACAGAAACUGCGACACUUAUCGCACUGAAACCUCAUUCCCGAAUAGCAUUCACGAGCGCGACCCAACGAGUUUACAAGUAUCUCUGUCAAGUUCAUACCGCUCUCACAGGCUAAGUCAAGUAACCGACCUUAACUGGUCUAACAACGAACAGGUAAAGUGCCCUCGACACAAUCUAACGCUAAAAAGGCGAUACGAGUCCACCGUCAACUCCGACGGCACCCAACAGUCCGGAACAGCCUGAACUCUACUAUAAAAAUACACUCGGCAUCCCAGCACGAGCGUAACUAAAAAUUAAACUACCUGAAAUAUUCACUAUGAGGAUACUGCAACAGUAUAAAAUAAUACAACGGCCCCUAGGCUAAAUCAGGUAGUUUAACAUAUGCCAGGUCCCGAAAGCCGGUUUUCUCCUGUGUCAAAUCCAGGUCCAACAUGUAUAAUUUAUUUAUAAAAAUAGGCUCCAAUUUCAGUUUAGAUGAAAACAACAUUUACAAAUAUGAAACUGAGCUAAAACAAUAGUAAUGUGUAAUACUAACAAUACAUGUUGACCAACAAGACUAUACGAGUAGGAAUCCGAUGAUAAACCCACCUCGAAAGGUAAAUCCAAUCCGGCGCGACGUCGAGAACGGCGGAAACGCACCCUCGUCCAGCCUCCUCGUGAUGCUACGACUGCAACCGUAUCCUCGAACGGCUUUGCGGCGCGACGUCAAUGUCGAAUCCGAGCUCCUCGGCUACCUCUACCCGUGCUCUCCACCAUGCACGUAAUUAACUAGAGAGAACAAAAAAAAAUGCACACUCUCUGUUAAUUUGAAGAGAUAAACAUGAAAAGGGUGGUGGCAUCCUUAUCCAAAAAAAUGACCACUAUGCCCCUAGACCAACUCAAAAUGAAGGGUAUUACAUCCUCCCCCACUAUAAAAAGUUUCGUCCUCGAAACUUAAAACAUAUCUCAAACCUGAGUCUCGAACAAGUAGGGAUAGGACUCCCGCAUCACCAUCUUCGGCUCCCAGGUUGCCUUCCGUUCCUCAUGAUUGCUCCACUACACUUUCACAUACGGGAUGUCCCGGUUGCGCAAUUCUUUCGUCUCCCGAGCAAGAAUCCGCAACGGUCGCUCCUCGUAUCUCAGAUCCUCGCCAAUCUCUAGUGGAGUGAAAUCGAUCACGUGAGAAGGAUCGAAAAUAUAUCUCCUCAAUGCUGAGACGUUGAAGACAUCGUGAAUGCCAGCUAGUCACGGGGGUAGAGCGAUCCUGUAAGCAACUGGUCCAACUCGCUCCAAUACCUCAAAAGGGCCAACAAAGCGUGGACUGAGCUUUCCACGCACUCCAAAUCGGCAAAUCCCUCUGGACGGCGAGACUUUAAGAAAUACAUGAUCUCCAACCUGGAACUCUAAGUCUCGUCUCCUGGUAUCGGCGUAGCUCCUCUGGCGGCACUGGGCUGUCAAAAGGUGUCGUCGAACAACUCUCACCUUUUCCUCAGCCUCUAGCAAAAUCUCAGGCCCAAGUGUCUUCCUCUUACCCACAUCACUCUAAAACAACGGGGAUCGACAUCUGCGUCCAUACAACGCCUCAAACGGAGCUAUCUGGAUGCUCGUUUGAUAGCUGUUGUUGUACGCAAACUCAACCAGUCUCAAAUGUCGAUACCACCCUCCUCCAAAAUCCAGGACACAUGCCCUCAGCAUGUUCUCUAGAGUCUGAAUGGCCCUCUCUGACUGACCAUCUGUCUGUGGGUGGAACGCUGUGCUAAAAUGCAACUGAGUGCCCAAGGCUGUCUGUAGACUCCUCCAAAACUGAGAUACAAACCUCGGGUCUCUGUCUGAUACAAUCGACACUGGCACGCCGUGCAGCCUGACGAUCUCAUCCAGGUAUAGAUGCGCGAGUCUCUCUCUGGACCAGAUGGUCUGAACCGAUAAGAAGUGAGCAGACUUGGUCAGUCUGUCCACUAUCACCCAAAUCGCAUCAAAGCCACCCUGCGCUCUAGGCAAUCUCACGACAAAGUCCACCGUAAUCUUCUCCCACUUUCACUCGACACUGGCAGACUCUGAAGCUUGCCAGCAGGUACCUGAUGCUCGGCCUUCACCUAUUGGCAAGUCAAAUACUGAGCCACAUACCGGCCAAUGCCUCUCUUCAUUCCAUUCCACCAAAACUGUGCCUUCAAGUCCUUAUACAUCUUGGUUUCACUUGGGUGAACCGUAUAAGGAGAACAAUGAGUCUCUCUCAAGAUGUCCUCUUGGAUCCCUAAAUCCACCGGCACACACAGUCGGUCCCUAUACCGCAGUACUCCCGAACUGUCAACAGAAAAACCCUCAGCCUGUCCCCUAUGUAGCUGCUCUCGAAUCCUCGUCAAGUACGGAUCUCCACUCUGUUUCUCUCGGAUCCUAUCCAACAGAGUGGGCUGCAAGACCAGAGACAUUAGUCUCGCAGUAGACCCAGGGGAUAUUAUCUCAAGCCUCAGCCGCUGGAGCUCCUCAAGUAACGGUCUCUGCUCAGUGAUCAUCACACUCAGGCUCUGCACUGACUUCCUGCUCAACGCAUCUGCCACUACAUUCGCCUUACCGGGAUGAUACUGAAUACUAAUGUCAUAGUCCUUCAGUAACUCCAACCACCGGUGCUGCCUCAGGUUCAGCUCCCUCUGUGUGAACAGAUACUUGAGACUUUUAUGAUCCGUAAAAAUCUCGCAGUGCUCGCCGUACAAGUAAUGUCGCCACAACUUCAAAGCAAAGACUACCGCGGCAAGCUCCAAGUCAUGCGUAGGGUAAUUCUUCUCAUAAUCCUUUAACUGCCGUGAUGCAUAAACAAUUACCCUACCAUGCUGCAUCAACACACAACCCAGUCCACUGUGCGAUGCAUCAUUGUAGAUCACAAAUCCUUCCCCCAUCACAGGAAGGGCAAGGAUAGGAGCUGACGUCAACCUUUGUCGCAACUCAUCAAAGCUCCUCUGACAAUCCUCACUCUAGAUGAAUCUAAUCCCCUUUCGCGUCAAUCGAGUGAGGGGUGUGGAAAGCUUCGCAAAGCCUUCCACAAACCGACGGUAAUAUUCUGCUAAUCCAAGGAAACUCCUCACCUCUGUCACCGUCACCGAUCUGGGCCAACCCCGAAUAACAUCAAUCUUCUUCGGGUCCACUGCUACUCCCUCUGCUGAUAUCACAUGGCCCAAGAAAGCAACCUCUCGUAACCAGAACUCGAACUUCUUCAACUUGGCAUACAACUUCUUCUCUCGCAGAAGUUGUAGCACAAUUCUCAAGUGCUCCUCAUGCUCAGCAUCACUCCGGGAGUAAAUCAGGAUAUCGUCGGUAAAGACUACCACAAAUCUAUCCAAGAACGACUUAAACACUCUGUUCAUCAAAUCCAUGAAUGCUGCAGGGGCAUUCGUCAAUCCAAAAGGCAUCACCGUUAACUCAUAAUGCCCGUACCGAGUCCGAAAAGCCGUCUUGGGAACAUCCUCGGCCCUUACCCUCAAUUGGUGGUAACCUGACUGGAGAUCAAUCUUCGAAAAGACAUAAGAUCCCUGCAGCUGAUUAAACAGAUCAUCAAUGCGCGGCAAGGGAUACUUAUUCUUGAUGGUCACUUUAUUCAGCUCCCGGUAGUCCACACACAGCCUAAGUAAACCAUCAUUCUUCUUCACAAACAACACCGGCGCUCCCCAAGGCGAAACAUUGGGUCUCACAAACCCUCUAUCCAUCAAAUCCUGAAGCUGUGCCUUUAGCUCUCUCAGCUCUGCUGGCGCAAUCCGAUAAGGUACCUUUGAGAUUGGUGCAGUUCCAGGAACUACAUCAAUCACAAACUCAAUCUCCCUCUCCGGCGGCAACGUCGUCAACUCAGGAGGAAACACAUCUAGAAACUCAUGGACUAUAGGGAUAUCCUCGAGUCCCGGCGCCGCCGUAGGUACCUCCACAACUGCCGCUAAGAAAGCGAUACACCCACUACUCAGCAUCUGUCGAGCUCUCGCCGAAGAUAUCCAGGUGGCAAACAACGUACUACUACAGCCUCUGAAAGUGAACUCCUUCUGGCUUGGCUCGCGGAAUGUCACCGUCCUCGCUCCACAAUCGAUCGUAGCAUAGUACCGCGUCAACCAAUCCAUACCGAGCACGAUGUCAAAGCCCUGCAGCUGCCCUAACACCAACAGGUCUGCGGCAUAAACCACGAAUCUAACUGCACCGGACACGACCAACAACACUCCGCAGUCUGUAACACAUGGUCGGGGAUCUGCACCUCUCGUGUCAAAGACAACGACCCUAACUCUAGACCAUAUAACAGUGCAAAUACUUGGCUAACAAAAGAAUGCGAGGCACCGGUAUCAACUAAAGUACGACUACAUAUGCCAAAAAUCAAAAUGAUACCUGCCACCAUACGGUCGGCUGCUGAAGAGUCCUCCCGAUGGUAACUCGGUAGUACUCCAAAAGUCUGCUGGUCAGCUGGCUGCGCUGAUGCAAUGGAUAGUGCUGGAAAUGUCGCUCUAGGACACGCUGACCUCACAUGUCCUGGCUGUCCACAAGUGUAGCAGCGACCCUCUUUCUGCUCACAUUGUCGGGGCCAGUGUGGUCCUCCAUAAAUCACGCACCGCAGCGUCCUCGGUGACGGUCCCUGCUGAAGCAAUCCCCUGGAAAGCUGACGCCCCGAUGAACCACGACCCUAAGAGCAAGAUCGAGAAAGCCUCAGCGGACGUCUGCUACUCGCCUGUCCUCCAUCAUCUGGAAAAGGGCGCUUCCUGUCUUGGCUCUGCCCCGGUGCCAUAGUCCGCUCCUAGAUGGGUGUAACUCCGUGUCCCACCAAGAGUACCUGCUGCACAGAUGCUCCUGUCUCAACUCCUGACCACUGAGUGAUAAUCUCAUAAAUUCUCUGCAAUAGUACACUCUGCUGCUUGAUCACUGUCAGGGCAGCCAACUGCUCUCUCAAAUCAGGGGGUACACUUGCCUCCGGUCGUGCACUCGGCUCUGCCUGGUCGGGCAUCUCUAGCGGUGCGACUUGAUCCCUGGUCGACGGUCAACCUCGGCAGCAAUCAGAACGAAACAAAACGGGGUCAAAUACAACUCAAACACUCUCGACCCAAUCAAUGAAAGUCUAGAAAGCAACCCCUGUUUUCCUCUAAAAUUAUGUCGUCUGCAGUCAACAUAAUUUCUCAGGCCAAAACAGGUACUCCUUCAAUCACUCACCCCACUCUCGGAGGAGUUAGAACAACUAAUCAUUGACUUUCGCAAUUAGAUUACGCCUCUCACUUCUUGCUUUCCUAAGGUUUGCCAAACUUAGGUUCUCUAGGUCCCAACGACCGAAUGCUAAACUCUGAUACCAACUUAAUCUGUCACGCCCCGGAUUACAGUUCCCCGGACACGCCGACAAAUCCGCCGUAUACAAAGGAAUUUUCCCUGUAUACGAAGCGACAGUUGUACCUGUAAAACAUACAAUACUACAAACAGUAAUAUAGAGCUGCUAGAAGAACUAGUAAAGUAAAAGAAACCGAGUUCCAUAUACAUACACUGAAUCCCAGAGUACAAAGCUACUCGCGCUGGCGAGUUAAAAGUCUGUAUGUACAUGAACCCAAACCAAAACAUCUACCUGCAGUAGGGGUGCAUCUAGCUCUGCUCCUCGGGUAGGGCUCUAACUCGUGAUGCCCUUGCCUAGCUCCUGACCAGCAACAGCAGCAGCCGAAGACGAAGGCUCUGCAAAAACGGGAUAACAACUGGACGUGAGAACUACUGUAGAAACAAGUAGUCCUCAGUGGGUGCCGCCCUCAACAAUCAUCGGUCCAGCCACUAAGUCUACAGAAGGUAACAAGGCUAACAGGAAAAGCUGGAAAGAAAUCUACAGCUACAUAUCGCUACACUAGCAUGAUCUACACUAAACAACUGUAGUAAAAGUCAAAACUGACUCAAUUUCACUAGGAACUGUGAACACACCCGUCCCGCCUGCCGGAUCGAACCCGUAUCCUACUCCAGGAAUAGCUGGUGGAGAAAACUCUCUAGGGACUGUGAAUACACCCGUCCCGCCUAAUUAGGUGACACCGUAGCUCAAGAAUAACCGGCGGAGAAAACUCUCUGGAGACUGUGAAUACACCCGUCUCGUCUACUAGAAUACGCCGUAUCUCAAGAGUAAUCGGCGGAGAAAACUCUCUAAAGACUGUGAAUACACCCGUCUCACCUAAUUAGACUACACCAUACCUCGAGAGUAGUCGGUCCCAGAAAAAGGUCCAACAUGAUGGUUAAGACUCCACUCACGUCACAACCUCACUAAAGGUAGAGAAAAACGUCACUCACUAUCUCACCCGGGCUACCCAAAACGGACCCACCCUGCCUGUAUCUAGCUGCGCCGUACACCACCCCGAGGGUAACCGGCUCAAGAACUGUCGAACAGAAACUGCGACACUCAUCGCACUGAAACCUCAUUCCGGAAUGGCAUUCGCGGGCGCGACCCAACGAGUUUAUAAGUAUCUCUGUCAAGUUCAUACCGCUCUCACAGGCUAAGUCAAGUAACCGACUCUAACUGGUCUAACAACCAACAGGUAAAGUGCCCUCGGCACAAUCUAACGCCAAAAAGGCGAUACGAGUCUACCGUCAACUCCGACGGCACCCAACAGUCCGAAAUAGCCUGAACGCUACUAUAAAAAUACACUCGGCAUCCCAGCACGAGCGUAACUAAAAAUUAAACUACCUGGAAUACUCACUAUGAGGAUACUGCAACAGUAUAAAAUAAUACAACGGUCCCUAGGCUAAAUCAGGUAGUUUAACAUAUGCCAGGUCCCGAACACGGGUUUUCUCCUAUGUCAAAUUCAGAUCCAAUAUGUAUAAUUUAUUUAUAAAAAUAGGCUCCAAUUUCAGUUUAGAUGAAAACAACAUUUACAAAUAUGAAACUGAGCUAAAACAAUAGUAAUGUGUAAUACUAACUAUACAUGUCGACAAACAAGACUAUAUGAGUAGGAAUCCGAUGAUAAACUCACCUCGAAAGCUAAAUCCAAUCUGGCGCGACGUCGAGAAUGGCGGAAACGCACCCUCGUCCAGCCUCCUCAUGAUGCUACGACUGCAACCGUAUCCUCGAACGGCUUUGCGGCGCGACGUCGAUGUCGAAUCCGAGCUCCUCGGCUACCUCUAUCCGUGCUCUCCACCAUGCACGUAAUUAACUAGAGAGAACAAAAAAAAAUGCACACUCUUUGUUAAUUUGAAGAGAUAAAUAUGAAAAGGGUGGUGGCAUCCUUAUCCAAUAAAAUGACCACUAUGCCCCUAGACCAACUCAAAAUGAAGGGUAUUACAAAUAAAUUAAUAAUAUCGAUUAUCUAAUUAAUAAUAAUAAUUAUUAUUAUUAUUAAUUAUUAAUAAAUAAUAAUAAUUAUUAAUAAUUAAUUAUAACUAAUAAAUUAAUAAUAAUAAUUAUCUAAUUAUUAACAAUUAAUUAUAACUAAUAAAUUAAUAAUAAUAAUUAUCUAAUUAUUAAUAAUUAAUUAUAAAUAAUAAAUUAAUAAUAAUAAUUAUUAUUAUUAUUAAUUAUUAAUAAAUAAUAAUAAAUAAUAAUUAUUUAUUAAUAAUUAAUUAUAAAUAAUAAAUUAAUAAUAAUAAUUAUCUAAUUAUUAACAAUUAAUUAUAACUAAUAAAUUAAUAAUAAUAAUUAUCUAAUUAUUAAUAAUUAAUUAUAACUAAUAAAUUAAUAAUAAUAAUUAUCUAAUUAUUAAUAAUUAAUUAUAAAUAAUAAAUUAUUUAAUUAUUUAAUUAUUAAAGGAAUAAAUAAUGAUUUAAAUAUAUUAAUUAGAUUAAUUAAUAAUUUACCGCCAUUAAAAUUAAAUUUAGAUUUUAAUUAACCUUGUUCUCAUCAAGGAACAAGCUAGUUCCAGAAAACGGGUGGAACAGCAGUUUCAGCCUUAUACUAUCUUGUUCCAGAAAUUCGAAAAUUACUGUUCCCGAGAACCAAACAUACUGUUUGGGAACAAAGGGGGGAACAAGGACUUAUUCCCCUUUUGUUCCCGAACCAAACGCUACACAAAAGUUUAAAUUAUUAGAGAAUGAUAUUUUUAUAUUUAACAUUCAUCAUCUCGCCCAAAUUUGAGACUUUUUAAUCUAUUUUAUAAACUUGAAUUAAAUAUAAAAAAAUUAAUUAUACGAGAAGAGAAUAGUAUUUUUGGAUUUAACACUCCUCCCACGUCUAAACUUGGGACUUUUUAGUCUAUGCAGUACCAAGCGGAACUUUCUAAUAGGCUCGUAAAAAAAAAAGUCAAUUAUGUUAGGGGCCGGCCGGACUUGAAUUAAGACCCCCCUAGCUACUUCCAUACAUAUAAAAUCAAAAAAAUCGUUAUUCUUCUAAAACAUAAACGAUUAAAUAACGAUGUUUUUAUAUUUAUUCCUCCUAUUAAUUUAACUAAGGUUUUAUUCAGUUAUUCAAGGUUAGUUAUAUAUAUUGUCAAUUCUUUUUCUUUUCUCUCUUUUUUUUUUUGUGAGAGAUAGGUAGCACGCUACCCGCUUUGUUUAUUUUAUUUAGUAAUAAACUUAGUUGGGGAUAUGAAUCAGCUAGGAUUCAAACUUGGGUCUCGGAUGUCAACUACCAAGCCCUUUACCACUUACUUUAUGGACGGUCGGUUAUAUUGUCGAUUCUUAAAGUUUGGAUCCUAUGCUUAUUGUAGUAAUGAAGUCCCAUUGUUAUUUUUUGGGACAAUUGUUUAUAUGCCCAGAAAAGUUUCUGACUUUUUUAUAUACCCCUUAUAGAAAACUAAUAUUAAAAGUACUCUUUUAAGGCUCCAAAGUCUUUCAAAUAUAUCAUUAGAAUUAAAUUUCGUUAAUAAACUAUUAGAAACAGUUGUUAUUUAUGUAAAAUUACUACUUUGCCCUUUCAAAUAUAUCCCUCUACCGUCACAAACAUUUUUCUCUUGAGUUAGGGGCAAAAUAAGUAUUUUGAUUUUUUACCUUUUCAAAUAUACUCUUUUACUUUCUUUAAAAAAAAAAUUACUGUUUUACUAUCACCAAUUUUUCUUAUUUGCUUUUAAAUUAUGAAUAAAAUAAGUAUUUUUAUAAUUUUUUUUAACUAUGAUAGAAAUUUAACUCAAGUUUAAUCCGAGAUGAUUUAACAGGCACUAACAACAGAAAUAUUUUUGAAUAACAAAAAAAUAUAUGAGGAGUAUAUUUGAAACAAAAAAUAGUAAAGAUAAAUAAAAUAUUUUAGAAAUUUUGAGAGAUAUAUAACAAUUAUUAUUAUUCACUAUUUUGAUUGAAAAUCCAUUUGAGCAAAGAUAAAAAAGUAUGAACAACUCCACUACCAGCCAUUCAAAAUUGGCCUCCUUUACCCCCUUUUUUUUUAAAAAAAAAUUUACAUUGUCUCUACUUUGAAAUGUUUUUUUUAUUGAUUAAUUUUUAUCAAUUAAAUUAAGAGUUUUAUCAAAUUCAUGAGCGCGAGUGUAGGUUCAAGGAAUAAAACUCAAAAUAUAUUUCAAGCUAAGUUUGAGAAUUACUAGACUCUCUGGAAUUAUANAUAUAUAUAUAUAUAGAGUUGGACCGGGCUACUAUUAGUAGCAAAAUGCAAAAUCUCAUUGUUGCUAUCAGUUUUUUAGCCUUUGGAUCAACUCUUUUCAUUAUUUCUAACCAUUGGAUUAAAUAUUAUAACCCAGUGGGAACCACUCAACCCUAGGGGGGCCACUCAACUCUAACCGACUAAUAUCAUCCUGACCCUACAAUUUUUCAUCUAAGGGUUAAAAACUUGAUACCAAAAAAAGCGUUUUACUAUUAAUAGUAUUCCAGCCUAAUUAUAUAUAUAUAUAUAUAUAUAUAUAUAUAGAGAGAGAGAGAGAGAGAGAGAGAGAGAGAGAGAGAGAGAGAGAGAGAGAGUCCGGCUACUAUAUUCAUAUGAGUACGAUCACCCUCGUACUCAUAAGUUGUUUUCGAUGAUAGAACUUCCAAAUUGACGAUCCAUACCGUUAAACAUUAUCUAGAGCAUUUAAUACUUCUAGAAAUUAAAUUUUAUAAUUUUUCGAUAUCAUUUACCUUACGAUCAAAUGGUCACAAAAAUGAUAAUUUUCAACGGCCGGUAUGAGAUAUUUGCUAGUUUAAUGGUGAAAAAGAAUCGAAAUAGGUUGAAUUUUUGAUAGAAAACUCUAUUCACUACCUAAAUAAAGAUCAAUAACUCCGAUCUUAAAUUGAAGGAUCCGAUCAUCCAUUUUUAAGAUGUUAUUCGAUUUUAACCGUUCAUUUUAUACUCGCUUGAUGGACUUUAUAAUGAUUUCGAAAAUUUAUGAAAUUUAUUUUCUAGAAGUUUCAAAUACUCUAGAUCAUAUUUAACGGUGUGGAUCGUCGAUUCGAAAACUCCAACAUCAAAAACAACUUAUGAGUAGUGAGGGUUCUAUACUCAUAAGAGUAUAGUAGCCCUACUAUAUAUAUAUAUAUAGUUGAGCUAGAAUACUAUCGGUAGUAAACGAGUCGUUUUACUACCGAUUUGUUUUCGAUGAUAGAACUUCCAAAUUGACGAUCGGGUCCGUUGAACAUAAUCUAUACCACUUGAAGUGUUUAGAAAUCAAAUUUCAAAUCUUUUCGACAUCAUUUGCCUAAUGAUCAAAGGGUUUCAAAAUUUGUAAUUUUAAUGGUCGAUGAGAGGCGUUUUUUCGUUUAAUGGCGUAAAGAUAUCCAAAUCAAUUGAAUUUUUGUUAGAAAAUUUUUUAAACUAUUUAAAACAAGAUCUAUACUCUUGAUCUUGAUUACAAGACUCCUAUCAUCAUUUUUUGAAGAGUAUUCAUUUUCAGUCAUUUAUUUUUUUGUUCACUUGAUGGAUAAAAAAACAAUAUCGAAAGUACGUGAAAUUUAAUUUCUAGGUAGUUUAAAUGAUUUAGAUCAUAUUUAACGGAGUCGGUCGUCAAUUUGGAAGCUCUAUCAUCAAAAACAAAUCGGUAGUAAAAUGACUCGUUUACUACCGAUAGUAUUCUAGCUCAACUCAUAUAUUUAUAUAUAUAUAGAACUAGGCCAACAUACUAUUAAUAGCACCAAGUCAUUGGUGCUACUAAGUUUUUGGCCAUUAGAUUAAGAGAUGUGCGGUUAGGAUGAUGUGGGCCCCCAAGGGUUGAGUGGGUGGUUGGUUGAAUAGUAUGAUCUAACAGGUGAAAAUGAUCAAAAUGGUAGAUUUAAAUAUAUGAGAAUGGCUACUGUACUAUUAGGAGUACAGCAGUACUCAUUGUGCUCCUAACUUUCUAAUCACCCAUCAAGUUUCAUGGGUGAUUACAAUGAGAGAUAGAAGAGAUAUUGGAAAGAAAUAUAUAGUAGAUCAUGUGUGCUAUAUAUUAGCACUCUAUUUGGCUCGGGUAUAAAGGGGGGGAUAAGGGGGAUAUCCCCCCUUUAUACCCCAAACAAAAAAAAAAAUGGUGGGAACAAGUGUUCCCACCAUAAUGGGUUGUACCAAGUACAACCCGUUAUGGGUGGGAACAAGUGUUCCCAUGCACCCGGGGUUGGAACAAGCUUGGGCAAGAUUGUUCCAACCCACUUGAGAGAGAGAGAGAGAGAGAGAGAGAGAGAGAGAAGUGUUCCCAUGCACCCGGGUUUGGAACAAGCUUGGGCAAGAUUGUUCCAACCCACUUGAGAAAGAGAGAGAGAGAGAGAGAGAGAGAGAGAGAGAGAGAGAUAUUUAUUUUAAAUUUAAAUAUAAAUUUUUAAAAUUUAUAAUUUUAUAAUUAUAUUUAAUAAAUUAAAAUUUUAAAUUUUAUUAAAUUUUAAAUUUUAAAUUUGAUAUUUUAAAAUUUUAAAUUUUAAAUUUGAUAUUUUUAGUUUUUAAUUUUUAAAUUUGUUAUUUUAUAUCUUUGAAAUUUAAAUUUGGUCUGAAAUUUAAAAUUUGAUAUUUAAAAUUAAAAUUUUUAAUACUAAAAUUUAAAAUUUUAAUUUCUAAUCUAAAUUUAAAAGUUAAAAUUUAAAAUUUAAAAUUAUAAGUUUAAAAUUCAAUUAUAGAAAUAAUNAUUUAAAAUUUUAAUUUCUAAUCUAAAUUUAAAAGUUAAAAUUUAAAAUUUAAAAUUAUAAGAUUUAAAUUCAAUUAUAGAAAUAAUAUUAUUAUUUUCUAUUUAUAAUUACCAACUAUUUCUCUUAUUUCCAAAAACCAUCCAAACACAAUUUUUUUAGUUCCAGCUUAUACUGACAAUUUCAUCCAAACAAAAAAAUACCCUUACUCCUACAAAAAUCCAUACUUGUAUCUAUCCCCGGUAUAACUAGUUCCUACUAAUUUCCGAUCCAAACGGAGCCUUACGAGAAUGGGGGCCUCUGUGCUCCUGAGCCAUUUUUUAUGAUGGAAUUUUCGAAUCGACGAUCGGCUCCGUUAGACUGAUCUAACGUAUUUGAAAUAUCUACAAAAUAAAUUUUACAAUUUUUCGAAUAUCAUUUAUCUAGCGAUAAAAAGAAUUCAAAAUCAAUAAUUUUUAAUGAUUGACAUAUAUCAUUUGCAAAAUAAAAAUCAAUUUCAGUUUCGAAAAAUAAAAAUCAAUUUCUAGUGGUUUUAAAUAUUACUGCUGAGGGCAAAAGUGGUAUGGCUAAUUUUACUAUAUUUGAAAGAUUGGCAUAAGAUUUGAUAUAUAUUUCUAUACAAAAUUUGGCUACCAUAACUGGCUCAGAUAAAUUCUCACCCUCCUAUGAUAAAAUCAAUUAUUGGACAAAAAUAUAUUUUUUAAGCCAUAUCUGACACGCAGAGACUUAGAACAAAUGUCCUUUCUUCUACAGUUUUAAACAUUUUUAUUUCAAACUCUCCUACAACGAGAAAAAAAAAAAAGAAAAACAAUUUUUUUAUCCAUUAAAUGUGAAGAGUAGCUCAAUCCAUCGGGUAGUGGAAAGUAGUCCAGGUACUAGUUACCUCCUAUAUUUGUAUGUGAUAUUUACGUGUCAUCCGUAAAGUUUUGCCUUUUUUUGCUUUAAAAUUGUUUAAAAAAUUUAAAAAAUUUAAAUUUUAUUGGCAGUUUCCGUGAAAUUGAGGGAUCAAAAAAGAACAAGAGGUGAAGAAUAAUAUUUGAUACGUGUAAUAGAUAUUUUGGGUAUAUAUAUAUAGAGUGAGGCUACUAUGCUAUCGGAAGCACGGAGCCUUUCGUGCUUCCAGUUUGUUUUUGAUGUUGCGACUUUCGAAUCGUCGAUCGGCUCCGUUAAACUUGAUCUAGAGUAUUUGGAGUACCUAGAAAAUAAAUUUUAUUAUUUUUCGAUAUCAUUUGCCUAGUGAUCGAAUAGGCUCAAGAUCAACAAAUUUCAAAGGCCGUAGUGAGCGGUUUGCAAGUUUAACGGUGUAGAAAUAUCCAAAUCACGUGAAAUUUUGAUAGAAAAUUUUUUAUACUAUAUAAAACAAGAUCAAUAUCUUUGAUUUAAAAUUUUAAUGUCAUAUUAUUACAUUUUGUAAGAUUUUUAUUUUCAGCCGUUGAUUUUGAGCUCCUUCGUUCACUAGGUAAAUGAUAUCGUAAAAUCAUAAAAUUUAUUUUCUAGGUACUUCAAAUACUCUAGAUCAAGUUUAACGGAGCCGAUCGACGAUUCGAAAGUCGCAACAUCGAAAACGAGCUGAAAGUACGAAAGGCUCAGUGCUUCAGAUAGUAUAGUAACCUCACUCUAUAUAUAUAUAUAUAUAUAUAUAUAUAUAUGCACAUGCACGAUGUUUCCAAACUAUUGAAGAUAUUUUGUAUCUUUAUAUUCAAGACGUAAUAUCUAAAGUACUUUUCAAAUAUAGGGUAUAAGUCAAAUUUAAGAUUACAUCAUAUACAUCAAACUUUCAAUGAUGCUUCUUAUCUUAGUUGUUAGUUUACUAAUAUUGGACGUAAGUCAAAUAUUAAAAUUAUUUUAUGUUAAAUCCUUAAAAAUGCACUUGGUUCAACAUAAAAAUAUUUUCGAUGAAAAAAAUAUUUUACAUUUUAUAAUAUUCAAUUUAUAAAAAAAUUAAUUUAUUAUCAAAUAUUUAUUUAAUUAAAAAUUUAUAUUUAUUUGGUUAGGAAGUAAAAAAAAAAAAUAAAUAGGAAAAAAUUCAAGCGAUUUGAAUUUUUAGUUUUCACCAACAAAUAAUGAAAAAUGAAAACUACAAACAUUUUUCAAAUCCGUAAAAACAUUUUUAAUGAAAAAAAAAAUAUUUUACUUUUCACGUUUUCAAUUCGUAUUUGGCCGAACCAAAUGCCCUUAACAAAACAGAAUUCAUUGAAGUCCUAAAUUCAACAAAAUUAUUCCAAACUUUGAAAUUCUUUUGAAUUUUAUUCACAGAUUUGAUUCUAUUUCUAACGGAAUUUUGCGCAUAUUCAGAUCACCAACUCAAAAUUUGAAAUUCAAACACAAACUUUCCAAAAACUCAAAAUGGGCAAAUACAAACCCAGCAUUGAUUUACUAAGAUUUAAGCCAUAUAUACAUCUUCUUCUCAUUGUGACUUAAAAACAAACAAACCCAACUCCCUAAAACACCCUUCAAAAAGACACCUCAUACAUUAAAGGCCCUUCCCUCCCCAUACAAAAGGACUAAAUUGCAAAAAGACCCUCUUUCUCUCGCGCUCCCACUUCAUAAAAUAGAAAAAUAUAUCUACAAUAAUAAUUUAAAAUAAAUUUUUACAUUUAAAGUAAAAUAGAUUAAAUUAAAAGGGGUUGUUACUUAAUUAGAACCUAAUAACGUAGAAAUAAUAAUAGUAAAAUAGUAAACUCCUCAACGUUAAUAAUCUUUUUUUUUUUUAACUCUCUCUCUCUCUCUCUCUCUCUCUCUCAACAUGCUCCCAAAAACGAGAAAUAACGAGCACUUGAGAGCACGAAUCUUUAUGUACACGUGGCGGGGGGGCUGUGCUACGCCACUGCGGCGAUCCCGGGGCCGUGGCCGCGGCCGCGCGCGUCGGCGCGGCGAUCGAGGCAGUCAAAACCCUCGACCCGAACCACGGCCGGCUCGAACCCGGACUUGACCCGGGCGCCGCAGCCCGACCGGCUUUUCGAACCGGUCUGGGCCGGUAGGUGGUGAGCCGGCGGCUCGAGCUCGCCGAACCGGGGGUCGUGGACCAGCGGGUUGGACGCGCGGCUCGGCGGGGACCCGCAAAAGAACGGCGGGGAUGACGCCACGUGGCCCUGCUCAUCGCCCUGCAAAUAAACAAAUUUAAUUUAAUUAAUUACCUUGCUAAUUAAUUAAUAUAGCUUAUAUGUGGAAAGGGUUACUCUAAUAAUUAAAAGAAAAAUGGUCAUAAAUCAUAAGUGUCGGUAUUUGAUACCGUUGCAACUAUAGGCCCCCUUUUUUAAAAAAAAUAUUAAAAAAUUAAUUAUAAUAUAUUCAGUUAAAAAAUUAAAAUUUUAUUAUUAAUUCGUUCGUACAGCAUUAUUAGCCGUUGAUGUUUAUUUUACUUUACGGGAAAAUUUAUGCGUCUUAAAAUCGAUAAAAUUCAAAUAAAAAGACAUAAAAAUUGCGCAUCAAUAAAAAAAAAAAUUUUUAAAUUUGAAUUUCCUACGAAAAAUUUUAAUUUUUGAAUAAUAAUAUCUCUAAAGGGAAACGCUUUUAUUAUUAUUAUGGUUUUAAAUAAGGAAUGGAAAGGGGAAACGUUCCUAUUCAGAAGAAUGUUCGCGUUCCACAAUAAUUUCCUACAAUUCAUUCUUUGCAUAAUAUAUAUAAUAAAUAUCUAAAUAAAUAUCUAAAAUUAAGUGAAGAAUAAGUCGAAUAUAUUAGGAAAUAAACUAUACCAGGUUAUUUUUAUAUAUAUAAAGAAAAAAAAUUAAAAAAAAAAAAACGUUUCCACGUAUAAAAUUGCGCUUUUCCCGCUAGCGUUUCCUAUCGCUUCCAUAUAAUAUUAAAAAAAUAAAAUAUAAAGAUGAUGAUAAUAAAAGGAGGACAAAUAUAUAAUUAUAACCAAAAAUUGACGCUAUAUCGUUUUUUUUGGGGUUGGAAAAUAAAAACCGUAAAUUACUAAUUAACUAUUAACUAUAAUUAACUAUAGAGGCAAAAAAUAAAAAAUAAAAAAAUUCUCACCAUAAAAACAUCGAACAACUCCACCGCGCGGGUUAGAAUCGUAGAUCUCGGGUUGAUACCUGGUGUGCAACAACCGGAUGGGCGAACCGGGUGUCGGGGCGUGAACCGGGCCGAGCCCGGCGCGUUUGGGGCAGGUGGACCGCGAUUGUUUUUCCGUCCGAACCGCCGAGCGGGCCCGCAUCACCUCCUCCCACGCGGCCAACGCGCUCUGCUGCAUCGCACACCGAUUCAUUUUUUUUCCCUGACCUUUUUUUAAUUAUUUAAAUCACGCAACCUCCUGAGAAAUAAAUUACGACAAAGGAAUAAAAAAAUUUAAAAUAGGAGAAGAAGAAAUAAAUAUUCGGCUAAAAAACUUAGAUUUUGAAUCAUGGUACUACAAAAAAAAAAAAAAAAAAAAAGGGAUUUUGGGCACGAUUUUUGCAGCAAUCUUUUAAGGAAAAAAAAAAAAAAAACAACUCAUGAAAGAGAAAAAUUAAAUUAAAUGGGAAAAAAAAGAGUAAUAAAAAAAUUACCUAAAAUUAUGGCCUCUCAAAAAUCAAAAUAGAGGCGAAGUAGAGAACGCUGUAGGAGGGGAAAGGAAAAAAGGAAGGAGAGGAUGAGAUAAGGGGUGGGGGGAUUUUAUAGAGGAGGAGGAGGCAAUGAGACAGCUAAUAAAAUAAAUAUAAAUAAUAAAAAUUAAUUAAAGAUAAAAUAAUUUUUAAAAAUGGGAAAAAAAAAAAAAGAAAAGGCAAAAGAAACACAAAGGGGCGUGACUCGUGAGGCCAUCGAAGGGCGAGGGGUAUGAUGAUGACUAAUAAUAAAAUUAUUCUCAUUGCAUAAGGUUGUAAGUGAAUUUACAUAUAUACCCUUCUGGAAUCUUAUAAACAUAUCAAAAUAUUUUUAGGGAAAACUUCAAAAACACCCCCCUGUGGUUUCAUACAUUCUCACUUUUGCUACCCUGUGGUUUAAAAAAUAUCAAUUUUGUCCCCUGUGAUUUCAUUUUCUUUUUGUAUCCAUUUUAUUAUUAUUUUUUUUAAAAUCAGUGAACAAAGUUAAAAUUAAAGGAUACUUAAAGUGACUAUUCGAUAAAUAUAGAUGGUUAUCUGAAGUUUUUGUAUAUUUAAUUUACGAAAUAUUAACGGAAAAAGCUUCCGAAAAAGAUUAAAAAUGAAACACAGGCGGGUUAAAUUGAUACGUUUUUAAACACAGGGAGCAAAGUGAGAAUGCACGAAACCACAGGGGGGUUUUUUGAAGUUUUCCCUAUUAAUGAGUCCAGUCUACUUUUAUACACAUAAAUUUUCGGUCAUUAAAUCUAUUAUUUUAAUCAUUUUCAUCGGUUAUAUCAUACUAUUCAACCAACCAUCCAUUCAAUACUGAAAAACUACUAUUAUCCUAAUCGGAAAUCACUAUCAUCCUAUCCGCACGUCUUUUCAUCCAACGACUGAAAAUUUAGUAGCAUAAAUUGCUCUUUACCUAUAAGAGUACAUAUAAUAGCUCUAGCCAUUUUUUAAUUACGUCCUUUAAUUUUGAGGUGAGAGUUUUGUUCGUCUCCUAACUGAUUAUCAGAUUAAAAUAAUUUUAUUUUAAACUAAAAAUUAAAAUAUAAUUUAUUUUUUAUAUUUAUUUAUUUAGUUAGGAGGUCAAUAGCUUUGAAACUGCAGUUGUUGUGUAUUUCUAUAUAUUUUGUAAUAAAUUUUUGACUAGCAAAUUAAAAGAGUAAGAAAGAUACCUUUUUAAUAUCUCUUUCGUGUAUUUAAUUUUGUCAUCAGUCAAGACGAAGUCGAUUACGAUGUUUUGAGAGCAAUGUACAAGUUUAAGUUAUGACAAAACCAAACAACAAAAGCAUAUAUUUACAGUCGAAAAUAUGCUAUGCUUCUCUUUAUUUUCGGUGAAACAAAUAUACUCACACUAUUAUUUCUUAUACAACAAAUCAUAAUUGGGAAAAAAAAAAAAGAAUCGGCAAAGACUCUAUUUAGAAUUACGGAAAGAA